rnacentral:lncRNA from 1 species
UAAUAAAUUUUUUGACUUAGGACAAAGCUGAACAUUUCUAUAUUUUGGAACAGAGAAAUUAACAAGUAAAAUUUCAAAUUGUGGUGCGAUUCAAGUUAUCUUUGUCAUACCUUCUUUUCCCCUGAUACAUUAUUUUUCUGUGGUACGAUUCAGAUCCUCAAAUAGCAAGAAAAAUGCAAAUUAUGCAGUACAAUUCGGGGGAGAACUAGGCCCUAAAUCUCAGCAGAGAAGUGCUAGGAACUUCCUUUCUGAAGCUGUACAAGAAAACCGCACGGGCGGAAGUUUCUGAAGUAUGCACAGUCUCAACAGAUUCUACUUGAAUGCUAAUAAUCCGGCAGCUUCCGCAGGAUGGCGGCGGCGAGCGCGUCGGUGAACUUUCGGUCGCCGGUGAGCUCGCGGGCCAUCUGCUCCACCAGAGCCGCCCGGAACUCCGGCGACGCGACCUCCCGGCACACCUUCUUCAGGUCCGGCUGCGCCUCCCCUGCUGCCUCGACCACCUGCACACCUCCCCCGUCCUUGGUGAGGUCCAGCGUGAUGGUCGGGCCGGAGGAGUUGAUGGAGANNNNNNNNNNNNNNNNNNNNNNNNNNNNNNNNNNNNNNNNNNNNNNNNNNNNNNNNNNNNNNNNNNNNNNNNNNNNNNNNNNNNNNNNNNNNNNNNNNNNUUUUGUUUUGUUUUUAUUGAAUUCAAGAACUUUUCGCAAAUUCGUGAACCUUUUCGAGACAAACCCCUUUUUAGAAUUGUUUUGAACUUUCUUUCAAAUACAUGAACUUUUUUCAAAUAUUGUGAAUAUUUUUUAAAUUAAUGAAGUUUUUGUUCUUUUUGUAAAUUUAUUUCAAAUUAGGAACUUUUCAAGUCAUAAACUUUUUACCAAUUCUCCAAUAUUUCUCAGUUUUUUUCCAAAUUUGUUGCACUUCUUUUUUAAAAAAUGAAGUUUUUCCCUUUUGUGUGAAGCUUUUUAUUACCAAAUAAUCAAAAGUCAACUAUUUGUAGUCAAUGGUCAACGGUCCCUGGUCACCGAUCAACAGUUGCAGAUCCACUAGUUAACCAUCUGAGCACGAGAAGCAGUUGGGCUGCCAAUAUGCUCCUGUGUAUGAGUUCCAAACAUCUUAAUUGGCGCCAAUUAGGUGGAAAAAUCAUAUUCGCUACUCCGUGCGAAGCGGUGUUGGGGCUUUGCACAAGAUAUCCAUCGAUUGUUUCGGAGUGGGCCGGUUUUGGGUACCUUCUAGAGGUUCCCAGCCGGGUUUUUCACUUUUGGAAAGCUUCUACAAGGUUCCCUGAACCAGUUUUCUUUCUUUUAUUUUCUGUAUUUUUUUCUGGUUUCUUUUUUCUUUUCUGUUUUUGUUUCAAGAAAAGUUCUGGAUCUUUAACAAAUGUUCUAGAUUUUUCUAAAAUGUUUAGGGUUUUCAAAAUAUUUUUUCAAAAUAUAGAAAUGUUUUUUGCUUUUUGAAAAUGUUCGGGAUUUUCAAAAUUUGUUCUUCAAUUCCAAGAANNNNNNNNNNNNNNNNNNNNNNNNNNNNNNNNNNNNNNNNNNNNNNNNNNNNNNNNNNNNNNNNNNNNNNNNNNNNNNNNNNNNNNNNNNNNNNNNNNNNCUAUAUCCAUGGCUCACGCUCAUGUAUUGCGUGAUAGUUAUAAAAAAGUUUGAGAAAGUAAGAGUGCAAAAACAAUUACUUGGCCAAUACCGGCGUUGUGCAUGAUUUACAUAAGUUGUGUGAGGAUGAUGGAGCAUAGCCAGACUAUAUGAUUUUGUAGGGAUAACUUUCUUUGGCCUUGUUAUUUUGAAAGUUCAUGAUUACCUUGCUAGUUUGCUUGAAGUAUUAUUGUUUUCAUGUCAAUAGAAAACUAUUGUUUUGAAUCUUACAGAUCUGAACAUUCAUGUCACAUAUAAGAAGUUACAAAGGACAACUAUGCUAGGUAGCAUUCAACAUCAAAAAUUCAGUCUUUAUCACUUCCCUACUCGAGGACGAGCAGGAGUUAAGCUUGGGGAUGCUUGAUACGUCUCCAACGUAUCUAUAAUUUUUGAUGGUUCCAUGCUAUUAUCUUGUCAAACUUUGGAUGUUUUAUAUGCCUUCUAUAUCUUUUUUGGGACUAACUUAUUAACUCAGUGCCAAGUGCUAGUUCUUGUUUUUUCCGUGUUUUUGACCCUUUUCAGAGGAAGAUUUGAAACGGAGUCCAAACGGAAUAAAAUCCCCGAAAAGWAUUUUUCCGAAACAGAAGAAGAUCGGGAGACUUGAGAACCAAGGCAGGGGUCCCUAGGGACCCCACAAGCCCCCUAGCACCGGCCNNNNNNNNNNNNNNNNNNNNNNNNNNNNNNNNNNNNNNNNNNNNNNNNNNNNNNNNNNNNNNNNNNNNNNNNNNNNNNNNNNNNNNNNNNNNNNNNNNNNAUAAAUUAGUUAUUAUUAUGUUUCUUUGUUCAUGAUAACCGUUUAUUAUCCAUGCUAUAAUUGUAUUGAUUGGAAACACAGUGCAUGUGUGGAUACAUAGACAAAACACUGUCCCUAGUAAGCCUCUAGUUGACUAGCUCGUUGAUCAAAGAUGGUCAAGGUUUCCUGACCAUAGGCAAGUGUUGUCACUUGAUAACGGGAUCACAUCAUUAGGAGAAUCAUGUGAUGGACUAGACCCAAACUAAUAGAUGUAGCAUGUUGAUCGUGUCAUUUUGUUGCUACUGUUUCUGCGUGUCAAGUAUUUGUUCCUAUGACCAUGAGAUCAUAUAACUCACUGACACCGGAGGAAUGCUUUGUGUGUAUCAAACGUCGCAACGUAACUGGGUGACUAUAAAGAUGCUCUACAGGUAUCUCCGAAGGUGUUCGUUGAGUUAGUAUGGAUCGAGACUGGGAUUUGUCACUCCGUGUGACGGAGAGGUAUCUCGGGGCCCACUCGGUAAUACAACAUCACACACAAGCCUUGCAAGCAAUGUGACUUAGUGUAAGUCACGGGAUCUUGUAUUACGGAACGAGUAAAGAGACUUGCCGGUAAACGAGAUUGAAAUAGGUAUGCGGAUACCGACGAUCGAAUCUCGGGCAAGUAACAUACCGAAGGACAAAGGGAAUGACAUAUGGGAUUAUAUGAACCCUUGGCACUAAGGUUCANNNNNNNNNNNNNNNNNNNNNNNNNNNNNNNNNNNNNNNNNNNNNNNNNNNNNNNNNNNNNNNNNNNNNNNNNNNNNNNNNNNNNNNNNNNNNNNNNNNNCAAGAAGGAAUGNNNNNNNNNNNNNNNNNNNNNNNNNNNNNGGAAUGCCGCAGACGUCGAAAGGGAGGAAUAGAAGGACCGUGGAAAAAAGAAGAAAAAAUAUAGUAUGCAUGAAAUUAUGACGUCAAUGCAGUAGGAUCGUCGCGAAUGUCGUGUGAAACUGCAUGAUAAAGCUGUCGAUUGUAAGUAAUGAAUUUGAUAAAAUUCUUGCAAAAUAGCUUUAAACAUAAACACAAAAUUAAGCAUUCAUGAUCGAGGAAACUAUAAACCGAUCAAAAAAAUGAAAACUUAACAUCGAUGCGCAUCGUUUUUGUGUAGAGUUUUUUUCAUUAAAAUAUCAUUGUGUAGAUUAGAAAGGGGAAAUGAGAUUAGAAGUAGUUUAGUGAAUGUAGAAUAUGCAGACAAGGGAAUACCCAUGUGCACUCACUAUAGGUCAGCUUAGCUCAUAAGAAACUAUCAAUUUGAACAUGCUAGCGAGCCUAACACAGAUGUGCUUUUAAGUUUCGUGCGAUGCAUACCCUAAGUGAACGCAAUAAAACAAACCGGUUAGUUUUUUCUUGCGCGGUUUUGCUUAGGCCUAAUGCAGGCAAGCAAACACGUCCAAGUGGCUUAUGAUGUUGGACACGAUAUAUGUCUCUCCUAGCCAUUCUUCUAAGAGAGAGAAAUUUGGGUUGACCAUUUUCGAUUGAUCCCUGUUACUGCUAGCGUCUAGUCCAUCUGAACGACCGUCAGAACGGAGAACUGGUGUGCGAUUCGAGCUUUGUUCCCUUCGCAAUGGAUCCAGACGAGCUCUGAUGCACGCGAACACAAACCAUCCUUCAAAAAGAAACGAACGCGAGCCACGGCAUGAAAGGACCCGAGGCAAAAGAUGGUCGAAUCAACAACGACACAUUUCAACAAGAAUUCUAUACGCAUUCCAGGGGAAGAAAUCCGGACCACUCAUUGUUUUAUUAUUUUUGAUAUACCUGACCACUCAUGCUAAGUGGGAAGAAAUCCGGAAAUCCGCAGGCGGCGUCAUGGCUUAGCUGAAGCGAGCCCUCAGUUGGGCCCGUCUAUUUCUGCUGAUUUCUUCGGGCUGUUUUUUCAUGUUUUUUUCUGUUUCUAAACUGUUUUUUUCUUAAAAACUGUUCGCCAAAUAUAUUAAAACAUUCACCAUAUAUUUAAAAAGUGUUCAUUUUGUAUUUGAUAAAUGGUCACAUAUGUUAGAUAAGUGUACAUGUAUACCAAAAGAAGUUUGAAAUAUUAAAAAAAUAUUGAAAUUAUAAAACCAGUCGAAAUUAUCUUGUAUUUAAAAAACUAAUUUUAAUAUGAAAACAAUAGAAAGGUUAAAACAAUUGCUACACUAUUACUAGCUUUUUUUAGACAAUACCGUGACUACUCGUUGUUGGGCUUCCGCAAAAUAAAACUACUCGUUGUUGGGGCAGCCCACUUGGUGAUUCCCUAUGCGAAAGAUCUUCUAUUGGACGCGAAUGGUGGUCAAGUAGGAGCACUCACUAAAGGCAGCUCUUAUGUGUCGCGUUCUGCGACACACUGUCAAGCAAACGCAUAGGGCAGUGUGACCUGGGCUGGCCCAGUAGUAAGUGUACUGUAGUGAAGGAUUGAAAAUACAAAAAAGAAAAGGAAAGCAUUCAAGCAUACUUGGGAUCAAACCCCUAAGUUCCAUCGGUUGUGCGCGCAACAAUAGCCAACACACCAGAUAUUUUUUUAUGGUUUCCAGGUAGCGCAGUGCUUUAAGAAUUAUCUACUUGUAUGGACAUCUGUAGCUACAGUCGUCAUAGUCCGACACACACACACCAGAUAUUUUAAAUGAGUAAAUGAUGAUGUAGCUUCUGCAUGUUGUAAACAAAAAGAACCUAUUCCAAAACUAGACUUCAUUUAAAAUCACAAAAACUUUAGAAAAUGUAAAUCUUUUUCAGCAACUGAAUAUUUUUCUGAAAAAAAUGAUAUUUUCUAAAAUAUGCGAACCUUUUUUUAAAAACGUUGAGCAUUUUUAGAUUUAUGGGAACAUUUAUUCGAACUUUUGUAUAUUUUCUGAAAAUAGGAAACAGUAUUUUGAAAGCGCGAACAUUUUUCAGAAAGACGAACAUUUUUCAAAUUACAAACAUUAUGUUAAAAAUGUGAACAUUUUUUGAAAUAUAAUAACAUUUCUAGAAAAUAAGCAAAGAAAUUUAUGAACAUUUUUUUAACUGUGAACAAAUUUUGAAACUGCAAUUUUUUUGAAUUUUGAAUAAAUUUUGAAACAUGAACAAAUUUCAAAUUCGAGAACAAAAUUAUCAAAUUGGGAAUAUUUUACUAAUUAACAACAAAUUUUGAAACCGCAAUUUGUUUUUGAAUUUUGAACAAAUUUUGAAGCACGAACAAAUUCCAAAUUCAUGAACAGAAUUAUAAAACAAUGAACAUUUUUUNNNNNNNNNNNNNNNNNNNNNNNNNNNNNNNNNNNNNNNNNNNNNNNNNNNNNNNNNNNNNNNNNNNNNNNNNNNNNNNNNNNNNNNNNNNNNNNNNNNNUUUCAUUAGCUUUAGAAAAAUUCUAGUACAAGCGAACGUUCGAGUAGAUGUAGAUUAGUUUUGAAAUCCACAACAUACACAAAUUAAAUUUUAUUUCUGUUAUAUAACUUAUUAUAAUCUACAUCAGAGAAAUUAUGAACAAAGCAAAGGACUACUUUUCUAUUCUCCUUGUAUCAACUUAAUAUAAAGGAGUGUAGUCAAAUAAACUAGAGAGCGAUAGAAAUAAUAGUAAACUUGAUCACAAAAAAUUGAUUAACAGGGUGCUUAUAAGGUAUCACGACAUGCAAGGCAAAUGCUUCCCUAGUAAUACGACAAACGUUUAAGCUCAACUUAACUGGAAGAACAACUACAAAGAUUUCAAUACAAAAUCGUAAGAUUUUUAUGCAAAAACAUUGAGAGUAGCAUUACUGCAUGCGGAAAAGAUCAUCAUUUUAAUUAGAAGAGCAUAGCCUGUGCAUCCUUGAUCACCACAUCGAACCCCGUUCUCUCGGCAAGCACCCAUGGAUUGAUUUAACUUGAUCAGGAAGACAAGUAAUAGUAGGCAUGGUCAACUGAAGUAGUGGAUUAGGAGCAGCAGUCACCUCAAAUCUCUUCCUUAGUGUAGUCUGAAGAAGCUUUUCAAAUUUAGAACGAGCUGACCCAGCACCAAAAGCAGAGGCAUUAAAAACACUAAUAGCCUUGUUCAUUGCACGUUCAUGUGCUUCUCGCAUUGCAUCCUGCCAAAACUAACUUAUCAGAACCUCCCGAAAAAGCGGAAGGAGCAUCUUGCUUAUUAGCAAUGCCUACCUCUUCUGUUUUUUUUUUGCAGUCAAAAGAAGAAUUGUAAGUAUCCACAGCAGAAUCAUAAGCCCUCCAAGAUUCGGCUUCAUCCACACUACAUAACAAAAAAUUAUGAGACAACUCCUCCUCAACAAAAAUAAGAUAUUGAAAUCAUGAUAAACAGUAGAGAUACAGUAACAACAGAGCAGUGAAUCGCUAACCCUCAAAAAAACGAAUGACUGUAGUUGCUCACCAGACCGUUUUGUCACCUCACUACGUGUAAUUUCUCUAAAAUGUUCACUAUGUUGUGGAGUUCAGAGUUGUAGUGUUUGCAUCCUCUUCGGGAACUAAAAUCGCGACGGCAGCGAAGCUUCCAUUAUAUGCGCAACAACAAUAGCACCAACAUGCAUUGUGUGUCUCCCACCACCAGAGGCAGAUCCAUCUCUUCCUACAAAUGGGUUAAAAACGUAGUGAAUCCGACAUGGGCAUCCACGUCCCGCUAUUGGAUAUUGACCGAGGAGUCCCUCGGGUCAUGUCCACAUAGUUCUCGAACCCGCAGGGUCUGCACACUUAAGGUUCAGCGUUGUUUUAUGCGUAUUUGAGUUAUAUGGUUGGUUACCGAUUGUUGUUCGAAGUCCCGGAUGAGAUCACGGACGUCACGAGGUUUCCGGAAUGGUCCGAAGAUGAAGAUUGAUAUAUAGGUUGACCUCAUUUGAUUACCGGAAAUUUUUCGAAAUUACCGGGAAUGUACCGGGAGUGACGAAUGGGUUCCGAAUGUUCACCGGGGGGGGGGGGGGAGCCCACCCCCGGGAAGCCCAAAGGCCUUAGGGGUGCCGNNNNNNNNNNNNNNNNNNNNNNNNNNNNNNNNNNNNNNNNNNNNNNNNNNNNNNNNNNNNNNNNNNNNNNNNNNNNNNNNNNNNCAACUUAAUAUAAAGGAGUGUAGUCAAAUAAACUGGAGAGCGAUAGAAAUAAUAGUAAACUUGAUCACAAAAAAUUGAUAAACAGGGUGCUUAUAAGGUAUCACGACAUGCAAGGCACAAAUGCUUCCCUAGUAAUACGACAAAUGUUUUAAGCUCAACUUAACUGGAAGAACAACUACAAAGAUUUCAAUACAAAAUCGUAAGAUUUUUAUGCAAAAACAUUGAGAGUAGCAUUACUGCAUGCGGAAAAGAUCAUCAUUCUAACCUUUGAAUUUGAUUGUGUCCUCUGCUAUAAUUUUUUAGCUCAUAGAGAUAGCCCUUGUAGGAUCAUAAAUAGGACCAGGAAUGCAAAUGUUUAGGGUUUAGGGUCCUUGUGUCAUACAUUUUCUUUUCCCCUUUCUCUAAAUUGACUGGACCAUUAUAAAAAGAGGGGCUAGUCAAUUAACCUAAAAAUGACAUAUGUUGGGUAUAAGUUUCUACACUUGAAGAAACCAAUAGUAAAAGCAUUCGAUGCAAACCUGUAGUUGCUUCACUUUUAGCUUGUCUCGCGGUGACAGGUGGGCUGGUCGAGUAUGUGAUCGUCUUCCUAGAAUCCCAGUCAUCAAGGAUUUCUAAAUGUUCAUCCUGUCAUUUAAUUUGGUCGAUUGUUGAGCCAUGAACAAAAAGUAUAACUGAAUAAUUAUACACGUCAUGAUUGUAUUUUGAUAUGCUUAUGAGAUAACACGUGUACCUCUCACAUACAUCCAACUAUGGGUCAUCAUAAGGUUCAUGUUCCUGCAAAAGAAUAGGAAAAGCAAUGAGCAAUUUAAUCCGAAGAAGGAGAAGAUCAACAAAAACUACAGGAAAUCAAAAACAGCUAGGUGCCAUGUCAAGAUCCUUAAUCAAAAGCGAACUAUAUUAGUUAAUUAUAAACGGCAAUAUGAAAAGCAUACUGAUUAGGAAGCAUUAGUUAAGCCAACAUAUGAUUUCUCCUUCCUGACUACUUUAUCCUUUCACAUUCAGCUCCUUGAGCUCCUCCUCUUUGUCACAUGUAUCUUGGAAAAGUAGUCAUCAUGAAACCUUUAGACGGAGUACAAGGGGAUUCCAUUAGCUUUAGAAAAAUUCUAGUACAAGCGAAUCGUUCGAGUAGAAGCAGAUUAGUUUUGGAAUCCACACCAUACACAAAUUAAAUUAUAUUUCUGUUAUAUAACUUAUUAUAAUCUAAAUCAGAGAAAUUAUGAACAAAGUAAAUGACUACUUUUCUAUUCUCCUUGUACCAACUUAAUAUAAAGGAGUGUAGUCAAAUAAACUGGAGAGCGAUAGAAAUAAUAGUAAACUUGAUCACAAAAAAUUGAUUAACAGGGUGCUUAUAAGGUAUCACGACAUGCAAGGCCAAUGCUUCCCUAGUAAUACGACAAAUGUUUUAAGCUCAACUUAACUGGAAGAACAACUACAAAGAUUUCAAUACAAAAUCGUAAGAUUUUUAUGCAAAAACAUUGAGAGUAGCAUUACUGCAUGCGGAAAAGAUCAUCAUUCUAACCUUUGAAUUUGAUUGUGUCCUCUGCUAUAAUUGUUUAGCUCAUAGAGAUAGCCCUUGUAGGAUCAUAAAUAGGACCAGGAAUGCAAAUGUUUAGGGUUUAGGGUCCUUGUGUCAUACAUUUUCUUUUCCCCUUUCUCUAAAUUGACUGGACCAUUAUAAAAAGAGGGGCUAGUCAAUUAACCUAAAAAUGACAUAUGUUGGGUGUAAGUUUCUACCCUUGAAGAAAUCAAUAGUAAAAGCAUUCGAUGCAAACCUGUACUUGCUUCACUUUUAGCUUGUCUUGCGGUGACAGGUGGGUUGGUCGAGUAUGUGAUCGUCUUCCUAGAAUCCCAGUCAUCAAGGAUUUCUAAAUGUUCAUCCUGUCAUUUAAUUUGGUCGAUUGUUGAGCCAUGAACAAAAAGUAUAACUGAAUAAUUAUACACGUCAUGAUUGUAUUUUGAUAUGCUUAUGAGAUAACACGUGUACCUCUCACAUACAUCCAACUAUGGGUCAUCAUAAGUUUCAUGUUCCUGCAAAAGAAUAGGAAAAGCAAUGAGCAAUUUAAUCCGAAGAAGGAGAAGAUCAACAAAAACUACAGGAAAUCAAAAACAGCUAGGUGCCAUGUCAAGAUCCUUAAUCAAAAGCGAACUAUAUUAGUUCAAUAUAAACGGCAAUAUGAAAAGCAUACUCAUUAGGAAGCAUUAGUUAAGCCAACAUAUGAUUUCUCCUUGUGACUACUUUAUCCUUUCACAUUCAGCUCCCUGAGCUCCUUCUCUUUGUCACAUGUAUCUUGGAAAAGUAGUCAUCAUGAAAGCUUUAGACGGAGUACAAGGGGAUUCCAUUAGCUUUAGAAAAAUUCUAGUACAAGCGAANNNNNNNNNNNNNNNNNNNNNNNNNNNNNNNNNNNNNNNNNNNNNNNNNNNNNNNNNNNNNNNNNNNNNNNNNNNNNNNNNNNNNNNNNNNNNNNNNNNNUUCCUGGUCCUAUUUAUGAUCCUACAAGGGCUAUCUCUAUGAGCUAAACAAUUAUAGUAGAGGACACAAUCAAAUUCAGAGGUUAGAAUGAUGAUCUUUUCCGCAUGGAGUAAUGCUACUCUCAAUGUUUUUGCAUAAAAAACUUACGAUUUUGUAUUGAAAUCUUUGUAGUUGUUCUUCCAGUUAAGUUGAGCUUAAAACAUUUGUCGUAUUACUAGGGAAGCAUUUGUGCCUUGCAUGUCGUGAUACCUUAUAAGCACCCUGUUAAUCAAUUUUUNNNNNNNNNNNNNNNNNNNNNNNNNNNNNNNNNNNNNNNNNNNNNNNNNNNNNNNNNNNNNNNNNNNNNACAAAUUUCUCUGAUGUAGAUUAUAAUAAGUUAUAUAACAGAAAUAGAAUUUAAUUUGUGUUUGGUGUGGAUUCCAAAUCUAAUCUGCUUCUACUCGAACGUUCGCUUGUACUAGAAUUUUUCUAAAGCUAAUGGAAUCCCCUUGUACUCCGUCUAAAGGUUUCAUGAUGACUACUUUUCCAAGAUACAUGUGACAAAGAGGAGGAGCUCAAGGAGCUGAAUGUGAAAGGAUAAAGUAGUCAGGAAGGAGAAAUCAUAUGUUGGCUUAACUAAUGCUUCCUAAUCAGUAUGCUUUUCAUAUUGCCGUUUAUAAUUAACUAAUAUAGUUCGCUUUUGAUUAAGGAUCUUGACAUGGCACCUAGCUGUUUUUGAUUUCCUGUAGUUUUUGUUGAUCUUCUCCUUCUUCGGAUUAAAUUGCUCAUUGCUUUUCCUAUUCUUUUGCAGGAACAUGAACCUUAUGAUGACCCAUAGUUGGAUGUAUGUGAGAGGUACAGGUGUUAUCUCAUAAGCAUAUCAAAAUACAAUCAUGACAUGUAUAAUUAUUCAGUUAUACUUUUUGUUCAUGGCUCAACAAUCGACCAAAUUAAAUGACAGGAUGAACAUUCAGAAAUCCUUGAUGACUGGGAUUCUAGGAAGACGAUCACAUACUCGACCAACCCACCUGUCACCGCAAGACAAGCUAAAAGUGAAGCAAGUACAGGUUUGCAUCGAAUGCUUUUACUAUUGAUUUCUUCAAGGGUAGAAACUUACACCCAACAUAUGUCAUUUUUAGGUUAAUUGACUAGCCCCUCUUUUUAUAAUGGUCCAGUCAAUUUAGAGAAAGGGGAAAAGAAAAUGUAUGACACAAGGACCCUAAACCCUAAACAUUUGCAUUCCUGGUCCUAUUUAUGAUCCUACAAGGGCUAUCUCUAUGAGCUAAACAAUUAUAGCAGAGGACACAAUCAAAUUCAAAGGUUAGAAUGAUGAUCUUUUCCGCAUGCAGUAAUGCUACUCUCAAUGUUUUUGCAUAAAAAUCUUACGAUUUUGUAUUGAAAUCUUUGUAGUUGUUCUUCCAGUUAAGUUGAGCUUAAAACNNNNNNNNNNNNNNNNNNNNNNNNNNNNNNNNNNNNNNNNNNNNNNNNNNNNNNNNNNNNNNNNNNNNNNNNNNNNNNNNNNNNNNNNNNNNNNNNNNNNUAGGGAAGCAUUUGCCUUGCAUGUCGUGAUACCUUAUAAGCACCCUGUUAAUCAAUUUUUUGUGAUCAAGUUUACUAUUAUUUCUAUCGCUCUCUAGUUUAUUUGACUACACUCCUUUAUAUUAAGUUGAUACAAGGAGAAUAGAAAAGUAGUCCUUUGCUUUGUUCAUAAUUUCUCUGAUGUAGAUUAUAAUAAGUUAUAUAACAGAAAUAGAAUUUAAUUUGUGUAUGGUGUGGAUUCCAAAACUAAUCUGCUUCUACUGGAACGUUCGCUUGUACUAGAAUUUUUCUAAAGCUAAUGAAAUCCCCUUGUACUCCGUCUAAAGCUUUCAUGAUGACUACUUUUCCAAGAUACAUGUGACAAAGAGGAGGAGCUCGGGGAGCUGAAUGUGAAAGGAUAAAGUAGCCAAGAAGGAGAAAUUAUAUGUUGGCUUAACUAAUGCUUCCUAAUGAGUGUGCUUUUCAUAUUCCCGUUUAUAUUGAACUAAUAUAGUUCGCUUUUGAUUAAGGAUCUUGACAUGGCACCUAGCUGUUUUUGAUUUCCUGUAGUUUUUGUUGAUCUUCUCCUUCUUCGGAUUAAAUUGCUCAUUGCUUUUCCUAUUCUUUUGCAGGAACAUGAACCUUAUGAUGACCCAUAGUUGGAUGUAUGUGAGAGGUACAGGUGUUAUCUCAUAAGCAUAUCAAAAUACAAUCAUGACAUGUAUAAUUAUUCAGUUAUACUUUUUGUUCAUGGCUCAACAAUCGACCAAAUUAAAUGACAGGAUGAACAUUCAGAAAUCCUUGAUGACUGGGAUUCUAGGAAGACGAUCACAUACUCGACCAGCCCACCUGUCACCGCGAGACAAGCUAAAAGUGAAGCAACUACAGGUUUGCAUCGAAUGCUUUUACUAUUGGUUUCUUCAAGGGUAGAAACUUAUACCCAACAUAUGUCAUUUUUAGGUUAAUUGACUAGCCCCUCUUUUUAUAAUGGUCCAGUCAAUUUAGAGAAAGGGGAAAAGAAAAUGUAUGACACAAGGACCCUAAACCCUAAACAUUUGCAUUCCUGGUCCUAUUUAUGAUCCUACAAGGGCUAUCUCUAUGAGCUAAANNNNNNNNNNNNNNNNNNNNNNNNNNNNNNNNNNNNNNNNNNNNNNNNNNNNNNNNNNNNNNNNNNNNNNNNNNNNNNNNNNNNNNNNNNNNNNNNNNNNCGCAACUGUUUUGCACCCGUUGUAUGUGAACGUUGAGUCUAUCACACCCGAUCAUCACGUGGUGUCUCGAAACGACGAACUGUAGCAACGGUGCACAGUCGGGGAGAAUACAAUUUCGUCUUGAAAUUUUAGUGAGAGAUCACCUCAUAAUGCUACCGUCAUUCUAAGCAAAAUAAGGUGCAUAUAAGGAUUAACAUCACAUGCAAUUCAUAAGUGACAUGAUAUGGCCAUCNNNNNNNNNNUUUAACCCGAGUGUUUCGCGUGUGCAACUGUUUUGCACCCGUUGUAUGUGAACGUUGAGUCUAUCACACCUGAUCAUCACGUGGUGUCUCGAAACGACGAACUGUCGCAAUGGUGCACAGUCGGGGAGAACACAAUUUGAGCUUGAAAUUUUGGUGAGAGAUCACCUCAUAAUGCUACCGUCGUUCUAAGCAUAAUAAGGUGCAUAAAGGAUUAACAUCACAUGCAAUUCAUAAGUGACAUGAUAUGGCCAUCAUCAUGUGCUUUUUGAUCUCCAUCACCAAAGCACCGGCAUGAUCUUCUUGUCACCGGCGUCACACCAUGAUCUCCAUCAUCAUGAUCUCCAUCAAUGUGUCGCCAUCGGGGUUGUCGUGCUACUCAUGCUAUUACUACUAAAGCNNNNNNNNNNCGUGCUUAUUGAUCUCCAUCACCAAAGCACCAGCACGAUCUUCUUGUCACCGGCGCCACACCAUGAUCUCUAUCAACGUGUCGCCAUCGGGGUUGUCGUGCUACUCAUGCUAUUACUACUAAAGCUACAUCCUAGCAAUAUAGUAAACGCAUCUGCAAGCACAAACGUUAGUUAAAAGACAACCCUAUGGCUCCUGCCGGUUGCCGUACCAUCGACGUGCAAGUCGACAUUAACUAUUACAACAUGAUCAUCUCAUACAUCCAAUAUAUCACAUCACGUCAUUGGCCAUAUCACAUCACAAGCAUACCCUGCAAAAACAAGUUAGACAUCAUCUAAUUGUUGUUGCAUGUAUUACGUGGUGACCAUGGGUAUCUAGUAGGAUCACAUCUACUUACGCAAACACCACAACGGAGAUAUAUGAAUUGCUAUUUAACCUCAUCCAAGGACCUCCUCGGUCAAAUCUGAUUCAACUAAAGUUGGAGAAACCGACACUCGCCAGUCAUCUUUGAGCAACGGAGUUGCUCGUAGCGAUGAAACAGUCUCUCGUAAGCGUACGAGUAAUGUAUGUCCGAGCCGUUUCGAUCCAACAAUACCGCGGAAUCAAGAAAAGAGAAGACAUCUACGCAUGAACCUAGCUCAUGAUGCCACUGUUGGGGAACGUCGCAUGGGAAACAAAAAAUUUCCUACGCGCACGAAGACCUAUCAUGGUGAUGUCCAUCUACGAGNNNNNNNNNNNNNNNNNNNNNNNNNNNNNNNNNNNNNNNNNNNNNNNNNNNNNNNNNNNNNNNNNNNNNNNNNNNNNNNNNNNNNNNNNNNNNNNNNNNNCCGCCAACCUCACCGCCAAGGAGAAGUAUGAGGAGUGGUGCCGCAUCCGCGAGGAGCAGACGGCGAAGUACAUCGACAUCUGCAGCUCCGACGAGGAGGAUUGAGCGUCCUUCUCCUCCACGGCGUCGUCCAUUUGCUGCGACCUCGCCGCCGUCAGAUCCGACUCCCUCUAGUACUAGUAUUAACGUAGUAUGUAGUAUGAACUAUGUUUGUAGUGUGCUGAUCAUGAUCUAUGUUCUCCCGCGAAAGUGUUUUUUCAAAUUAUGCAGUUCUAGAUACGGUUUCUGUUCGGCCACGCUAGUUUUUGACCCGCAAACGCAAUCUUCGUGAAACCGCAAACGCGUUUUGCGGGUCAAGUUUUUGUGGGGUCUGCUAGAGUUGCUCUGAGGCGGCCAAAUUUUGUGUUUUGAUUCCUUUUGAAAAAUUAUCCGGAUCUAACCCUAGUUCGUAAAUUGUUUGGAAUCUGUUCAUUUUUUCUAUCGUCAUUGUUCUCGGCGAUAGGGUAACACAACUUACCGUCAACAUUUUAACUGCACCGUCUUGAAGAUCGUGAUUUACGUCCCAUCCCCUCUUGAAGGCGUCAUCUUGAAGAUCGUGAUUUCCUGUGUGCUUUUCCCGGGGCUGGACUUGCACGGCAUCGCAGCAAGUGGACGAUGAUGCGAGAGGUACUGGCUGGAGGGGAGCCAGAGGUGGAGCGGUGUUGCUUCCUCUGCAUUGACGAUGUCGCAUCUUGGCAGCAUGGAGUUUUGGAGUCUCGGUGUUCGAUAUAUGUAGGCGGACUCGCGCAUGAGGAUGUCGUUGUCUCGCGUCGUGGUGACAUAGACAGCAGGUUUCACAAGGUCGAUGCGUCUGUAACUGCCAUGAAGAUAGAUCGGUGGAAGAUGGCGGCGGCCGCCUAUGAGAGUGUGCCGAACCAGUGUGUGCCCUAGACACGGCAAUGUGACUUGGUUGGGGCAUUCGAUUUUAGAUGUUACGCUUUGCUGCGAGGUCCAUUUGGUAUUCAGUUCGGACUAUCAGCGCCCCUUUAUCAAAUGGAUAGGAGUAGCGACACAUGUUGCCAAGAUGAUGGCUUCAGACUUACUCAUGUAUUACUUUGUAAGAUUUUUGUGAAUAAUUAGUAAAUUGGCUGCAUGCAUCGCCGAGAUGUAGAGGCCGGGGGUCUUCCUCCUUUUUCUAAAAAACUGCAUCGUCACAGCCGUUCGACGAAAAAAUACCCUACCGAUGGGGCUUUCAGCGGUAGGCUUUGGAACCUUAGAGCAACUUCAACCGCGCGACCAGUUUGGUCCACGCUUGUCCGUUUGUCUCGCUGCGAAAAGAAAACACUGUCCAACGCGCUGACCCAAAUGGACGCACGUACACUUUUAGUCUGACCGUGAGCCAUUUCAAACUUAAAUUUGGGCCGAAUUUGCGUCGGCGCAAACACGGGAUGGACGACCGCAUCGCACGCCCUUCUCUUUGUUGGAAAUAUGCCCUAGAGUCAAUAAUAAAUUAGUUAUUAUUAUAUUUCUUUGUUCAUGAUAAUCCUCUGUUACCCAUGCUAUAAUUGUAUUGAUUGGAAACACAAUACUUGUGUGGAUACAUAGACAAAACACUGUCCCUGGUAAGCCUCUAGUUGACUAGCUCGUUGAUCAAAGAUGGUCAAGGUUUCCUGACCAUAGGCAAGUGUUGUGACUUGAUAACGGGAUGACAUCAUUAGGAGAAUCAUGUGAUGGACUAGACCCAAACUAAUAGACUUAGCAUGUUGAUCGUGUCAUUUUGUUGCUACUGUUUUCUGCGUGUCAAGUAUUUAUUCCUAUGACCAUGAGAUCAUAUAACUCACUGACACCGGAGGAAAACUUUGUGUGUCUCAAACAUCGCAACGUAACUGGGUGAAUAUAAAGAUGCUCUACAGGUAUCUUCGAAGGUGUUAGUUGAGUUAGUAUGGAUCAAGACUGGGAUUUGUCACUCUGUGUGACGGAGAGGUAUCUCGGGGCCCACUCGGUAAUACAACAUCACACACAAGCCUUGCAAGCAAUGUGACUUAGUGUAAGUCACGGGAUCUUGUAUUACAGAACGAGUAAAGAGACCUGCCAGUAAACAUGAUUGAAAUAGGUAUGCGGAUACUGACGAUCGAAUCUCGGGCAAGUAACAUACCGAAGGACAAAGGGAAUGACAUAUGGGAUUAUAUGAAUCCUUGGCACUGAGGUUCAAAUGAUAAUAUCUUCGUAGAAUAUGUAGGAUCCAAUAUGGGCAUCCAGGUCCCGCUAUUGGAUAUUGACCGAGGAGUCUCCCGGGUCAUGUCUACAUAGUUCUCGAACCCGCAGGGUUUGACACUUAAGGUUCGACGUUGUUUUAUUCAUAUUUGAGUUAUAUGGUUGGUUACCGAAUGUUGUUCGUAGUCCCGGAUGAGAUAACGGACGUCACGAGGGUUUCUGGAAUGGUCCGGAGACGAAGAUUGAUAUAUAGGAUGACCUCAUUUGAUUACCGGAAGGUUUUCGGAGUUACCGGGAAUUUACCGGGAAUAACGAAUGGGUUCCGAAUGUUCACCGGGGGGGCAAGCCCACUCGGGGGAAGCCCAUAGGCCUUAGGGGUGCCACACCAGCCCUUAGUGGGCUGGUGGGACAGCCCAAGAAGCCCUAUGCGCAGGAGAAAGAAAAAUCAAAGAGAAAAAAAAAGGGAAGUGGGAAAGUGGAGAAGGACUCCACCUUCCAAUCCUAGUUGGACUAGGAUUGGAAGGGGAGGACUUUCCCCCUUGGUUCGGCCGAACCCCUUGGGGCUCCUUGAUCCCCAAGGCAAGGCCCCUCCCCUCCCACCUAUAUAUACGGAGGUUUUAGGGCUGAUUUGAGACAACUUUUCCACGGCAGCCCGACCACAUACCUCCACGGUUUUCCCUCUAGAUCGCGUUUCGGCAGAGCUCGGGCGGAGCCCUACUGAGAUUAGAUCACCACCAACCUCCGGAGCGUCGUCACGUUGCCGGAGAACUCAUCUACCUCUCCGUCUCUCUUGCUGGAUCAAGAAGACCGAGAUCAUCGUCGAGUUGUACGUGUGCUGAACGCGGAGGUGCCGUCCGUUCGGCACUAGAUCGGAGCGGAUCAUGGGAUGGAUCGCGGGACGGUUCGUGGCAUGGUUCGCGGGGCGGAUCGAGGGACGUGAGGACGUUCUACUACAUCAACCGCAUUUCUUGACGCUUCUGCUGUGCGAUCUACAAGGGUACGUAGAUCUGAAAUACCCCUCGUAGAUGGACAUCACCAUGAUAGGUCUUCGUGCGCGUAGGAAAUUNNNNNNNNNNNNNNNNNNNNNNNNNNNNNNNNNNNNNNNNNNNNNNNNNNNNNNNNNNNNNNNNNNNNNNNNNNNNNNNNNNNNNNNNNNNNNNNNNNNNCCUCAUCUGCGACUACAUCGAAGGGGAGGACGUAAAUAUAUGCAAAGUGCAUACGGAUCUGAAUGUGGCAGACCCGCUGACUAAACCUCUUCCAUGGGCAAAGCAUGAUCAACACCAGAACUGUAUGGGUGUUAGAUUUAUUACAAUGUAAUUCGCAUGGCGAUGUGAGGGCUAGAUUAUUGACUCUAGUGCAAGUGGGAGACUGUUGGAAUUAUGCCCUAGAGGCAAUGAUAAAUAAGUUAUUAUUAUAAUUCCUCUAUCAAGAUAAUCGUUUAUUAUCCAUACUAUAAUUGUAUUGAAUGAAGACUUAGAUACAUGUGUGGAUACAUAGANNNNNNNNNNGUGCGGGGCAGGGGCGAGACCGGGUGGCGGCGCGAAGUUGUAGGGCGUCGGCGGGAGUGCAGAAUCAUAGGGGGGCAGCGGCGGUAGCAAAGAGCCAGCAUCAUCGACGACCAGAGAUGGCGGCGGUGUUGGAAUUAUGCCCUAGAGGCAAUGAUAAAUAAGUUAUUAUUAAAAUUCUUGUAUCAAGAUAAUCGUUUAUUAUCCAUGCUAUAAUUGUAUUGAAUGAAGACUUAGAUACAUGUGUGGAUACAUAGACAAAACACUGUCCCUAGCAAGCCUCUAGUUGGCUAGCCACUUGAUCAAGGAUAGUCAGGGUCUUCUGACUAUGUACAAGGUGUUGUUGCUUGAUAACUGGAUCACAUCAUUGGGUGAAUCAUGUGAUGGACUAGACCCGAACUAAUAGACGUAGCAUGUUGAUCGUGUCAUUUUGUUGCUACUGGUUUCUGUGUGUCAAGUAUUUAUUCCUAUGACCAUGAAAUCAUAUAUCUCACUGACACCGGAGGAAUUCUUUGUGUCUAUCAAACGUCGGAACAUAACUGGGUGACUAUAAAGAUGCUCUACAGGUAUCUCCGAAGGUGUCCGUUGAGUUAGUAUGGAUCAAGACUGGGAUUUGUCACUCCGUGUGACGGAGAAGUAUCUCGGGGCCCACUCGGUAAUAGAACAUCACACAUAAGCCUUGAAAGCAAUGUGACUUAGUGUAAGUCACGGGAUCUUGUAUUACGGAAUGAGUAAAGAGACUUGCCAGUAAACGAGAUUGAAAUAGGUAUGCGGAUACUGACGAUCGAAUCUCGGGCAAGUAACAUACCGAAGGACAAAGGGAAUGACAUAUGGGAUUAUAUGAAUCCUUGGCACUGAGGUUCAAACGAUAAGAUCUUUGUAGAAUAUGUAGGAUACAAUAUGGGCAUCAAGGUCCCGCUAUUGGAUAUUGAUCGAGGAGUCCCUCGGGUCAUGUCUACAUAGUUCUCGAACCCGCAGGGUCUGCACACUUAAGGUUCGGUGUUGUUUUACGCGUCUUUGAGUUAUAUGGUUGGUUACCGAAUGUUGUUCGGAGUCCCGGAUGANNNNNNNNNNGGACGUCACGAGGGUUUCUGGAAUGGUCUGGAGACGAAGAUUGAUAUGUAGGUUGACCUCAUUUGAUUACCGGAAAGUUUUCGGAAUUACCGAGAAUGUACCGGGAGUGACGAAUGGGUUCUGGAUGUUCACCGGGGGGGCAGCCCACCCAGGGGAAGCCCAUAGGCCUUAGGGGUGCCGCACCAGCCCUUAGUGGGCUGGUGGGCAAGCCCAAGAAGGACCGUGCGCGGGAUAAAAGAAAAUCAAAGAAAAAAAAAGGGGAAGAGGGAAGGUAGGGAAGGACUCCACCUUCCAAUCCUAGUUGGACUAGGAUUGGAGGAGGACUCCUCCUCCCCCCAUUAGGCCGAACCCCUUGGGGAUCCUUGAGCCUCAAGGAAAGGCCCGUCCCCUCCCACCUAUAUAUACGGAGGUAUUAGGGCUGAUUUGAGACAACUUUGCCACGGCAGCCCGACCACAUACCUCCACGGUUUUCCCUCUAGAUCGCGUUUCUGCGGAGCUCGGGCGGAGCCCUGCUGAGAUUAGAUCACCACCAACCUCCGAAGCGCCAUCACGCUGCCGGAGAACUCAUCUACCUCUCCGUCUCUCUUGUUGGAUCAAGAAGGCCGAGAUCAUCAUCGAGUUGUACGUGUGCUAAACGCGGAGGUGCCGUCUGUUCGGCACUAGAUCGGAGCGGAUCGUGGGAUGGAUCGCGGGACGGUUCGCGGGACGGUUCGCGGGGCGGAUCGAGGGACGUGAGGACGUUCCACUACAUCAACCGCGUUUAUUAAUGCUUCUGCUGUGCGAUCUACAAGGGUACGUAGAUCUGAAAUACCCCUCNNNNNNNNNNNNNNNNNNNNNNNNNNNNNNNNNNNNNNNNNNNNNNNNNNNNNNNNNNNNNNNNNNNNNNNNNNNNNNNNNNNNNNNNNNNNNNNNNNNNGUGAUUCUCCUAAUGACGUGAUCCAGAUAUCAAGCAACAACACCUUGUUCAUAAUCAGAAGACAUUGACUAUCUUUGAUCAACUGGCUAGCCAACUAGAGGCAUGCUAGGGACGGUGUUUUGUCUAUGUAUCCACACAUGUAAAUGAGUCUUCAUUCAAUACAAUUAUAGCAUGGAUAAUAAACGAUUAUCUUGAUACAGGAAUUAUAAUAAUAACUAUAUUUAUUAUUGCCUCUAGGGCAUAAUUCCAACAACGGGGACCAUCGAGAGGGGUGUCACGCCCCAAGGGGUCUCAUGGACUAUGGGAAGAGAUAAACCAGCCCCUAUUGGGCUGGAAUAAGUUCCCACUAAGGCCCAUAAGAUUUGAGAAGGGAAAAACACAAGGUGGAAAGAGCUUCCAAGUGGGAAGGUGGAAUCCUACUCCAAGUAGGAUUGGAGUAGGACUCCUCCACCUCAAAUUUCGGCCAAACCUUGAGGGUUUAAGGCUGCCUCCUCCCCUCCCUCCCUCCUAUAUAUACUAAGGUAUUGGGGCUGAUUUGAGAGAAGUUUUGCCACGGCAGCCCGACCACAUACCUUCAUGGUUUUUCCUCUAGAUCGCGUUUCUGCGGAGCUCGGGCGGAGCCCUGCUGAGAUUAGAUCACCACCAACCUCCGGAGCGCCAUCACGCUGCCGGAGAACUCAUCUACCUCUUUGUCUCUCUUGCUGGAUCAAGAAGGCUGAGAUCAUCGUCGAGGUGUACGUGUGCUCAACGCGGAGGUGUCGUCCGUUCGGCACUAGAUCGGAGCGGAUCGUGGGACGGAUCACGAGACGGUUCGUGGGACGGUUCGCGGGGCGGAUCGAGGGAUGUGAGGACAUUCCACUACAUCAACCGCGUUUCUUAAUGCUUCUGUUGUGCGAUCUACAAGGGUACGUAGAUCAGAAAUCCCUUCUCGUAGAUGGACAUCACCAUGAUAGGUCNNNNNNNNNNNNNNNNNNNNNNNNNNNNNNNNNNNNNNNNNNNNNNNNNNNNNNNNNNNNNNNNNNNNNNNNNNNNNNNNNNNNNNNNNNNNNNNNNNNNUGGGAAACAAAAAUUUUCCUACGCGCACGAAGACCUAUCAUGGUGAUGCCCAUCUACAAGAGGGGAUGAGUGAUCUACGUACCCUUGUAGACCGUACAGCAGAAGCGUUAGAGAACGCGGUUGAUGUAGUGCACGUCCUCACGUCCCUCGAUCCGCCCCGCGAACAAUCCCGCGAUCAGUCCCACGAUCUAGUACCGAACGGACGGCACCUCCGCGUUGAGCACACGUACAGCUCGACGAUGAUCUCGGCCUUCUUGAUCCAGCAAGAGAGAUGGAGAGGUAGAAGAGUUCUCCGGCACCGUGACGGCGCUCCGGAGGUUGGUGAUGACCUUGUCUCAGNNNNNNNNNNNNNNNNNNNNNNNNNNNNNNNNNNNNNNAGAGUUCUCCGCCAGCGUGACGGCGCUCCGGAGGUUGGUGAUGACCUUGUCUCAGCAGGGCUCCGCCCGAGCUCCGCAGAAACGCAAUCUAGAGGAAAAACCGUGGAGGUAUGUAGUCGGGCUGCCGUGGAAAAGUCGUCUCAAAUCAGCCCUAAAACCUCUGUAUAUAUAGGUGGGAGGGAGGGGGCCUUGCCUUGGGAGCCCCAAGGGGGUGGGCCGAGUCCAAGGGGGAGGACUCUCCCCCCCCCCAAACAGAGUUGGACNNNNNNNNNNNNNNNNNNNNNNNNNNNNNNNNNNNNNNNNNNNNNNNNNNNNNNNNNNNNNNNNNNNNNNNNNNNNNNNNNNNNNNNNNNNNNNNNNNNNCGUUUGUCGUAUUACUAGGGAAGCAUUUGCCUUGCAUGUCGUGAUACCUUAUAAGCACCCUGUUUAUCAAUUUUUUGUGAUCAAGUUUACUAUUAUUUCUAUCGCUCUCCAGUUUAUUUGACUACACUCCUUUAUAUUAAGUUGGUACAAGGAGAAUAGAAAAGUAGUCAUUUACUUUGUUCAUAAUUUCUCUGAUUUAGAUUAUAAUAAGUUAUAUAACAGAAAUAUAAUUUAAUUUGUGUAUGGUGUGGAUUCCAAAACUAAUCUGCUUCUACUCGAACGAUUCGCUUGUACUACAAUUUUUCUAAAGCUAAUGGAAUCCCCUUGUACUCCGUCUAAAGCUUUNNNNNNNNNNGUCCUUUAUAGUCGAUACAAGGAGAAUAGAAAAGUAGUCCUUUACUUUGUUCAUAAUUUCUCUGAUGUAGAUUAUAAUAAGUUAUAUAACAGAAAUAAAAUUUAAUUUGUGUAUGUUGUGGAUUUCAAAACUAAUCUACAUCUACUCGAACGUUCGCUUGUACUAGAAUUUUUCUAAAGCUAAUGGAANNNNNNNNNNGGGAGCUUAAUGUGAAAGGAUAAAGUAGCCAGGAAGGAAAAAUCAUAUGUUGGCUUAACUAAUGCUUCCUAAUGAGUAUGCUUUUCAUAUUGCCGUUUAUAUUGAACUAAUAUAGUUCGCUUUUGAUUAAGGAUCUUGACNNNNNNNNNNAAGGAGCUCAGGGAGCUGAAUGUGAAAGGAUAAAGUAGUCACAAGGAGAAAUCAUAUGUUGGCUUAACUAAUGCUUCCUAAUGAGUAUGCUUUUCANNNNNNNNNNNNNNNNNNNNNNNNNNNNNNNNNNNNNNNNNNNNNNNNNNNNNNNNNNNNNNNNNNNNNNNNNNNNNNNNNNNNNNNNNNNNNNNNNNNNCAUGGCAUACUUCAGAUUCUAUGGCCAAGGCAUAGAAGACGACCUUCGUCUAUUCUCUUUAUUCUGCCGGGGUCGGGUUUUGAGUCUUACUCAAAUUCACACCUUACAACGCAACCAAGAACUCCUUCUUUGUUGAUCUAUUUUGAACUCCUUCAAAAACUUGUCAAGGCAUGCAUCUUGUUGAAACUUAUAUUAAGCGCUUUCGAUCUAUCUCCAUAGAUCUUUGAUGCUCAACGUUCAAGUAGCGCAAUCCAGGUAUUCCUUUGAAAAACUCCUUUCAAACAACCUUGUAUGCUUUACAGAAAUUCUACAUUACUUCUGAUCCACAAUAUGUCAACCACAUAUACUUAUCAGAAAUUCUAUAGCGAUCCCACUCACUUCUUUGGAAAUACAAGUUUCUCAUAAACCUUGUGCAAACCCAAAAUCUUUGAUCAUCUCAUCAAAGUGUAUAUUCCAACUCCGAGAUGCUUGCACCAGUCCAUUGAAGGAUCGCUAGAGCUUGCAUACUUGCUAGUAUCUUUAGGAUCGACAAAACCUUCUGGUUGUAUCACAUACAAUGUUUGCUCAANNNNNNNNNNACAAAUCCAAAAUCUUUGAUGAUCUCAACAAAGUGUAUAUUCCAACUCCGAGAUGCUUGCAGCAGUCCAUUGAAGGAUAGCUGGAGCUUGCAUACUUGUUAUUAUCUUUAGGAUCGACAAGACCUUCUGGUUGUAUCACAUACAAUCUUCCCUCAAGGAAACCGUCGAGGAAACAAUGUUUUGACAUCCUAUGUGCAAUAUUUCAUAAAUAAUGCAGCAACUACUAACAUAAUUGUAACAGAUUUUUAGCAUCGCUAUGAGUGAGAAAGUCUCAUCAUAGUCAACCAUUUGAUUUUGUCAGAAACAUCUUUGCGACAAGUCGAGCUUUUCUUAAUAGUGACUUAUCACCAUGAUCGUCUGUUUUCCUUUUAAAGAUCCAUCUUUACUUAAUAGUCUUACUACCAUUAAGCAGUUCCUCCAAAGUCUAAACUUUGUUCUCACACAUGGAUUCUCUCUCGGAUUUCAUGGCCUCCAGCCAUUUGUCGGAAUCCAGGCCCACCAUUGCUUCUCCAUAACUCUUAGGUUCAUUGUUGCUCAACAACAUGACCUCCAAGACAAGGUUACCAUACCACUCUGUAGUAAUACGCGACCUUUGUCGACCUACGAGGUUUGUAGUAACUUGAUCCGAAGCUCUAAUGAUCACUAUCAUCAGCUUCCACUUCAAUUGGUGUAGGCGCCACAGGAACAACUUCAUGCGCCCUGCUACACACUGGUUGAAGUGACGGUUCAAUAACCUCAUCAAGUUCCACCUGUCUCCCACUCAAUUCUUUCGAGAGAAACCUUUCCUCGAGAAAGGAUCCGUUUCUAGAAACAAACACUUUGCUUCCGGAUCUGAGAUAGGAGAUGUAUCCAACUGUUUUGGAUAUCCUAUGAAGAUGCUUUCAUCCGCUUUGGGUUCGAGCUUAUCAGACUGAAACCUUUUUCACAUAAGCAUCGCAGCCCCAAACUUUCAAGAAAUGACAGCUUAGAUUUCUCUAAACCUCAACCUAUACUGUGUCAUCUCAACAAAAAUACGCGGUGCCCUAUUUAAAGUAAAUGUGGUUGUCUCUAAUGCAUAACUCAUAAACGAUAGUGGUAAUUCGAUAAGAGACAUCAUAGUAUGCACCAUAUCAAAUAGGGCGUGGCUAUGACGUUCAGACACAACAUCACACUAUGGUGUUCCAGGUGGCAUGAACUGCAAAACAAUUUUCACUUUGUCUUAACCGCGUACCAAAAAUUCGUAACUCAGAUAUUCAUUUCUAUGAUCAUAUCGUAGAGAGUUUAUCCUUUUGUCACGACGAUCUUCACUCUGAAAUUGCUUUGAACUUUUCAAUAUUUCAGACUUGUGAUUCAUCAAGUAAAUACUCCUGUAUCUACUCAAAUCAUCAGUGAAGUAAGAACAUAAUGAUAUCCAUUGCGUGCCUUAGCACUCAUUGGACUGCACACAUCAAAAAUGCAUUACUCCCAACAAGUUACUCCCUUGUUUCAUGUGGCAUGUUUUGCAUGUCUCAAGUGAUUCAAAAUCAAGUGAGUCCAAACGAUCCAUCUCUAUGGAGUUUCUUCAUGCAUUUUAUACCAACAAGUAUGGUUUGCAUGUCCCAAACGUUUCAAAAAUGAGUGAGUACAAAGAUCCAUCGGCAUGGAGCUUCUUCAUGCAUUUUUAUACCAACAUGACUCAAGUGGCAGUGCCACAACUAAGUGGUACUAUCAUUAUUACUUUGUAUCUUUUGGCACCAAUAUUAUGAACAUGUGUAACACUAUGAUCGAGAUUCAAUAAACCAUUGAGGGUAAUUAUUCAAGCAAAUAGAAUAACCAUUAUUCUCUUUAAAUGAAUAAUCGUAUUGCAAAACACGAUCCAACCAUGUUCAUGCUCAACGCAAACACCAAAUAACAAUUAUUUAGGUUUUACCACCAAUCCCGAUGAUAGAGGGAGCGUGCGACGUUAUAUCACAUCAACCUUGGAAACACUUUCAACACUUAUCGUCACGUCGCCUUCAGCUAGUCUCCGUUUGUAACGUAGCUUUCGUUUCGUGUUUACUAAUCACUUAGCAACCGAACCGAUAUCUAAUACCCUCGCGCUACUAGGAGCACUAGUAAAGUACAUGUCAAUAUCAUGUAUAUCAAAUAUACUUUUGUCAACUUUGCCAACCUUCUUAUCUACCAAGUAUCUAGGGUAGCUCUGCCUCAAUGACCGUUCCCCUCAUAACAGAAGCACUUAGUCUCGGGUUUGGGUUCAAUCUUGGGUCUCUUCAUUAGUACAGCAACUGUUUUGCCGUUUCACGAAGUAUCCCUUCUAGCCCUUGCCUUUCUUGAAACUUAGUGGUUUUACUAACCAUCAACUAUUGAUGCUCCUUCUUGAUUUCUACUUUCGCAGUGUCAAACAUUAUGAAUUACUCAAGGAUCAUUGUAUCUAUCCUUGAUAUGUUAUAGUUCAUCACGAAGCUCUCACAGCUUGGUGGCAGUGACUUUGGAGAACCAUCACUAUCUCAUCUGGAAGAUUAACUCCCACUUGAUUCAAGCGAUUGUCGUACUCAGACAAUCUGAGUACAUGCUCAACGAUUGAGCUUUUCUCAUUUACUUCGUGGACAAAGAAUCUUGUCAGAGGUCUCAUACCUCUUAACAAUGACACAAGCAUGAAAUCACAAUUUCAUCUCUUUAGAACAUCUCUUAUGUUCCGUGACGUUUCAAAACGUCUUCGGCGCCUUGCUUCUAAGCCAUUAAGUAUUUUGCACUGAACUAUCGCGUAGUCAUCAAAAACGUGUAUGUCGGAUGUUCACAACAUCCACAGACGACGCUCGAGGUGCAGCACACUGAGUGGUGCAUUAAGGACAUAAGCCUUCUGCGCAGCAACGAGGACAAUCCUCAGUUUUACAAACUCAGUCCGCAAAGUUUGCUACUAUUAACUUUCAAUUAAAUUUUCUCUAGGAACAUAUAAAAACAGUAGAGCUAUAGCGCAAGCNNNNNNNNNNCAUGUUCAUGAUAAUUAGUUCAAUUAAUCAUAUUACUUAAGAACUCCCACUCAAAAAGUACAUCUCUCCAAUCAUUUGAGUGGUACAUGAUCCAAAUCCACUAUCUCAAGUCCGAUCAUCACGUGAGUCGAGAAUAGUUUCAGUGGUAAGCAUCUCUAUGCUAAUCAUAUCAACUAUAUGAUUCAUGCUCGACCUUUCGGUCUCAUGUGUUCCGAGGCCAUGUCUGCACAUGCUAGGCUCGUCAAGCUUAACCCGAGUGUUCCGCGUGUGCAAUUGUUUUGCACCCGUUGUAUGUGAACGUUGAGUCUAUCACACUCGAUCAUCACGUGGUGUCUCGAAACGAAGAACUGUCGCAACGGUGCACAGUCGGGGAGAACACAAUUUCGUCUUGAAAUUUUAGAGAGAGAUUACCUCAUAAUGCUACCGUCGUUCUAAGCAAGAUAAGGUGCAUAAAGGAUUGACAUCACAUGCAAUUCAUAAGUGACAUGAUAUGGCCAUCAUCAUGUGCNNNNNNNNNNNNNNNNNNNNNNNNNNNNNNNNNNNNNNNNNNNNNNNNNNNNNNNNNNNNNNNNNNNNNNNNNNNNNNNNNNNNNNNNNNNNNNNNNNNNUUUUGAAGAAAAACAUAUUUUGAGGAAAUAGAACAUUUGAAGAAAAUCAACUUGAGGAAUUUCACAUUAGGCGGUGGCGUGACCCACCAUAUAAGAAUGUUGAUUACAGACGCCGCGUACAAUUGUCGUAGGGCCCUGAGAAUCAAUUUUUUCGUUGAUUUCUUCACAUUCUGAGUGACAUUCUUCAUCAGUUGAAGAAAAUCGAUUCAUCAUGUGUUGCACAUCUAAGUCAUCAAUUUUGCAUAAGUGUUAGGAUGUGUGCAUGUUUUUAUAAAACAUUUGAAGAUUCUAAGAUAUUUAGCUCACACCGCAACUUGCAAAACCUUUUCUCAUCCAAGGGCUUAGUGAAGAUAUCUGCCACAUGAUCAUCAGUCUUCACAUGGUCGAUGAGGAUAUUGCCCUUGAGGACAUGGUCCCGAAGAAAAUGAUGACGAAUCUGGAUGUGCUUGGUCUUUGAGUGUUGUACUGGGUUGUAUGCAAUCUUGAUAGCACUCUCAUUGUCACGGUAGAGAGGCACAUUCUUCAUGUUGAUGUCGUAGUCCUUGAGGGUUUGCUUCANNNNNNNNNNNNNNNNNNNNNNNNNNNNNNNNNNNNNNNNNNNNNNNNNNNNNNNNNNNNNNNNNNNNNNNNNNNNNNNNNNNNNNNNNNNNNNNAUUCAGCUUCGGCAGUGGAGAGUGAUACGCAGUUCUGCUUCUUUGAGGACCAACAAACUAGUGAUCUUCCGAGGAAAUGGCAUGUGCCAGAAGUUGACUUGCGAUCCACACGGUCACCAGCAUAGUCAGAAUCAGAAUACCCUACCAGAUGAAUAUUUGAGCCCUUGGGAUACCAUAAUCCUAGUGUUGGUGUGUGAGCUAAGUAUCGAAGAAUAUGUUUCACAACCUUAUGGUGUGAUUCCUUCGGUUUUGCUUGAAAACGUGCACACAUGCAAACACUAAGCAUUAUAUCUGGCCUAGAUGCACAUAGAUACAAUAGAGAACCAAUCAUAGAACGAUAUACCUGCUGAUCAAAAUCUUUACCAUUUUCAUCAGUGUCGAGGUGACCGUUGGUAGGCAUUGGAGUCUUGGCACCUUUGCAUUCAUGCAUGUCGAAUUUCCUCAGAACAUCCUUGAGGUAUUUCUCCUGUGAUAUGAACAUUCCAUUGCUUUGUUGACGAAUCUGNNNNNNNNNNNNNNNNNNNNNNNNNNNNNUUGUUGACGAAUCUGAAGACCUAAGAAGAAUUUCAGCUCCCCCAUCAUGGACAUCUGAUAUUCUUCACUCAUCAUGUAGGCAAAUUCAUCACUGUAUCGUUUGUCAGUACAACCAAAUAUGAUAUCAUCGACAUAUAUUUGACACACAAAUAGCUCAUUAUCAUAGGAUUUAGUGAAAAGAGUUGGAUCGAGUGAACGAGGUNNNNNNNNNNNNNNNNNNNNNNNNNNNNNNNNNNNNNNNNNNNNNNNNNNNNNNNNNNNNNNNNNNNNNNNNNNNNNNNNNNNNNNNNNNNNNNNNNNNNUUGUUGUCUCCCCUCCUGUUCCUCAGCAAAAUCUUCAGCCAGUUCAGCGUCAGCCAUUCUCCAAGCGUCCUAAGUUUCAAAAGGAAAAUUUCUUUGAAGAACGCAUAUACUUCAUUGGAGAGAACCCCUAUGACAAGCCUCAGAUGAGGCAUCUGAAGUUUUGGAUUAGGACUCAGAUGAAUUACUAUGCCUCUGUGCUAUGUGGGCGAAACAAGAUAUUCCAGCACAGGCAUAUUCCUCAUGUUGAACUUGAAGCAAUAUCAUGCGUGGAGCCAGUCCUCAGUGUACUCCAUGAUGCUGGUUUACUACCUAUGUGCUCCGACAUCUCUGACUGGAACAACGAGCUAAUUCUUCAGUUCUAUGCCACUCUUCACAUAUACGGCAACCCUGAAGACAUUAACACUUGGGUGUUUGAUUGGAUGACACAAAACACUCACUACAAGGCUCCUGCUACUGAACUCCUCCGAGAACUGUCUGUACCAAUUCCCUCAGAUGAGGCUGUGAAGCUUUAUGGUGAGCGUGAGCUGCCAAAUGGGAUGAUGGAAGUCCUCAUGAAGCCUUUGGUUGAAGGAAAAUAUCCGAGAACAACCUUCCUCGUCCACGAGCUCAAGUACACACCCAGGUCUGUCUACAGAAUCCUCUACAGUGUGCUCGCGCCAAUCAAAGGCCAUGAUGAUGAAGAAGAUGUCGUAGGCCUCAUGAAGAAUAUCCUCUUCAACAUCAUCCAUGGUAUUCCUAUCAACAUCCAUGAUUUCUUCUUGAGGACUUUGGCCGACAAUGCUAUGUGUCCUUUUGAUCACAAGAUAUGCCCCAUGGAUCAUGAGAUUCAUCAGGACAAGGACAGGCAUCAACUUCCACGCUGAUUUCCAAAACCAUGUUGGUUAUAUGCCUCCUAUCCGGUCAACAAGAAGACUUUCGAGUCCAUUGAAGGAAAAGGCAAAUCAGUGAUUGAAGAAGGCAGUAGGCCCCUUGAUGGCCAGUUCAGAGAGCCAGAAGCUUAUUCUUCAUGGGAUGAUACUGAGACUCAUCCGGCAAGCCCCGUUCCUCCUCGCGUGAUGAAUACAAGAGAGCUCCUCCUCAGUCUUCACCAGAAGGUGGAUCGCAAUCACAAGUGGGUCAAACGCCAGUUUGGCGCCAUUGUGAAAACCCUCACUGAAACACAGAACUCUGUGAAGCUCAACCAUCACUAUCUGCAUGAGGUUUUUGAUCGCACCUGGGCUACACUUGCACAUCUGAAGACUCAGACUGAGCUUGAAGAAAUGGACUUUGAACGAGACUUUGAAUGGUCGUGGCCUGCCAAGAAGAAGUUCAGGCCUAUUCCAGUUCCAUACCUUGAAGACACCUNNNNNNNNNNNNNNNNNNNNNNNNNNNNNNNNNNNNNNNNNNNNNNNNNNNNNNNNNNNNNNNNNNNNNNNNNNNNNNNNNNNNNNNNNNNNNNNNNNNNGACCACACACAUCAGUAUGUAUUAUUUCCAAUAAGUCGGUCGCUCUCUCCAUUAUACCUGAGAAUGGAGUCUUAGUCAUCUUUCCCAUGAGGCACGGUUCGCAUGUGUCAAAUGAUUCAAAGUCAAGAGACUCUAAGAGUCCAUCAGUAUGGAGCUUCUUCAUGCGCUUAACACCGAUAUGACCAAGGCGGCAGUGCCACAAGUAUGUGGGACUAUCAUUAUCAACUUUACAUCUUUUGGUACUCACNNNNNNNNNNNNNNNNNNNNNNNNNNNNNNNNNNNNNNNNNNNNNNNNNNNNNNNNNNNNNNNNNNNNNNNNNNNNNNNNNNNNNNNNNNNNNNNNNNNNNNNNNNNNNNNNNNNNNNNNNNNNNNNNNNNNNNNNNNNNNNNNNNNNNNNNNNNNNNNNNNNNNNNNNNNNNNNNNNNNNNNNNNNNNNNNNNNNNNNNNNNNNNNNNNNNNNNNNNNNNNNNNNNNNNNNNNNNNNNNNNAAAACUAAUCCCGACGGUAGAUGUAGAGGUAGCGUGCCGACGGCGAUCACAUCGACCUUGGAGCCAUUCCCGACGCGCAUAGUCACCUCGUCCUUGGCCAGUCUCCGCUUAUUCCGCAGUUCCUGCUUUGAGUUAUAAAUGUGAGCAACAACACCGGUAUCAAAUACCCAGGAGCUACUACGAGCGCUGGUAAGGUACACAUCAAUAACAUGUAUAUCACAUAUACCUUUAACGUUGCCGGCCUUCUUGUCCGCUAAGUACUUGGGGCAGUUCCGCUUCCAGUGACUUUUUCCCUUGCAAUAGAAGCACUCAGUCUCAGGAUUGGGUCCAUUCUUUUUCUUCUUCCCGGCAUCUGGCUUACCGGGCGCGGCAACGGCUUUGCCGUCUUUCUUGAAGUUCUUCUUACCCUUGCCUUUCUUGAAACUGGUGGUAUUGUUGACCAUCAACACUUGAUGCUCUUUCUUGAUUUCUACUUCUGCAGACUUGAGCAUCGUGUACAACUCGGGAAUGGUCUUGUCCAUCCCUUGCAUGUUGUAGUUCAGCACAAAACCUUUGUAGCUUGGUGGGAGAGACUGGAGGAUUCUGUCAAUUAUAGCAUCAUCCGGAAGUUUGACUCCAAGUGAAGUCAGACGACCGUGUAACCCAGACAUUUUGAGUAUGUGCUCACUGACAGAACUGUUCUCCUCCAUCUUACAGCUAAAGAACUUGUCAGAGACUUCAUAUCUCUCGACACGGGCAUGAGCUUUAAAAACUAGUUUCGGCUCUUGGAACAUCUCAUAUGCACCGUGUUGCUCAAAACGCCUUUGGAGCCCCGUUUCCAAACUGUAUAACAUGCCACACCUAACCAGAGAGUAGUCAUCACUCCGCGUUUGCCAGACGUUAAGAAUGUCCUGGGCUGCUGCGGGAGNNNNNNNNNNNNNNNNNNNNNNNNNNNNNNNNNNNNNNNNNNNNNNNNNNNNNNNNNNNNNNNNNNNNNNNNNNNNNNNNNNNNNNNNNNNNNNNNNNNNCGGGCCGCCAUCGCGAGCCGCCCGCGCCUCCCCAUCUCCCCGAGGAGCCGUCGCCAUCUGCGAGAGCUAGCCGCGCCGGAGCGCCCUCCCGCCGCCAGAACUUCACCGCCGCUAGCUCCGCGCAGCCGCUCGCCGCGCAUGGGCUCGGAUCCGACCGUCGGCGAGGUCCGGUCCGGGUCGCGCCUCCACCUUUCGCCAGCACGCCGCUCUGCCUGCUCGCCGUUCCGUCACCGACAUCGUUCGCCUGUGCCUUGAUCGGGACGAGGAGUACCGUCCCGCGUUGACCAGCCUCGCCUCGCUGCGCCAUGGCCUUGCUCCCGUCGGAGCCAGCCGCCCGAGCUACCCCGCGCCGCCGCGCGAGCCCAUCCCCGCGCGUCGCCUCUUCUCCCGUGCCGUCCUGUAGUCGUUUGCUGCUGCCCGUGGACGGAAGCUGAUGUUGCCGUUGUUGCCUGCUGUCUGCUGCACCGAUGCAUGCUAGGCUAGCUGCUGGUUCCUACUGCUGCCUGUUAGUGUUGAUGCAUAUGCUUGCCUGCUGUGAGUUGCUAUCAAGUUUGCUGUUGCCAGAUGCUAGCCGCUGCCUGCUUGCCGAGUUUUAGCUGUUGAUCUUGCUGCUGCAUGCCGCUUGCCUUGCGAGCUUGCUCGAUGCUAGUUGCUGGCCGUGGCUUAGUUGCUGAUGCCGAGCUUGCUUCUAGAUUGUCUUGCUGUUUGCCUGCAUGCGGUAGCUGUUGCUGGUUGUAGAAGCUUGCUGCCGGUGCUAGUCAAAGCCUGCUGCUGCUAGAUGUUGCUGUUUUUCGUUGUGCCGCCGAUGCACGUUUGCUGUUGCUGUUGUGUCGCCUGCCGUCGCCGAAGUUCGCUAGUUCCAACCCCUCCUUCUUGGAACCGAAAAAUUCGCCGAGCACAACGACUUCCUCGACGACCCCCGGAACGUGUUCAACAACCGAUGUGAAGACCGUGACCGACGCCGAAGACCCUGAACCACGACGCCGAGCGAACGACUACCGUCGACGAGACCGGUACCACGACUUCCACGACGUCCACGACGACCGUUGUUCCCCUUCACCGAACCAAACCUCUCCGUUUCGCAUGCCUCGAAGGUAUACCGAUGAGACGUGUCAUGAACCGAAUGCAUGUGUUGUAUGAGUUGUAUCGUGUGUUGCACCGUAUGUUGGUGUUGCACGUUGUCUUCUUUUUGUUGUGCCUCGACACAUGGGAACCCAGAAACCGGGCUCACCCCAUCUAUAUUUGGUUUGUCCCGCAUGCGCACCCUAUACGUUGGCACGAUAUCCCGACGAGUAUCGGGAUAGGAACGUUGCCGUGGCUUCGUUUCCGUCUUGCCGCCAUGGUUCCCUCUCUCUCGCCGUGGCGACACCUGUUUCUUCCCCUUCUUGCCCGUGUUUGAACUUGCAAGCAUGUCGCAUUCAUGACAUAUAAUCUGGUGUUGCAUGUCCCUUGUGCCGUAGCUCCGUUCAAAGUCCCGCGUGCUAUCGACUAGUAUGACAGGUAGAAUCAUCGCUUCACCCCUUGCCAUGUUAACAACAUUUAAUAUUGCGUGUUAAAUAAUCGGGAGUGAAUUAAAUAAUUAAUCGUGGAGUUUCGUCGAUAUGCAACUCGUUGCAUAUCGAGCUUCACUUAAUGUGUAGUGUUUGCGUGAGGUGAAUUGCCAUGCCAUGCCUUGCAUCAUUGAUCUGAUCAUGCAUCAAAUUAGGUUGUGCAUCAUGUUGUGCAUCGUGUGGUGAAUAGUUGUGUUGAUGUUUGUUUCCGGUUUGCUCCGUCUCGAUAGAGUUCCGCAAGCGUGUCGGAAUGUGAGGACCCUUUCGACUAUGUGGUUCGCCGACUUCUCGGAGUUAUUCUUCUUCCAAGCGGGAUCUCAGGCAAGAUGACCAUUUCCCCAGAUACCAUUACUAUCAUUGCCAUGCUAGUUUUACCGUUUCUACCGUUUACGUCUCGUUGCCUACCACUUGUUAUAUAUUAGCCUCUCAACAAUGCCAUGAUAACCUUCAACUGUUCAACCUAGCAAACCACUGAUUGGCUAUGUUACCGCUUGCUUAACCAUGUUGUUAGCAUUGUUGCAGGUGCAGAUGCUUCCAUGCCAUAACAUGGGUUCCUUGUUAUAUCACCAUAUAUUUANNNNNNNNNNNNNNNNNNNNNNNNNNNNNNNNNNNNNNNNNNNNNNNNNNNNNNNNNNNNNNNNNNNNNNNNNNNNNNNNNNNNNNNNNNNNNNNNNNNNCUAGUUUCCUCCUAGAUGACGUAGUAAUCUUAAUCAGCUCCAAAAUGGCCUAUGUAAUAAAAAUGACAUGUACUUGGCUAAGUUCUCCCCUAAAUGACAUAAUAAGCUUACCUAGCCCCAAAAUGACCUAUUGUACCUAAACUUAGCUAUUAAAUGGCCUAUAAUUAGUUUAGUUAGCUAGAAAAUGGCAUAAUAAGCAUAGUUAGCUCUUAAAUGACCAAUUGUUACCUAUGUAGCUCUAAAAUGGCAUAUAGUUAGCUUAAUUUCCUCCUAGAUGACGUAGUAACCUUAAUCAGCUCCAAAAUGACCUAUUUAAAUGAAAAAUGACCUAUACUUAGCUAAGUUCUCUCCUAAAUGAUGUAAUAAGCUUACCUAACUCCAAAGCGACCUAUUGUACCUAACUUAGCUAUUAAAUGGCCUAUAAUUAGCUUAGUUAACUCCAAAAUGUCAUAAUAACCAUAGUUAGCUCCUAAAUGGCCUAAGCUCCGAAAUGGCAUAAUAAGCGUAGUUAGCUCCUAAAUGACCUAUUUUUACAUAAAUAACUCUAAAAUGACAUAUAGUUAGCUUAGUUUCCUCCUAGAUGACAUAGUAAGCUUGAUCAGCUCCAAAAUGGCCUAUUUAAUAAAAAAUUGACCUAUGGUUAGCUAAACUCUCUCCUAAAUGACAUAAUAAGCUUACCUAGCUCCAAAAUGACGUAUUGUACCUAACUUAGCUAUUAAAUGGCCUAUAAUUAGCUAAGUUAGCUCCAAAAUGGCAUAAUAAGCAUAGUUAGCUCCUAAAUGACCUAUUUUACCUAAGUAGCNNNNNNNNNNNAACAUAGUUAGCUACAAAAUGACCUAUUUUUACCUAAGUAGCUCUAAAAUGACAUAUACUUAGCUUAUUUUUCUCCUAUAUAACGUAGUAAGCUUAAUCAGCUCCAAAAUGGUCUAUUUAAUAAAAAAAUGACCUAUACUUAGCUAAGUUCGCUCCUAAAUGGCAAAUAGUUAGCUUAGUUUCCUCCUAUAUGACGUAGUAAGCUUAAUCNNNNNNNNNNNNNNNNNNNNNNNNNNNNNNNNNNNNNNNNNNNNNNNNNNNNNNNNNNNNNNNNNNNNNNNNNNNNNNNNNNNNNNNNNNNNNNNNNNNNAGUAGAACUUGAUGAGGUAAUUACACCCCCUCUCGAACCGGAAAGUAGCGCAACGCGGGAAAUUGUUCCUGCGGCGCCCACACCAACUGAAGAGGAAGUUAAUGAUAAUGAUCAUGAAGCUUCGGAUCAAGUUACUACUGAACCGCGAAGGUCCACAAGGGCACGCUCCGCACCAGAAUGGUACGGCAACCCUGUGAUGGAAAUCAUGUUGUUAGACAACGGUGAACCUUCGAACUAUGAAGAAGCAAUGGCGGGCCCGGAUUCCAACAAAUGGCUUGAGGGUAUGNNNNNNCGUGGAGGAGAAAGAAGCGAUGGGGGGCCCGGAUUCCAACAAAUGGCUUGAGGCUAUGAAAUCCGAGAUAGGAUCCAUGUAUGAGAACAAAUUAUGGACUUUGGUGGACUUGCCCGAUGACCGGCGAGUGCUACUGCAACAAAAAACCUUCCAACGGCGCCAGAAAUAGGAGUGUUGCUUGAUACUCCUCAGCAACGGUACCAGGAAUCAUUCAGCUGCAGCUACGCCUUAAGGGACUUCCUAGGCAAGUAUGCAAAGGAUUCCCCCGUGGCCUUGGAGCCUUGUGUUGGUGUUCCCUCGAAGCGGAAAGGGUGAUGUAGCGUAGCGGUGGUAAGUACUUCCCUCAGUUUGAGAACCAAGGUAUCAAUCUAGUGGAGGAGUAUCUCAAGAUCCUGCACAAACACAAAAACUUGCUCCCAACGCUAUGAAGGGGUUGUCAAUCCCUUAUAGAUUGUUUUCCAAGUGAGAACUGAAAGCAACAAAGUAACAAAACAAAGUAAAAGCGGAGGUGUAAACGAUGGAUGUGAAUAGACCCGGGGGCCGUAGUAUUUACUAGUGGCUUCUCUCAUGAAAGCAAGUAGACGGUGGGUGAACAAAUUACUGUCGGGCAAUUGAUAUGUGACAGCCCGAGACCAACGUUCUAGAAGAUUCCCCUUUAUUUCCGUUUCCGUCGUGUGGUUAUUUUAUUUGGUGGCAUCAUCAUUUAGUUUGCAUCGUCACAUCAUNNNNNNNNNNNNNNNNNNNNNNNNNNNNNNNNNNNNNNNNNNNNNNNNNNNNNNNNNNNNNNNNNNNNNNNNNNNNNNNNNNNNNNNNNNNNNNNNNNNNAUUCAUAUUGCUUCAUGCUUGUUUUGAUUGAAGUGUUGGUAUUUGAAACUCAUUAUUAUUUGCUCGUUAGCUGAUCAUGCCAUUGAUAUUAGUUUACCGUGAGACCUUUAUGUCACUUGCUUAUGUGGUUAACUUGUGAUCUUGCUGAAAUUCUGGUUAUGAGUUAGACAUAGUUGCAACAACAAGAUCAAACAGAGUUUGUCAAAGUUUUUCUUUCUCUCUCAGUUUGUCAACUGAGUUGCUUGAGGACAGGCAAGGUUUUAAGCUUGGGGGAGUUGAUACGUCUCCAUGGUAUUUACUUUUCCAAACUCUUUUGCCCUUGUUUUGGACUCUAAUUUGCAUGAUUUGAAUGGAACUAACCUCGACUAACGUUGUUUUCAGCAGAAUUGCCUUGGUGUUGUCUUUGUGUAGAAAUCAAAGUUCUCCAAACGUCCUGAAAAUUUAUGGGGAACAUUUUUGGAAAAUAUGAAAAAUACCUGCGCAAAGAUCCACCUGAGGGGGUGGGCCAGUGGGCCAUAAGCCCUGCCACCGCCAUGCCCUCGUGGCGGUGGGCAAGCUUGUGGGGCCCACACGGCUCUGCCGCCCCCAAUCUCAGCUCUAUAAGUUCACCUUCGUCCGAGAAAAAAUAAAAAGAGAAGAUUUCUUCGCGUUUGUGAUACGGAGGCGCCGCCACAACCUAUUCUUCAUCUGGAGGGCAGAUCUGGAGGCCGUUUUGGGCUCCGGAGAGGGGAAAUCAUCACCAUCGUCAUCAUCAACCUUCUUCCCUCUCCAAUUCCAUGAAGCUCUUCAUUGUUCGUGAGUAAUCUAUUCGUAGGCUCGCUGGGCGGUGAUGAGUAGGAUGAGAUCUAUCAUGUAAUCGAGUUAGUUUUGAUGGGGAUUGAUCCCUAGUAUCCACUAUGUUCUGAGAUUGAUGUUGCUACUACUUUGCCAUGCUUAAUGCUUGUCACUAGGGCCCGAGUGCCAUGAUUUCAGAUCUGAAAUUAUUAUGUUGCCACCAAUAUAUGUGUGUUUUAGAUCCGAUCUUCCAAGUUGUAGUUACCUACUAUGUGUUAUGAUCCGUUAACCCCGGAGUGACAAUAACCGGAACCACUCCCGGUGAUGACCAUAGUUUGAGGAGUUCAUGUGUUCACCAAGUGCUAAUGCGUUGGUCUGGUUCUUUAUUAAAAGGAGAACCUUAAUAUCCCGUAGUUUCCUUUUGGACCCCGCUGCCAUGGGAGGGAUGGACAAUAGAUGUCAUGCAAGUUCUUUUCCCUAAGCACGUAUGACGACACACGGAAUGCAUGCCUACAUCACAUUGACGAACGGGAGCUAGCCACAUAUCUCUCUGUGUUAUAACUGUUGCAUGAUGAAUAUCAUCCAAACAAAUCACGGACCCAUUGCCUACGAGUUUGUCCUACUGCUGAUGUUACUUGUCUUGCUCUGCUGCCGUUACUUGUCUUGCUCUGCUGGUACUGUUGCUACUAUUGUCGCUUGUUACUGUUGCUACUUGCUACUGUUGUCACUACUGUUGUUCCUUGCCGCUGCUAUUGCUCGUUACACUUCUGCUACCUAUUACAAUUUUGAUACGCUGGUCGUUGACGGGAACUGACAAUUUCCGUCAACGAGGCAACUUGGCGCGAUUGAUACAAUCGUUAGAAAUAGUCUGACGUGUCAACAGAUCGUUUCUGACACCAUUGUUAUCAUACUACUUUGCUACUGAUACUUUGCUUGCAGAUACUAAUCUUUCAGGUGUGGUUGAAUUUGACAUAUUCAGCUGCUAAUACUUGAGAGUAUCCUCUAACCUCCUAUAGGCGUACCAAUAAAUUUGGGUCGAAUACUCUACCCUCGAAAACUGCGACGAUCCCACGCGCUGGUGGGCCGUCAACAACAUUCUUCUAGUUUCGAUUGCCGGAGAGUGCUAGCAGCAUUCUUCUGGUGCCGUUGCAAGGGAAGGUCUGCUGUUACAGAGUCACACAUCGGAAACGUUCGACGAUAACCCGAUAAUGGUACCGCUACGGUCGACCGUUCGGGUACCAAACGGACUCCGAUUGCGUCAAAAUUUGGCACGCAACCUACCUAUAUUAAAAUAAGACUACACACCAAGUUUCAACACAAUCUGAGAAUAUUUUCCGGACACCUUUAAAAACAAUACUUAACUGAUGUCGCACGGGCGUGCGUGUGUGGUCAGGCUCAAAACGGUCAAUGACGAAAAUGAAGAGAACUGACAACUACUAACGGAUGCAACUUUUGAAAACUCGCGACAAAGGAGUGCCUAUGCAAUGCAGAUGAUGCGAAUGAUGCGAUGAUAAGUGCGACAAACAAUCUAAUCCCACAGCGGCAACAGGAUAAAAGGGGAACUUUUGGAGUGUCGGUCUCGGGCUCUCACAACAAUAGUCUACGAUUUCACCUUGGCACGCCCCCGUAAAAUUUCAAUAAUUUCAUAAAAAAAUAUAAUGUGGACACAAUGAGGUUGAAAAUUAUAGCACCGCGGUUUCACAAAAUCGUACACAUAACAUACUUCUUGUACAAUUCUGGUCUAAAGCAAAGUUCAAGUUUAUAACAACAAAAUUGUAUAUAACGAAUAAUUUUGUUUCAACGUGACACCCAAAUUUAACUAUUAUAAUCAUGUAACAUUCCAAAUUUUGUUAAGUUAUAAUAAUUACUAGAUUUAUUGAUUGUUCCUUUGAGUGAUUUGAAAUUGAGUGAAAUUUGAAACUUUUGAAACUUGAAAAGUGACAGGGAAUAAAAUGACUUUCCCCCUGAAUUUCAAAUUCAUCCAAUCCAAACCACUCACAGAAGAUAGCAUGACUUCUUCAUAAUAAAGGAUUUGAAUGAAUUGGAUUUGAAAACUAUUGAAAUUUUUCUUUUUGGAAUUCAUUUCAUUUAGACUGUGUUUUAAAAGUUUAAAUGAAUUCAAAUAUUAAAAGAAUAUGAGAGGAGGAACGUGCCUCCAAACCACGGGCAUUUUGAGAAAUAUUUGAACCCUAAAACUUAGGGGGUCAUUUGAAAAAAAAAAUGUAAGAGGAAACAAAUCAUUUAGGCAAUUUUGUUAAAAUAUGUUUUUCUGAAGUAUUUAUUUUGGCCGUGGAAAAAUGUUCAUCUUAUAGGAAUUAUUUUUUUGAUAACUUUUAUAUAUAAUACUUCCAUAUUUGGAGUUAUCUUUAUUUUCCUUUUUAUGUUUUUCUUUUCUGUUUUUAAAUGAAAGGAAAAUUCUUCUUUUGUUAGGAAAACGCCAGGGCCCGUUAGGAAUAGUGCGGCCCGAAGAUCCCCAGAUUGAUCCGAAUUUUUUCAGAUCGGCCGCCCGAUCCCCCUGCACCUCUCUCUCUCUCUCUCCCGCUGACGCGCUCGGCCCACCUUCCGACCCCGCACUCCCGUCGGUCUCCUUCCUUCUCCCUUCUUCCUCCUUCCAUACCUCACGAGAGCCACGGAUCCGCAUCGGAUGUCUCUCCUCCUUCCUUCUUCGAGCACCCCCGAGCCCCUAUAAGAACCCCCUCGAGCAUGUGUCUCCGCUUUCCCCAGACCCCGAGAGCCCUCGCCUCGACGCCGCCACAAUUGUUCGCCGGAGCUCCGCAACUUCCGCCACGCCAUUACUCGACGGAGCUCCGCCACUGCCGCCACGCCAUUACUGCACCACCGGUCACUCCUACGCACCCCGCCACUUGCCGUAACCACCAUUGGCUUCGCCUCUUUCACACGCACCCCCUCGCACACUCUCCCGAGCUCUACACCCAUGAGAGCCCCCUCCCCGGUGACCACCCGAGUGCCACCUCCGCCCCGAGCUCGCGUCGCUCGCCUCAGUCGCCCCGACCCUCGCUGACGCCACCACAGGACGGUCCGCCCUCAACUCCAUCGACACGAGACGCUCUCCGUCGCCGGAUAUCUCUGGAGGAUCGCCCCGACCACCACCGAGCCACCGCCGCCGUCGACAUCGUCGAAGAACUCCUCCACCACGGUGAGCCAACCCCGUGUGAGCUCUCUCCCUCCCUCUGCCACCGUUAGAUCUGGAUCUGACGAUCCAGAUUAGAAGAAAUAAAACCCCAAAACGUUUUCUUCUAUAAGUCGGUUGUUCGCCCAUUUAGACAAAGCGUGCACGCCUCUCAGCCACUCAUAGCACGCCACGUAGCCCCCCCCCCCCGAGCGCUAGCUAUAUUUUNNNNNNNNNNNNNNNNNNNNNNNNNNNNNNNNNNNNNNNNNNNNNNNNNNNNNNNNNNNNNNUUCUUUUGUAUUAAUUGUUCUUAAUUUUUUUUCUUUUGCAUUUGUGACAAGUUAUAUUUUGUUUUCUCAUGUUUACCAGUAACUUUUCAACAACAAAAAAAAAUUAUUUAUUUUUAUUUGAUUCCAUGGAAUCAAUUCUAGUAGAGUAAUAACUUUCAAAUUGAUUUCAUUGCCAAAUUAAAUUCCUAAUUGAAAAUACUUUAUAUUUUUUUUAUAAUUUUUAUUUUGUGUUAACUUUAGUUUAGAUCAGAAACAAUUUGUAUUAAAGUUGAAAUUGUUUUAGAUCUAGUUCAAGUUAACAUUGUUUUGAUAAUAAUUAGAGUUUUGAUAAAAGCUUUACAAUUAAUUCUUUUUUUUGCUAACCAGGUUUUAUGAAAAAUACUUUCUUUUAUCUUAGUUGUCUUAUAUUUUUGUUUUCUGUUAUUUUACAAUUUUAGUGUUUUUGUUGAUGUUAAGUUUAAUUAGGACAAAAAAAACUAUUUUGUGAUUGUUGUAGUAGAUGACUCCAUAGUUUUUUUUGAAGUUUCUUUUGGAUUCUUAUUUGAUCUUUCUUUCUGAUUUUUAUUGCAUCAAUUUUAAUUGUUUUUUGUUAUUGAUUGUUGGGAUGAUUGCUAGAAGUUGGGUAUGUUAGUGAAUUCAAAACUUUUCCUACGGCAUACAAGGAUCUAUCUAUGGAGAAACCAGCAACGAGAGAGGUUUUAGUGCAUCUUCAUACCUUUGAAGAUCGCUAUGCACAAGUGUUCCUAUGAGAGCGGUUGAUGGAGUCGUACUCGUUGCGAUUCAGAUCGCGGUGGAUUCCGAUCUAUAUGCAGAACUACGGCACCUCCGCGUUCAACACACGUGCAGCCCGGUGACGUCUCCAACACCUUGAACCUGCAAGGAGGAAGUACAGGUUUAGGGAGAGAGCUCCGGCAGCACGACGGCGUGGUGGCGGUGAAGCUACGUGGUUCUCCGGCAGAGCUUCUCCAAGCUAUGGAGAGGACGAUCACAGAGAGGGGUAGGGCUGCGUCGAGAGAGAGAGAUUUUGCCGGGAGCACGAGGACGUGGUGGCAGGGAAGCUACGUGGUUGUCCGGCACAGCUUCGCCAAGCUAUGCGGAGGACGAGGAGAGAGAGGGCUAGGCUGCGCCGAGAGAGAGAGAUUUUGUGUCCCAAAUCAGCCCAAACACCUUGGGUAUUUAUAGGAGGGAGGGAGAGAGGCUGUGCACCCCUAGGGUUCCCUCCCUAGGGGUGGCGACAGGCCUAGAUGGCCAGGGAGGGUGGCAGACAGGGUGGAGAGGAGGGACGCACCCUAGGUGGGCCCUGGGCCCCAUCCUGCGCCUAGGGUUUGCCCCAUCCACCUCUCCUUGCGCCUUGGGCUCAAAGGGGAGGGCGCACCAGCCCACUUUGGGCUGGUACCCUUCCACCUUUUGGCCCAUGAAGCCUCUUCGGACCAAUGGCCCCUCCCGGUGGACCCCCGGAACCCUUCCGGUGGUCCCGGUACGUUACCUGUGAUGCCCGAAACACUUCCGGUGAACAAAAUCUCACUUCCUAUAUAUAAAUAUUUACCUCCGGACCAUUCCGGAGCUCUUGUGACGUCCGUGAUCUCAAACGGGACUCCAAACAACAUUCAGUAACCACGUACACUAAUUCCCUAUAACCCUGGUGUCAUCGAACCUUAAGUGUGUAGACCCUACGGGUUCGGGAAACAUGCAGACAUGACCGAGACAUCUCUCCGGCCAAUAACCAACAGCGGGGUCUGGAUAUCCAUGUUGGUUCCCACAUGUUCCACGAUGAUCCCAUCGGAUGAACCACGAUGUCAAGGAUUCAAUUAAUCCUGUAUGCAAUUCCCUUUGUCUAUCGGUAUGAUACUUGCCCGGCAUUCGAUCGUCGGUAUCCUUAAACCUUGUUCAAUCUCGUUACCGACAAGUCUCUUUACUCGUUCCGUAACACAUCAUCCCGUGGCUAACCCCUUAGUCACACUGAGCUUGAUAUGAUGAUGGAUGACCCAACGGGCCCACAUAUACCUCUUUGUCACACGGAGUGACUAAUCCCGGUCUCGAUUCGUACAACUCAACAGACACUUUCAGACAUACCCGUAGUGCACCUUUAUAAUCACCCUAUGACAUUGUGAUGUUUGGUACACCCAAAGCACUCCUAUGGUAUCCGGGAGUUGCACAAUCUCACGGUCUAAGAAAAUGAUAGUUGACAUUAGAAAAGCUUUAGCAGACGAACAACACGAUCUAGUGCUAUGCUUAGGAUUGGGUCUUGUCCAUCACAUCAUUCCCCAAUGAUGUGAUCCCGUUAUCAAUGACAUCCAAUGUCCAUGAUCAAAAAACCAUGAUCAUCUAUUGAUCAAUGAGCUAGACAACUAGAGGCUCACUAGGGACACAUUGUGAUCUAUAUAUUCACACAUGUAUUACGGUUUCUGGUUAAUACAAUUAUAGCAUGAAUAAUAGAAAAUUAUCAUGAACUGGAAAUAUAAUAAUAACAACUUUUGUAUUGCCUCUAAGACAUAUUUCCAACAGUCUCCCACUUGCACUAGAGUCAAUAAUCUAGUUACAUUGUGAUGAAUCGAACACCCAUAGAGUUCUAGUGUAGAUCAUGCUUUCCCCGUGAAGAGGUUUAGUCAACGGGUCUGCGACAUUCAGAUCCGUAUGUAGUUUACAAAUAUCUAUAUCUCCAUCCUGGAUGUAUCAACGAAUGGAGUUGAAGAAGCGCUUGAUAUGCUUGGUCUUCUUCUGAAACCUGGGCUCCUUUGCAAUAGCAAUAGCUCCAGAUUUGUCACAGAACAGAGUCAUCGGGCCCGACACACUUGGAAUCACUCCUAAGUCGGUGAUGAACUCCUUCAUCCAGACUCCUUCAUGUGCUACUUCCGAAGCAGCUAUGUACUCCGCUUCACAUGUAGAUGUCGCCACGAUGCUUUGCUUGCAAUUGCACCAGCUAAUUGCCCCAUUAUUCAAAAUGUACACGUAUCCGGUUUGCGACUUGGAGUCAUCUGGAUCUGUGUCUAAGCUAGCAUCGACAUAAUCCUUUACGACGAGCUCUUCGGCACCUCCAUAGACGAGAAACAUAUCUUUAGUCCUUUUCAGGUACUUUAGGAUAUUCUUGACCGCUGUCCAGUGAUCCACUCGUGGAUCACUCUGGUACCUCCCUACCAAACUUAUGGCAAGGUUCACAUCAGGUCUUGUACACAACAUGGCAUACAUGAUAGAGCCUAUGGCUGAAGCAUAGGGGACGGUACUCAUAUUUUCUCUAUCUUCCGCUGUGGUCGGUCGUUGAGUCGCACUCAACCUCACACCUUGCAAUACAGGAAAGAACCCCUUCUUAGCCUUCUCCAUAUUGAACUUCUUCACUAUCUUGUCAAGGUAUGUGCUUUGUGAAAGACCUAUGAGGCGUCUCGGUCUAUCUCUAUGGAUCUUGAUGCCUAAUAUGUAAGCAGCUUCUCCAAGGUCCUUCAUUGAGAAACUCUUAUUCAAAUAGGCCUUGAUGCUAUCAAAUAGUUUUAUAUCAUUUCCCAUCAACAAUAUGUCAUCCACAUAUAAUAUGAGAAAUGCUACAGAGCUCCCACUCACUUUCUUGUAAAUACAGGAUUCUCCAUAAGUCUAUAUAAACCCAAACGCUUUGAUCACCUCAUCAAAGAAAAUGUUCCAACUCCGAGAUUCUCGCACCAGCCCAUAGAUGGAGCGCUGGAGCUUGCAUACCCUGUUAGCACUGCUAGGAUCGACAAAACCUUCCGGCUGUAUCAUAUACAAUUCUUCUUUAAGAAAUUCGUUCAGGAAUGCUAUUUUGACAUCCAUUUUUCAGAUUUAAUAAUCAUAAAAUGCAGACAUUGCUGACAUGAUUCGGACCGAUUUCAGCAUCGCUAUCGGUGAGAAGGUCUCAUCGUAGUCAAUCGCUUGAACUUGUCGAUAACCCUUAGCAACAAGUUGAGCUUUAUAAAUGGUCACAUUACCAUCCGCGUUAGUCUUCUUCUUGAAGAUCCAUUUAUUUUCUAUGGCUCGUAGAUCAUCGGGCAAGUCCACCAAAGUCCAUACUUUGUUCUCAUACAUGGAUCCUAUCUCGGAUUUCAUGGCCUCAAGACAUUUGUUGGAACCGGGCCAGCCAUCGCUUCUUCAUAGUUCGAAGGUUCACUGUUGUCUAACAACAUGAUUUCCAUGACAGGGUUGUUGUACCACCCUGGUGCGGAAUGUACCCUUGUCGACCUUCGAGGUUCAACAGUAACUUGAUCCGAAGUGUCAUGAUCAUCAUCAUUAACUUCAUCUCUAGCCGGUGCAGGUGCCUCAGAAAUAUUUUCUUGUGUUGCGCUACUCUCCAGUUCGAGAGGAGGUACAAUUACCUCAUCAAGUUCUAUUUUCCUCCCACUUACUUCUUUCGAGAGAAACUCCUUUUCUAGAAAGGAUCUGUUCUUAGCAACAAAUAUCUUGCCUUCGGAUCUAAGAUAGAAGGUGUACCCAAUAGUUUCCUUAGGGUAUCCUAUGAAGACACAUUUUUCCGCUUUGGGUUCGCGCUUCUCUGGUUGAAGUUUCUUCACGUAAGCAUCGCAACCCAAAACUUUAAGAAACGACGGCUUAGGUUUCUUGCCAAACCAUAAUUCAUACGGUGUCGGCUCAACGGAUUUAGACGAUGCCCUAUUUAAAGUGAAUGCGGCAGUUUCCAAUGCAUAUCCCCAAAAUGAUAGCGGUAAAUCGGUAAGAGACAUCAUAGAUCGCACCAUACCCAAUAAAGUGCGAUUACGACGUUCAGACACACCGUUACGCUGCGGUGUGCCAGGCGGCGUGAGUUGUGAAACAAUUCCACAUUUCCAUAGGUGUGUGCCAAACUCAUGACUCAAAUAUUCUCCUCCAUGAUCAGAUCAUAGAAACUUUAUUUUCUUGUCGCGUUGAUUCUCCACCUCACUCUGAAAUUCCUUGAACUUUUCAAAGGUUUCAGACAUGUGUUUCAUUAAGUAGACAUACACAUAUCUACUUAAAUCAUCAGUGAGGGUGAGAACAUAACGGUAGCCACCGCGAGCUCCAACGCUCAUUGGACCGCAUACAUCGGUAUGUAUUAUUUCCAACAAGUUAGUUGCUUGCUCCAUUAUUACGGAGAACGGAGUCUUGGUCAUCUUGCCCAUGAGUCACGGUUCGCACGUGUCAAAUGAUUAAAAAUCAAGAGACUCCAAAAGUCCAUCAGUAUGGAGUUUCUUCAUGCGCUUUACACCGAUAUGACCAAGGCGACGGUGCCACAAGUAUGUGGGACUAUCAUUAUCAACCUUGCAUCUUUUAGCACUUACACUAUGAAUAUGUGUAUCAUCACGAUCAAGAUUCAUUAGGAAUAAACCAUUAACCAGCGGGGCAUGACCAUAAAACAUACCACUCAUAUAAAUAGAACAACCAUUAUUCUUUGAUUUAAAUGAGUAGCCAUCUUGCAUCAAGCGAGAUCCCGAUACAAUGUUCAUGCUUAAAGUUGGUACUAAAUAACAAUUAGUAAGGUUUAUAACUCAUCCCGAAGGUAGAUGUAGAGGUAGCGUGCCGACGGUGAUCGCAUCGACCUUGGAACCAUUCCCGACGCGCAUCGUCACCUCAUCCUUGGCCAGCCUACGCUUGUUCCGUAGUUCCUGCUUAGAGUUGCAAAUGUGAGCAACAACACCGGUAUCAAAUACCCUGGAGCUACUAUGAGCGCUGGCAAGGUACACAUCAAUAACAACUAUAUCACAUAUACCUUUGACGUUGUCGGCCUUCUUGUUCGCCAAGUACUUGGGGCAAUUCCGCUUCCAGUGACUGGUUCCCUUGCAGUAGUAGCACUCAGUCUCAGGCUUAGGUCCUUUCUUUGACUUCUUCCCGACAACUGGCUUACCGAGGGCAGCAACAGCUUUGUUGUUUUUCUUGAAGUUCUUCUUACCCUUGCCUUUCUUGAAACUGGUGGUCUUAUUGACCACCAACACUUGACGCUCUUUCGUGAUUUCUACCUCUGCAGAUUUCAGCAUUGAAUACAACUUGGGAAUAGUAUUUUGCACCCCUUGCAUGUUGUAAUUCAUCACAAAGCCUUUGUAGCUAGGUGGAAGCGGCUGGAGGAUUCUGUCAAUGACCGCAUCAUCCGGAAGUUCAACUCCGAGUUGAGUAAAGCGGUUGUGCAACCCAGACAUUCUGAGUAUGUGCUCACUGACAAAACUAUACUCCUCCAUCUUACAGCUAAAGAAUUGUCGGAGACUUCAUAUCUCUCGACCCGGGCAUGAGCUUGAAAAACAAGUUUUAGCUCCUCGAACAUCUCAUAUGCUCCGUGUUGCUCAAAACGCCUUUGGAGCCCCGAUUCUAAACUAUAAAGCAUGCCGCACAGAACGAGAGAGUAGUCAUCACUCCGCGACUGCCAGGCGUUCCUAAUGUCCUGGGUUGCCGCGGGAACGGGAGGAUCACCUAGCGGUGCAUGAAGGACAUAUGCCUUCUUGGAAGCCAUGAGGAUGAGCUUUAAGUUAUGAGCCCAGUCCGCAUAGUUGCUCCCAUCGUCUUUCAGCUUGGUUUUCUCUAGGAACGUGUUGAAGUUGAAUGGCACAUUUGCGUUGGCCAUUGGAUCUACAAUAUUUGUAAAGACAAUUUUAGACUAAGUUCAUGAUAAUUAAGUCCAUCUAAUCAAAUUACUAAUGAACUCCCACUUAUAUCGACAUCCCUCUAGUCAUCCAAGUGUUAGAUGAUCCACGUCGACUAGCCCGUGUCUGAUCAUCACGUGAGAUGGAAAUGUCAUCAAUGGUGAGCAUCUCAAUGAUAAUCGUAUCAACCAUACGACUCAUGUUCGACCUUUCGGUCUCCUGUAUUCGAGGCCAUGUCUGUACAUGCUAGGCUCGUCGAGUCAACCUAAGUGUUUUGUGUGUGUAAACUAGCUUACACCCAUUAUAUGCGAACGUUAGAAUCUAUCGCACCCGAUCAUCACGUGGUGCUUCGAGACAACGAACCUUCGCAAUGGUGCACACUUAGGGGAAUACUUAUCUCAAAAUUUUAAUGAGGGAUCAUCUUACAUUUACUACCGUCGUUCUAAGAAAUAAGAUGUAAAACAUGAUAAACAUCACAUGCAAUCAUAUAAUGACAUGAUAUGGCCAAUAUCAUCUUGCUCCUUUGAUCAUCAUCUUCGGGGCACCAUGAUCAUCAUCGUCACCGGCAUGACAACAAGAUAUCCAUCAUCAUGAUAUCCGUCAUUGUGUCUCCGUGAAGUCGUCACGCCAACUAUUACUUCUACUACUAUAGCUAACCGUUAGCGAUAAAGUAAAGUAAUCAACAUGGUGUUGCAUCUCAUACAAUAAAUUAAGACAACUCCUAUGGCUCCUGUCGGUUGUCAUUCACAUCGACAUGCAAGUCGUGAAUCCUAUUACAAGAACAUGAUCAAUCUAAUACAUCACAUAUGUAACAUCACAUCCUUUUGGCCAUAUCACAUCACAUAGCAUACCCUGCAAAAACAAGUUAGAAAUCCUCUAAUUGUUGUUGCAAGUUUUACAUGGAUGGUUAGGGUUUCUAGCAAGAAUGUUUCUCACAUACGUGAUAGCCACAACGUUGAUAUGCCAAUGCUAUUUACCCUUCAUAAGAACCCUUUUCAUCGAAUCCAAUUCAACUUAAGUGGGAGAGACAGACACCCGCUAGCCACCUUAUGCACCAAGUGCUUGUCUGUCGGUGAAACCAGUCUCACAUAAGCGUACGUGUAAGGUCGGUCCGGGCCACUUCAUCCCACAAUGCCACCGAAAAAGAUAAGACUAGUAACGGCAAGCAAGUUGACAAGUUGUGCCCACAACUUUUGUGUUCUACUCGUGCAUAGAAUCUACGCAUAGAACCUGGCUCGGAUGCCACUGUUGGGUAUCAUAGUGAAUUCAAAAAAAAUCCUACGCCAUACAAGGAUCUAUCUAUGCAGAAACCAGCAAUGAGAGAGGUUGUAGAGCAUCUUCAUACCUUUGAAGAUCGCUAAGCGUAAGUGUUACUAUGAACGCGGUUGAUGGAGUCGUACUCGCUGCGAUUCAGAUCGCGGGGGAUUCCGAUCUGUAUGCCGAACUACGGCACCUCCGCGUUCAACACACGUGCAGCCCGGUGACGUCACCAACACCUUUAACCAGCAAGGAGGAAGGAGAGGUUGAGGGAGAGAGCUCCGGGAGCACGACGACGUGGUGGCAGGGAAGCUACGUGGUUGUCCGGCACAGCUUCGCCAAGCUAUGCGGAGGACGAGGAGAGAGAGGGCUAGGGCUGCGCCGAGAGAGAGAUAUUUCGUGUCCCUAAUCAUCCCCAACACCUUGGGUAUUUAUAGGAGGGAGGGAGAGAUGGUGCGCACCCCUAGGGCUCCCUCAAUAGGGGUGGAGGCAGCCCUAGAUGGCCAGGGAGGGCGUCGGCGAGGGUGGAGAGGAGGGUUGUGCCCUAGGUGGGCCUUGGGCCCCCUCCUGCGCCUAGGGUUUGCCCCCUCCACCUCUCCUUGCGCCUUGGGCUGAGAGGGCAGGGUGCACCAGCCCACUUUGGGCUGGUCCCCUUCCACCUUUUGGCCCUUGAAGCCUCUUGGGCUGAUGGCCCCUCCUCGUGGACCCCCGGAACCCUUCUGGUGGUCCUGUACGUUACCUGUGAUGCCGGAAACACUUUCGGUGACCAAAAACUCACUUCCUAUAUAAAAAUAUUUACCUCCGGACCAUUCCAGAGCUCCUCAUGACGUCCGGGAUCUCAUCCGGGACUCCGAACAACCUUUGGUAACCACAUACACUAAUUCCCUAUAACCCUAGUGGCAUCGAACCUUAAGUGUGUAGACCCUACGGGUUAGGGAGACAUGCAGACAUGGCCGAGACAUCUCUCUGGCCAAUAACCAAUAGCAGGGUCUGGAUAUCCAUGUUGGUUCCCACAUGUUCCAUGAUGAUCUCAUCGGAUGAACCACGGUGUCAAGGAUUCAAUUAAUCCCGUAUGCAAUUCCCUUUGUCUAUCAGUACGAUACUUGCCCGAGAUUCGAUCGUCGGUAUCCUUAUACCUUGUUCAAUCUCGUUACCGGCAAGUCUCUUUACUCGUUCCGUAACACAUCAUCCCAUGGCUAACCCCUUAGUCACACUGAGCUCAGUAUGAUGAUGGAUUACCGAGUGGGCCUAGAGAUACCUCUCCAUCACAGGGAGUGACAAAUCCCGUCUCGAUUCAUACAACUCAACAGACACUUUCGGAGAUACCCGUAGUGAACCUUUAUAAUCACCCAGUUACGUUGUGAUGUUUGGUACACCGAAAGCACUCCUACGGUAUCCGGGAGUUACAGAAUCUCACAGUCUAAGGAAAUGAUACUUGACAUUAGAAAAGCUUUAGCAGACGAACAACACUUUCUAGUGCUAUGCUUAGGAUUGGGUCUUGUCCAUCACAUCAUCCCCCAAUGAUGUGAUCCCAUUAUCAAUGACAUCCAAUGUCCAUGAUAAGAAAACCAUGAUCAUCUAUUGAUCAACGAGCUAGCCAACUAGAGGCUCACUAGGGACACAUUGUGAACUAUAUAUUCACACAUGUAUUAUGGUUUCUCGUUAAUAAAAUUAUAGCAUGAAUAAUAGACAAUUAUCAUGAACUGGAAAUAUAAUAAUAACCACUUUAUUAUUGCCUCUAGGGCUUAUUUCCAACACUAGUAUGAUUGCAUAUGUGAAUAAUAUGUUUGAUUAUAUAGAUUUCAUCGGAGAGUGAUGAAUAGUUCUAUCAAGCUAAUUCCUAUGAGCGAUAUCUAUCUUCAUCAACCUUACGAGGCAAGUCACGUUGAUCAUGUUUUACCUAUGGUUUUAUAUGCAUUGUAGUUCAAUCUUCUCCACCCAUUGCAUGCAAAGUAGGUACUUGGAAAUUUGGAUCUUGAUAUAGUAUCAUGUGAUAGGCACUCAUAAACCCUUGUUACUUUGGUUGGGACGUUAGUUUGCUAUGCUCCUAGUAGACGAGGUUUGGUUGAGUAUUUAUCAUGAGUGUUGUGAGAACUGAAUAAUCAAGACCUGAAGACUUCAAGACUUUCUAGACCUCGUGAUGAAAUAUACCUGUGGGUGAAGGACGGUUCAAAUGGGCACCCUGGGGAAGCCAGUGGAUGACCCGGGAUGCAAGGGGAAGUGCCCUGACAUCUUGCGGAAAGCUUCACCCAUGCACAAAGAGAUGGAUGGAUACUUCAAGACCCGAGGCUUACGUGCACAACCACAAGUUAUUAUGGGCUCUGGCUGGUUGGACAUUGUGGUGACUCUGGACGGGCGGUGCUACGAGAUGUAGAAGAACGGUAGGAUUGGAUGGGCACCGACAGUGUCUCAGAGGAAACCUUUGGAAGUCCAUGUUUUGAUCAUCCGUUUCUCAAACACCCUGAAGUGCGAGGACUUCAACGGAGGUGAUCAAAUCUUGUGGGGAACAUGUGCAAAACUCUGCAGAGUACUCAAACCUAAUCGAUUAGCCGUGUCCACGGUCAUGGACAACUUGAGCCAAAGGAACUGAAACUAUCAGGAAUUCUCAACACCAUUAACUUAUUUAUGUGGGUAACAUUGAUAAUUUGGGUAUGAGAAAUGGUUGGUGGAACCUUCUCAUUAACAACCAACAAUGUAGUAAAUUUUGCUUUUACCCUCUCUCUUGUUGUACGAAAAAUUUGCUUUACGCAAAACUUAAACUACAGCCCCACCUACCAUAUAUGCAUAUAGUAUAGAUGAUAUUUUCACCCCUCUCUUUUGUGACUUGCCGGCAUAUUCAAUAUGCUGACCUACACGGCUGCAACUUCUUAUGUUGCAAAUAUUUUCUACGACGAGUAAGAGUACGAUUCAGGGUUACGGUCUGCAUUCAACCUGAUGUUGGUGUUUAUUGGGGAUCCACUCCCUUUGACUGUUUUCGCUGAGAUUUUGAGGUAUAUAUCAGUUUUACGUUAUUUGCAUGUGAUUACACUUUGAUAUAUACAUUGAUGUAUUGUGUGUGCCAGCAUACUGAUCCAGGGAUGGCAUAGAUACACAAAGGCUUGACUUGUUUUGAGUCGGGUCAUUACAGAUAUGGUAUCACAGCACAUGUUGACUGUAGGACGUGACCAUAGGAAAUGGCUUGGAAAUAGGAAGACCUUUAUAGGAACAACUUUUGUUUUCACUACUCUCGUAACUCUUGAAUUCUUUUACUGAACAUUCCCUAAUUCAAAACUAUAGAUGGAGAGCUACACUCUGAAUGAAAGAGAGCACUACGAAGAUGUUCUCGGAGGCCCAUUUCUCAUGGAGCUGGUACAGAUGAUGAAGUUGUCGAUACCUGAGAUCAAGGUGACUAAGAGGAAGUUUGGAUUUUGGGGUGUCAGAACUAAAAAUUUUGGACGUAAAGAAGACCCCAAGACUGAAGACAUCAACUAUGGCACAUUGACCCAUGACUGUGAUAUGGGCAUGAACGCUGUUGUUCAUGAUGCUAUCGCACGUUUGAGCUAUCGUCAUCGUGUUGAGUUAGCUACCCACUACUUUGGAAGACUUGGAUAGCAGAAGCCUGAGGGAGCACAUAUCAUCCUGACAUACGAGCAGAAGGUGAAGUUUUCACCGGUACUGGUGUAUAAUCGAGAACUGGAACAUUAUAUCAAGAACCUUCAAAUGGACCUUCUCUCAUAAUUAUUUGAGAAUGACGCACUCCGUGAGAGUCUCAAGACCGAGAAACUGAAGGUAGCCAAUGUGAAGAAACACGAUCCCGAGAUUCAAAAGCUUCGUCAAGACAUGAAGAAUAGUCAAGCCAUGGCACAUGCUGGUGAUGUUGAAAUCCAGAAGCUCAAGAGCCAACUCCUGGAACUACAAGGACGACAUCAGAAACUCCGCGUCAACAGGGAAUAUCUGGCGGAAGAACUUGAGAAGAUCAAGAGUGACCAGAAGAAUCCCACUGAUGAUGAAGACAUGAUAUGAGCUAGCUUAGUAGUAGUAGCCCCACCAUGAGAGAAAUAAAGAUGAACGUAAUUGUGUAUUGUGUGAUCGACCAUACCAGCCUUAUUGUGGGUGGUGAUACUAUAUUAUUGGUUGAACUUUAUGAAAGUGUGGAUUUGAGUUUAGAUACUUUUGUGUCUUUUGUUUAUAUCUUUUCCCUCUCUCUCUCUCUUACCCAUCUCAUCCCAAAAACCUUGGAACCAAUAGAUGGUGUAUGAAGUUGGACUUGUAAUCUCUGGACUAAUUACCCAGCUGGAAGUUGAAAUAUGGAUUCAGAACAUGGAGAAUCACUUCGAGAGCAGUUUGAUUUCAAGGAAAUAUGGAGUGGCACACAUUCUUCAGUACUUUACCCAAAGUGUUGUUGUCUGGUGGAAAAUGCAUCAUGCCAUACAUGGAUUUAGUGGACCAGAAACUUGGGACGAAUUCAAGAAGACUCUGUUAAGAUCUCGUCUCAUUCAAAAGUGCUAUGAUAACCUGAAGAAGAAGCCUUGUGCAUGCAGGAUCUAUGGAGAAAUAGGACACACCCAGGAAGAACACAAGGAUGGAUGCCCUCAUUGUGAAGAAAAUCACCCAACGGAGGAAUGCCCAACUAGUGAGGUGACUUGUUUCUUGUGUGAAGGAACCACCCACUACCGAGCUCAGUGUCACAUUUAUCCCAAGGUGUAACAAGUUGUCAAGCAGUAGAAAGAAGCAAUAAAGGAAACCCUCAAGAAGAAUAUUCUAGAAGAACCUAUGAUGAAGGAAAAUAUAGAGGACCCCGAUGGACAAAGCCUAACCAGAUUUUUCUCCAAUGUCUGGUACUCAUGUGGUGAAGAAGGACAUUUUUCACACGAGUGCAUGAAGGAAAGCCAAGAGUCUCUGGGAGACUUCCCGACAAAAAAAGUAGAGUUUGAUCCUCAUGAAAUAGAAGAACUGGACAGAACAAAGAAGUCCCCAAAGAAGAGAAAGUACACCAGGAAGAGCCAAAUCCCCGCAGAUAAGGACCUGAGUCAUACCCCAUGUUUUAAAUGCAAUGCCUUAGGUCACUAUGCCAAUAUGUGCCUAGCAAGGAAGCAUGAAACCCAAGGAGAAAAAACAAACCCCAAGAAGCCUCAAGACAAGUCGGAAGUCAUUUGUUUUCAUUGCAAGGAAGCAGGCCAUUAUGCUACUAAAUGUCCACACGGGAAGAAAGCUAAAAUGGAGUAGUUAAGUUUUGACAAUGGCAAUAAGUGUAAGAUGAAGCACUCUUGUUUUCCAUCGGAUUAUGGUGUUGAAUUUUGUAGUGUAAGACUCAGAGAUUGUAAUAACUUCAUGAAUCAAUGGAAUUUAUUGUGUCAUGAUUUCCCAUGUUGAAAUUGUAUGAGUUGUUUCUCUAUGAACAAAGUUCUCUUAGCAUUUUCGAGGAUAUGAGAAAAUAUGGUCUAUGCAGGCAUGAGUAUAUUUCAUUUUAAGUGUGGUAGUAAUCGGUAAACCCACGGGAUCCAAGGAUUAGGAAUGUACCAUGCAUACCAAGGAGCCAAAUCCACUGCAGACUAUUGAAGGAAAUGCUCGAUCAUAUCAAACUAUGGGGGUGACAACAGUUGAAUAAUGUACCUUGGAAUUGGAAAUUUGAGGAGAGGUUUAAUAUGAGGAACAAACACUUUUAUUGGUAAACAGACCAAUGGCAAGGAAAAAUUUACUCAAGGAAUACAACCCGUACCAAGGAUGCAUCCCAAGAUUUUCAUGAAGGUUGCCCCAAGAGCAUGAAGGAAUAAGCUAUGAUGGAUCACCAAACAUUUUCUUAGGAGCAUACGAAAAACUGAGAGUGGUGAAGAACACGAUAGAUGUUUUGUUCACCUUGCAGAAUCCAUGGAUACGUACGAACUUUAUUCAUGUACAAGAAAAAUUCUGCAAUGCUUGUGACGAUGCCCAAGUGAUAGAAUACGAGAUUCGCUAAACCUUAUACAAGGUAAUGAUUUCAGUGCGACAUGGCUUGGCAACCAUGACGACUUACUCUUAUCAUUUCUCUUGUUAUUCGGAAUGGUAAAUCUGAGAGACUUACCCAUAGAGAGAGACGACGUUCUUUGAAGCUUUUAUUUAAGCCUUAGAAUGGUAUAAUGAAAACCCAUGUACAUGGCAAUUGUUGUCACGCGUAGGAAUUUUACGGUGAGGAUGAAGCCAAGACCUUUCUUUCUGCAGGAUAACCACAAAUGGUAGACCACCAUGAGAAUAAUAGAUAGGUUAUUUAGAAUGGUCACGAGACUUGUCAGUUAUGAAGACCGAGUGACGGAAGAAGCUUAUAUCAACGUAAAGACACUGGAUUUUGAGGGAAAAGUUAUGAAUAUAAUGCAAGAGCAUCAGCAAAGGUGUUAGUAUGAAGAAUGUGAGGAUUUUGAUGCCAAGACCCCACAUGAUUGUUAAAAAAAAUUGAGGGACCGGUAACUCUCAUUUUAAGUGUGGUAGCCCCCCCCCCCUUGAAGGAGAUUGGAUUUGUUAGAAGACCCCCAAAACCCAACCUUUUUGUUCUAGCCUAUUUAAAUCUCGAAGACGAGAUUCAUUUUAAGUGUGGUAGGUUUGUAAAAUCCCAAAUAUUGGUAUGUUAUAAUAGUUACUAGAUUGAUUGAUUGAUCGUUUGAGUGCUUUGAAAUUGAGUGAAAUUUGAAACUUUUGAAACUUGAAAAGUGAGAGGGAAUAAAAUGACUUUCCCCUUGAAAUUCAAAUUCAUCCAAUCCAAACCACUCACAGAAGAUAACAUGACUUCUUCAUAAUAAGGGAUUUGAAUGAAUUGGAUUUGAAAACUACUGAAAUUUUUCUUUAUGGAAUUCAUUUCAUUUUGGCUCUAUUUUAAAAGUUUAAAUGAAUUCAAAUAUUAAAAGAAUAUGAGAGGAGGAACAUGACCCUCCAAACCAGGGGCAUUUUGAGAAAUAUUUAAACCCUAAAACUUAGGGGGUCAUUUGAAAAAAAAAUUGUAAAAGGAAACAAAUCAUUUAGGCAAUUUUCUGAAAAUAAAUCUUUAUGAAGUAUUUACUUUGGCCGUGGAAAAAUGUUCAUCUUAGUGGAAUUAUUUUUCUGAUGAUUUUUAUAUAUAAUACUUCCAUAUUUGGAGUUAUCUUUAUUUUCCUUUUUAUGUUUUUCUUUCCUGUUUUUAAAUAAAAGGAAAAUUCUUCUUUUAUUAGGAAAAACGCCACGGCCUGUUAGGAAUAGUGCGGCCCAAAGAUCCCUAGCCUGAUCCGAAUAUUUUCGGAUCGGCCGCCCGAUCCCGCUAGACCUCUCUCUCCCCCGCUGACGCACUGGGCCCACCGUCCGACCCCGCACUCCCGUCGGUCUCCUUCCUUCUCCCUUCUUCCUCCUUCCAUACCUCACGAGAGCCACGGAUCCGCAUCGGAUGUCUCUCCUCCUUCCUUCUUCGAGCACCCCCGAGCCCCUAUAAGAACCCCCUCGAGCAUGUGUCUCCGCUUUCCCCAGACCCCGAGAGCCCUCGCCUCGACGCCGCCACAAUUGUUCGCCGGAGCUCCGCAACUUCCGCCACGCCAUUACCGCACCACCGGUCACUCCUGCGCACCCCUCCACUUGCCGUAACCAUCAUUGAGUUCGCCUCUUUCACACGCACCCGCUCGCACACUCUUCCGAGCUCUACACCCACCAAAGCCCCCUCCCCGGUGACCACCCGAGUGCGACCUCCACCCCGAGCUCGCGUCGCUCGCCUCCGUCGUCCCGACCCUCGCUGAUGCCACCAUAGGACGGUCCGCCCUCGACUCCAUCGACAUGAGACGCUCUCCGUCGCCGGAUAUCUCUGGAGGAUCGCCCCGACCACCACCGAGCCGUCGCCGCCAUCGACAUCGCCGGAGAACUCCUCCACCACAGUGAGCCAACCCCAUGUGAGCUCUCUCCCUCCCUCUGCCACCGUUAGAUCUGGAUCCGACGAUCCAGAUUAGAAGAAAUAAAACCCCGAAACGUUUUCUUCUAUAAGCCGGACGUUCACCCGUUUAGACAAAGCCUGCACGCUUCUCAGCCAGUCACAGCACGCCACGUAGCCCCCCCCCAUGCGCUAGCCAUAUUUUAGUUUCUCUCUUUUUGUUUCUUUAACUGAAUUAGUUUUGUUCUUGUUUUCUUUAUACCUUUUAUGUUUUAAAUUAUUUUUGAGUGAAACUUUUUGCAUUGUGUCACAAAGUUUCUGUAGUUUCUGUACAUAUAAAAUUUGACCAUGUUUNNNNNNNNNNNNNNNNNNNNNNNNNNNNNNNNNNNNNNNNNNNNNNNNNNNNNNNNNNNNNNNNNNNNNNNNNNNNNNNNNNNNNNNNNNNNNNNNNNNNNNNNNNNNNNNNNNNNNNNNNNNNNNNNNNNNNNNNNNNNNNNNNNNNNNNNNNNNGUUUAGAUCAAAACAAUUUGUAUUAAAGUUUAAAUUGUUUUUGAUCUAGUUCAAGUUAACAUUGUUUUGAUCAUAAGUAGAGUUUUGAUAAAAGCUUUUCAAUUAAUUCUUUUUUGCUACCCAAGUUUUAUGAAAAAUACUUUCUUUUAUCUUAGUUGUUUUAUAUUUUUGUUUUCUAUUAUUUUACAAUUUUAGUAUUUUUUUGUUGUUAAGUUUAAUUAGGACAAAAAAACUAUUUUGUGAUUGUUCUAGUAGAAGACUCCACAGUUUUCUUUGAAGUUUCUUUUAGAUUCUUAUUUGAUCUUUCUUACUGAUUUUUAUUGCAUCAAUUCUAAUUGUUGUUUGUUAUUGAUUGUUAGGAUGAUAGCUAGUAUGAUUGCAUAUGUGAAUACUAUGUUUGAUUAUAUAGAUUUCAUCGGAGAGUGACGAAUAGUUCUAUCAAGGUAAUUCCCGUGAGCGAUAUCUAUCUUCAUCAACCUUACCAGGCAAGUCACAUUGAUCAUGUUUUACCUAUGGUUUUAUACACAUUGUAGUUCAACCUUCUCCACCCAUUCCAUGCAAAGUAGGUACUUGGAAUUUUGGAUCUCGAUGUAGUAUCAUGUGAUAGCCACUCAUAAACCCUUGUUACUUUGGCCAGGGCGUUAUUUUUCUAUGCUCCUAGUAGACGGGGUUUGGUUGAGUGCUUAACAUGAGUGUUGUGAGAAAUUAAUAAUCAAGACCUCAAGACUUCAAGACUUUCAAGACCUCAUGAUGCAAUAUACCUCUAGGUGAAGGACGGUUCAGAUGGGCACCCUGGGAAAGCGAGUGGAUGACCCAGGAUGCAUGGGGAAGCGCCAUGACAUCUUGCAGAAAGCUUCACCCAGGCACAAAGAGAUGGAUGGAUACUUCAAGACCCGAGGCUUACAUGCACAGCCACAAGUCAUUAUGGGCUCUAGCUUGGUUGGACAUUGUGGUGACUCUGGACGAGCGGUGCUACGAGAUGUAGAAGAACAGUAGGAUUGGAUGGGCACCGACAGUGUCUCAGAGGAACCAUUUGGAAGACCAUGUUUUGAUCAUCCGUUUCUCAAACACCCUGAAGUGUGACGACUUCAACGGAGGUGAUCAAAUCUUGUGGGGAACAUGUGCAAAAAUCUCCAGUGUACUCAAACCUAAUCAAUUAGUCGUGUCCACGGUCAUGGACAAGUUGAGCCAAAGGAACUUAAACUAUCAGGAAUUCUCAACACCAUUAACUUAUUUAUGUGGUAACAUUGAUAAUUUGGGUAUGAGAAAUGGUUGGUGGAACCUUCUCAUUAACAACAAACAAUGUAGUAAAUUUUUCUUUUAUCCUCUCUCUUGUUGUAGGAAAAAAUUGCUUUACGCAAAACUUAAACUACAACCCCACCUGCCAUAUAUGCAUAUAGUAUAGAUGAUAUUUUCACCCCCUCUCUUUUGUGACUUGCCGGUAUAUUCAAUAUGCUGACCUACACGGCUACAACGUCUUAUGUUGCACAUAUUUUCUACAACGAGUAAGAGUACGAUUCAGGGUUACAGUCUGCACUCAACCUGUCGUUUGUGUUUAUUGGGGCUCCACUCCCUUUCACUGUUUUCGCUGAGAUUUUGAGGUAUAUAUCAGUUUUACGUUAUUUACAUGUGAUUGCACUUCGAUAUAUACAUUGAUGUACUGUGUGUGCCAGCAUACUGAUCCAGAGAUGGCAUAGAUAGACAGAGGCUUGACUUGUUUUGAGUUGGGUCACUACAAAUCAAAAUCCAAUCCAAUCAAAUUUUGAAUUGGAAUUCCAUUAAACGAAUGAAUUGAUGAAUCAAUUUUAGCUCUCAAGAGAUGUACAUGGUGAUACAUUGUUGGUCUUGGGAAAUUGGACUAGCAAAUUACCGGGGCCUAUUGCAUCAUGGAAGAUGCAAUCUAGUAAUGUGAAAGGACCGCGCUUAUAAAUCCUCAAUAAGAAUUGUUGUUUUAUAUUCCAUCUGUCAUGAUUUUUUUAAAAAGGGACGCUUUAUUACUUAAAAUAUUUAAGCAUUACACCCAGACUCUGCAUAAAUAAGAUGCACACAGCCAACUAACUCAUCACACUAAGCCAAAAUAAAAGAAGAAUACGGAACAAAAGCAAAAUGAUUUGUAUAACGCCUAAACCGAAGGUGGCCCAAUUCAAAGAUCUUGCUGCCACCCAUUUUGGGUAAAAGUAUCCCUCACAGUAGCCUCCAAUCAUGUACACACCUAUGUAAAUAGGUCGCAAUUCUCCAUUCUUCGUAGAGAGGACCAUAAACAUCGAGUUCGGUAUAUCUGUAGAUAACUUGCAUAAGGGGGAUAUUUUAUCAUUAUAAACUUAUAUUUUUUACAUAGCUAAGCGAACAAAUCAAGACAAGCACUCCCACCUUGAGAAGAAUUCUAAACCUAUGAUCAAUCACAUGUAGCCCAUUGCCGAAUAUAUCAGCAACCCUACCAGGAGGAUACAAGCCAGAAGCUAUAUGGAUGACUACCAUGUAGAACGAUCCAAUUUACAUUGCAAGAACAAAUGUUUUAUUGUCUUAUCAUCAGUACAAAAGACACAUUGCAUACUUCAUACCAAUUCCUCUUAAGAAGGUUAUAUUCUGUAAGAAUGACCCCACGACGAAGAUACCAUGCAAAUAAGUUAUUCUUUAUAGGUAUCUUCAGCUUCCAGAUCUUCUUUCUAUUGUCAACUGGCACAUCAGACUCGAUCAAAGCUUUAUACAUAGAUUCCACAGAGAAUUACACAUCCUCAUGUAGGUUCCAACGAAAUACAUCAGACCCUUGUGACAACUAUAUCAUGGUUAACCGAUGUAGUAGUAUGUUCCAUGGUUGGAGUCUAGGUCCAAUUAAAUCUUUUAUAAACGCCACAGUUGAUGGAAAUGAUUCCAAAACCCUGGCGAUAGUAUCACCAUUGUGAUGCACAAUAUUCUAUAGAGCUAGAUAUUGUUCCCGUACGGUAGCAUUUCCUAGCCACUUAUCCUCCCAGAAUAUAAUUUGCGAGCCAUCCUUAAUCGAGAAGGAACCAUAGCGUAAGAAAUAUUUCUCCGUUGCCAUUAGUCCCACCCAAAAGUGGAAGUUCCCAGGCUUCCAGUAUAUUUGUGAUAUCGCCUUUGAACCCACAUAUUUUCUCCUUAUGAGGGUUUGCCAUAAACCAUCUUUUGUCAAUAAUUAAACAACCAUUUGCCAAGGAGGACCCUAUUCUUAACCUUAAGGUCAUGAAUGCCCAACCCAUGUUGGUCCUUGGGACGACAAACCACACUCCAUUUAGCGAUUUGUUGUUUCUUUCUCCCUUUAUGUCCUUGCCAAAAGAAUCUAGAUCGGAAGUAAUCCAAUAUAUGUAAUACUCCUUUCGGCAACUAGAUGAAGGAAAUCAUAUAUAGUACCAUAUUACUUAGUACUUAAUUUAUGAGGACCAACCUUCCACCAAGAGAUAGGAGUUUACCUUUCCAACUACUAAGUCAUUUUUGUAGCCUCUCCUUGACGUGUUUCCAUUUAGCAUUUUUGAGUCUUUGAUAAUGUAUGUACGUCCCAAAAUAAUUGACCAGAAACUGGCCCAAACCAUACCCAAACAGGUCAGCAUACACAUGGGCCACAUCUUGAGCCUCACCAAAACAAAAUAAUUCACUUUUAUGGAAAUUGAUCUUAAGCCCUGAGAGUUUCUUGAAGGCUGAUAAAAUUAAUUUCAAAUUUCUCGCUUUCUCGAGGUUGUGAUCCAUAAAGAGAAUCAUAUCAUCAGCAUGUUAAAGGAUAGGGAGACCACAAUCAACUAGGUGAUUCACUACCCCAUCAAUUUGACCAUCAACUUUGGCAUGCUUGAUACGUCCAUUUUGCAUCAAGCUUUCAUGUUGAUAUUUAUUGCUUUAUGGGCUGUUAUAUUACUUUGUGGUACCAUAUUUAUGCCUUUUCUCUCUUAUUUUGCAAGGUUUAUUUGAAGAGGGAGAAUUCACGCAGCUGGAAUUCUGGACUGGAAAAGGAGCAAAUCUUAGUCCACUAUUCUGCACAUCUCCAAAUGCCCUGAAAAAUUACGUGGAAUUUUUUGGGAUUAUAUAAAAAAUACUAAGCGAAAGAAGUACCGGAGGGGGGCCACCAGGGCACCACAAGCCCUGCCACCGCCACCCCCUGGUGGCGGAGGGCAAGCUUGUGGGCUCCCUGACGGCCCACUAGCCCCCCUCUUUUGCUAUAUGAAGGGUUUUGUUCCAGAAAAAAUCAUUCGAGAGCUUUCUCGUGAUUUCGCCGCCGCCAUGAGGUGGAACUUGAGUAGAUCCAAUCUAGAGCUCUGGCAAGACGAUCCUGCCGGGGAAACUUCCCUCCCGGAGGGGGAAAUCGUCGCCAUCGUCAUCACCAACACUCCUCUCGUCGGAGGGGAGGCAUCUUCAUCAACAUCUUCAUCAGCAACAUCUCCUCUCCAAUCCCUAGUUCAUCUCUUGUAACCAAUCUCCAUCUCACGACUCCGAUUGGAACUUGUAAGGUUACUAGUAGUGUUGAUUACUCUUUGUAGUUGAUGCUAGUUGGAUUAUUUGGUGGAAGAGUUUAUGUUCAGAUCCUUGAUGCUAUUCAUUACACCUCUGAUCAUGAUUAUGAUUAUGUUUUGUGAGUAGUUACUUUUGUUCCUGAGGACAUGGGAUAAGUCAUGUUAAUAAUAGUCAUGUGAAUUUGAUAUUCAUUCGGUAUUUUGAUAUGAUGUAUGUUGUAUUUUCCUCUAGUGGUGUUAUGUGAACGUCGACUACAUAACACUUCACCAUACUUGGGCCUAUAGGAAGGCAUUGGGCAGUAGUAAGUAGAUGAUGGGUUGCUGGAGUGACAGAAGCUUAAACCCCAGUCUAUGCGUUGCUUCGUGAGGGGCUGAUUUGGAUCCACUAGUUUAAUGCUAUGGUUAGACGUUGUCUUAAUUCUUCUUUUGUACUUGUGGAUGCUUGCGAGAGAGGUUAAUCAUAAGUGGGAUGCUUGUCCAAGUAAGGGCAGUACCCAAGCGCCGGUCCACCCACAUAUCAAACUAUCAAAGUAACGAACGUGAAUCAUAAGAACAUGAUGAAACUAGCAUGACAGAUAUUCCCGUGUGUCCUCGGGAGCGUUUUUCCUCCUAUAAGACUUUGUUCAGGCUUGUCCCUUGCUACAAAAGGGAUUGGGCCACUUGCUGCACCGUUGCUACUACUUGUUACUUGUUACUUUUCACUUGUUACGUUUCACCUCGCUACACCAUCACUUGUUACCGCUACUUUCAGUGCUUGCAGUUAUUACCUUGCUGAAAUCCGUUUAUCAGAGCCUUCUGCUCCUUGUUGGGUUCGACACUCUUACUUAUCGAAAGGACUAUGACUGAUCCUCCAUACUUGUGGGUCAUCAAGACUCUUUUUUGGCGCCGUUGCCGGCGAGUGAAGCGCCUUUGGUAAGUGAAAAUUGGUAAGGAAACAUCUAUAUACUGUGCUGAAAUUUAUUGUCACUUGUCACUAUGGAAAUUGUUCCUUUGAGGAGUUUGUUCGGUGUAUCUUCACCACGAACAGAAGCACGAGGAGUUGUUCCUCAACCUGAGGUACCUACUGAAAAUAUCUUUUAUGAAAUUCCUUCGGGUAUGCUUGAGAAACUCCUGGCUAAUCCUUUUACACGAGAUGGAUAUUCACAUCUAGACUUGCAUCUGAUCUAUGUAGAUGAAGUUUGUGGUUUAUUUAAGCUUGCAGGUUUGCCCGAGGAUGAGGUAAAUAAGAAAGUUUUUCCUUUAUCUUUGAAGGAUAAGGCGUUGACAUGGUAUAGGCUAUGUGAUGAUACUGGAUCAUGGGACUACAAUCAGUUCAAAUUGGAAUUUCAUCAAAAGUUCUAUCCUAUGCAUUUAGUACAUCGUGAUCAGAACUUUAUUUAUAACUUUUGGCCUCGUGACAGGGAAAGCAUAGCUCAAGCUUGGGGGAGGCUUAAAUCAAUGCUAUAUUCAUGCCCCAAUCAUGAGCUCUCGAGACAAAUCAUCACUCAAAACUUUUAUGCUCGGCUUUCUCAUGAAGAUCGUAUCAUGCUUAACACUUCUUGUACCGGUUCUUUUAUGAACAAGGAUAUUGAUCACAAGUGGAAUUUAUUGGAGAGAAUCAAAUGUAACUCUGAAGAUUGGGAGCUGGAGGAAGGUAAGGAGUCAGGUAUGAAUUUCCAGUUUGAAUGUGUUAAAUCUGUUGUUCAGACAAACACUUCUAGAGAUUUUAGCACUAAGUAUGGACUUGACUCUGAGAUAGUAACUUCUCUAUGUGAAUCUUUUGCUGCUCAUGUUGAUCUUCCCAAAGAGAAGUGGUUUAAAUAUCAUCCUCGUGUAGAAAGCAACAUAGCCAAAACCAAUCUAGUUGAGGAGAAAUUCAUGGCUUUUAGUGAUCCUGUUGUUCCUUGUGCUUACACUGAGAAACCACCAUACCCUGCUAGGAUAAAGGAUUAUUCUAAAGCUCCAACUGUGAUACGUAGGGGUUACAUUAGACCACUUGCACCCCCUGAGGAAAUUAGAGUUGAACCUAGUGUUGCUAUUAUCAAAGAUCUCUUAGCCGAAGACAUAGAUGGGCAUGUUAUCAAAUUCUGUGAGGACUCCGCUAGAAUUGCUAAACCUCACGCGAAAGACAAACACGGACCUGUAGUUGGCCUGCCCAUUGUUUCUGUCAAGAUAGGAGAUCACUGUUACCAUGGUUUAUGUGAUAUGGGAGCUAGUGUUAGUGCAAUACCCCGUUCUCUAUAUGAUGAAAUCAAAGAUGAGAUUGCACCUGCUGAGUUAGAACCCAUUGAUGUCACUAUUAUGCUAGCUAAUAGAGACACUAUCUACCAUCUAGGAAUUGUGAGAGACGUAGAAGUCCUGUGUGGUAAGACGAAGUAUCCUACUGAUUUACUCGUCCUUCGUACUGCACAAGAUAACUUUUGUCCCAUCAUAUUUGGUAGACCCUUUCUCAACACUGUCAAUGCUCACAUUGAUUGCAUUAAGCAGACUAUCACAGUUAGUUUCGAGGGUGUGUCUCAUGAAUUUAACUUCUCCAAGUUUGUAAGACAACCCCAUGAAAAAGAGUCGUCUGGAAGGGAUGAAAUUAUUGCUCUUGCCUCUAUUGUCCUACCUCCUGCGGAUCCUUUAGAGCAAUAUCUGCUUGUGCAUGAAAAUGAUAUGCAUAUGGAGGAGAGAGAUGAGAUAGAUAAAAUUGUUUUAGAACAAUAUCCUAUUCUCAAGAAUAAUCUGCCUGUUGAACUGCUUGGGGAUCCUCCCCCGCCAAAGGGUGAUCCUGUGUUCGAGCUUAAACAGUUGCCUGAUACUCUUAAGUAUGCCUAUCUUGAUGAGAAGGAGAUAUAUCCUGUUAUUAUUAGUGCUCUCCUCUCAGAGCACGAAGAGAAGAAGUUGCUAAGAACUCUGAGGAAGCACCGUGCUGCUAUUGGAUAUACUCUUGAUGAUCUUAAGGGGAUUAGUCCCACUCUAUGUCAGCACAAGAUUAAAACCGAUCCUGACUUUAAACCAGUUGCUGAUCAUCAAAGGAGAUUAAAUCCUAAGAUGAAAGAGGUCAUUAGAAAAGAAAUAUUAAAGCUUCUGGAAGCAAGAAUCAUUUAUCCUGUUGCUCAUAGUGAUUGGGUAAGUUCAAUACAUUGCGUACCUAAGAAGGGAGGUAUCACUGUCGUUCCUAAUGAUAAGGAUGAACUCAUCCCACAAAGGAUUAUUACUGGCUAUAGGACGGUGAUAGACUUCCGGAAACUGAACCAACCAGGAAAGAUCAUUAUCCCUUGCCGUUUAUUGACCAAAUGCUAGAAAGGCUAUCAAAACACACACACUUUUGCUUUCUAGACGGUUAUUCAGGUUUCUCCCAAAUACUUGUUUCACAAUCUGCUCAGGAGAAAACCACUUUCACCUGCCCCUUCGGUACCUUUUCUUAUAGACGUAUGCCUUUUGGCUUAUGCAAUGCACCUACCACCUUUCAAAGAUGUAUGAUGGCUAUAUUCUAUGACUUUUUUGAAAAGAUUGUCGAGGUUUUCAUGGAUGACUUCUCCGUUUACGGGUCCUCCUUUGAUGAUUGCCUCAGCAACCUUGAUCGAGUCUUACAGAGAUGCGAAGAUACCAACCUCAUCUUGAAUUGGGAGAAGUGCCACUUUAUGGUUAAUGAAGGUAUCGUCUUAGGACACAAAAAUUCUGAAAGAGGCAUUGAAGUUGAUAAGGCUAAUGUUGAUGCAAUUGAGAAAAUGCCUUUCCCCACAGAUAUCAGAGGUAUACGAAGUUUCCUAGGUCAUGUUGGUUUCUAUAGAAGGUUCAUUAAAGACUUCUCUAAGAUUUCUAGGCCUCUUAGCAACCUCUUGCAGAAGGAUAUUCCUUUUGUUUUUUAUGAGGAUUGUGAGGAAGCUUUCAAAAUACUUAAGAAGGCUUUGCUAACCGCACCUAUUGUUCAACCACCUGACUGGAACUUGCCCUUUGAAAUCAUGUGUGACGCUAGUGAUUAUGCUGUUGGUGCUGUUCUAGGACAAAGAGUUGACAAGAAGUUGAAUGUUAUUCACUACGCUAGUAAAACUCUAGACAGUGCCCAAAGAAACUAUGCCACUACGGAGAAGGAAUUUUUAGCAGUCGUGUUUGCAUGUGAAAAGUUCAGAUCUUAUAUAGUUGACUCCAAAGUCACUAUUCACUCUGAUCAUGCUGUUAUUAAAUACCUUAUGGAUAAGAAGGACGCUAAGCCUAGGCUGAUCAGAUGGGUUCUCCUGCUACAGGAAUUUGAUUUGCAUGUCGUUGAUCGAAAGGGUGCUGAUAACCCUGUAGCAGAUAACUUGUCUAGGCUAGAGAAUGUCCUUGAUGACCCACGACCUAUUGAUGACAGCUUUCCUGAUGAGCAAUUGAAUGUCAUCCGCACUUCACAUAGUGCACCGUGGUAUGCCGAUUAUGCAAAUUAUAUCGUAGCCAAAUACAUACCACCCAGUUUCACCUAUCAGCAAAAGAAGAAAUUCUUCUUUGAUUUGAGACACUACUUUUGGGAUGAUCCUCACCUUUAUAAGGAAGGAGUAGAUGGUGUUAUUAGAUGUUGUGUGCCUGAACAUGAACAGGAACAAAUCUUGCAGAAGUGUCAUUCUGAAGCCUACGGAGGACACCACGCUGGAGAUAGAACUGCCCAUAAGGUAUUGCAAUCAGGUUUCUAUUGGCCCACUCUCUUCAAGGAUGCCCGUAAGUUUGUCUUGUCUUGUGACGAAUGCCAAAGAAUAGGGAAUAUCUGUAAACGUCAGGAAAUGCCUAUGAACUAUUCACUUGUCAUUGAACCAUUUGAUGUCUGGGGCUUUGAUUAUAUGGGACCCUUCCCGAGUUCCAAUGGGUACACUCAUAUCUUAGUUGCUGUGGAUUACGUCACUAAGUGGGUAGAAGCUAUCCCCACUAAAAAUGUUGAUCACCACACCUCUAUUAAGAUGCUUAAAGAAGUCAUUUUCCCAAGAUUUGGAGUCCCUAGAUAUUUGAUGACUGAUUGUGGUUCACACUUCAUUCAUGGUGUUUUCCGCAAGAUGCUCGCUAAGUAUGAUGUCAACCAUAGAGUUGCAUCUCCUUAUCAACCUCAGUCUAGUGGUCAAGUGGAGUUGAGUAAUAGGGAGAUCAAAGUGAUCCUACAAAAGACCGUCAAUAGAUCUCGAAAGAAUUGGUCUAGAAAACUUGACGAUGCACUAUGGGCUUAUAGGACUGCUUAUAAGAAUCCCAUGGGCAUGUCACCGUAUAAAAUGGUUUAGGGUAAGGCCUGUCAUUUACCUCUUGAGCUGGAACACAAAGCUUAUUGGGCAAUCAAAGAUCUCAACUUUGAUUUCAAACUUGCCGGUGAGAAGCUGUUGUUUGAUCUCAGCUCAUUAGAUGAAUGGAGGGCCGAGGCAUAUGAGAAUGCCAAGUUGUUCAAGGAAAAGGUUAAGAGAUGGCACGACAAACGAAUAUAGAAACGGGAUUUCAAUGUAGGUGAUUAUGUCCUGCUAUACAAUUAUCGUUUGAUAUUCUUUGCACGCAAGCUUCUCUCUAAAUGGGAAGGUCCUUAUGUUAUCGAGGAAGUAUAUCGUUCCGAUGCCAUCAAAAUCAAUGACACGGAAGGAAAUUUUCCUAGAGUGGUAAAUGGGCAAAGAAUCAAGCAUUACAUCUCUGGUACUCCCAUAAAUGUUGAGACCAAUAUCAUCAAUGUCAUAACUCCACAGGAGUACAUAAGGGAUGUUUAUCAGCUUGUUUCAGACCCUGAAAACGAAGAGGUAUCUGUUUCGGUAAGAAAUUGGACUCCGAUGCUUUUCCAAUAAGAAAUUUCCUCCGUUUUGGAAUUUUUGGAAAAUUAGAAAAAUAAAAAGCAGUCUGGAGAGCGCACGAGGCGGCCACAAGCUUGGCCACCGCCACCCCCCUGGUGGCGGAGAGAGGGCUUGUGGGCACCUCCGGACUCCGUUUUCUUGCGGAGCACUCCUUCUGGUCCAGAAAAAAUCAAUAUAUAUUCGCCCGAAGGUUUUGAUCUCCGUAUCGCGCAAUUUUCCUCUGUUUUCGUUUCGAGCCUAUUUCCGUGACAGAUCUAGAUCAUCAUGACUUCCCCAAACGCUCCUAAGGACAAGAUCUUCGAGAAGGUCAUCAAUCCCUACCUCGCGGAAGUGUUGAAACACCCUCAAUCUAUCAAGAUGAGUGAGGGGAUGUUGCACAUCCGUGAUGUUGAGGGGCUUAAGAAGACCGGAAGCGUGGAGACGAGGCUCGAAGCAAUGGAGCAACAAGUCUUCAAGUGCCAAGGGAUGGUGGAGCAUGGACUCAACGCCAACCACAUGAUGAUCACGGAGUUCACUAGCAAUCACAAGAUGGAAGCCAUUGACAUUGGGAAACACCUCUCCAGGCUCUAUGACAGGGUUGAUCAACUUCAGGGCCAGAUCUAUGACCUGCAGAACCAAAACUGUGAGUAUGAGUACAUAUUUAAAUUAAUAAGGUUGGCUGCAGACUUGAGGAUUCCGGCGACUCGUUCAUCCUGCCAUGAUGGAGCACCUAUGCCUUGGAAGACGGAGGAUCAGAAUACUCAAACAACUCCACCACCAUCACCACCAAAGGAAGACAACUAAGCAUUGGUAUGGGCAAUCCCCUUGGCUUCUGCCAAGCUUGGGGGAGUUGCCCUGGUAUCGUAUCACCAUUAUAUCUUUUGCUUUUACCUUUGUUUUAGUUCUUUCCUUUUCAGUUUUUAUUUCUUCUCUUAGAGGAAUAAGUUUGUAGUGUUUAGUUUGAGUCUUUUGCUUUUGUCUCUCCCCCGACGUAUUCGAGCUCGUGAGCUAUAUAAUAAAGAGUAUCUUAGUCAAGGGCUUUGCUUUGUGCCAUGAUCAAAAGUAUGAAAAGAACGAUAGCCUCAAAGAUCACGAGACGAUCUUAUGGAAAGUGAUAGCUUCACAUAUGACACGUAUGGUGAUUGAAACUUGUUGAGAAUAAAUCAACAUAGACCUCAGUCAUUGUUGCAAUUAAUAAGAAGUAAUAAGGAAAGAGAGGUUCACAUAUAAAUAUAUCAGCUUAGAUACUUUUUACAAUUGUGAGCACUCACCAAAAUAUUACAUGCUUAGGAGUAGAUGUUGGACAAGGAAGUAACAUAAUGAACUGUGUUUGCUUGGUUCCAAACAAUGUUAUAUGAUUAGAGAUCCCUUAGCAUGUGACGAUUGCUUCCACCUCAUGUUAGCAUCCAUAAACCUCCAACCCAGUUUUGCCAUGAGAGUCCACCAUACCUACCUAUGGAUUGAAUAAGAUCCUUCAAGUAAGUUGUCAUCGGUGCAAGCAAUAAAAAUUGCUCUCUAAUAUGUAUGAUCUAUUAGUGUGUGGAAAAUAAGCUUUGUACGAACCUGUGAUGAGGAAGACAUAAAAGCGACAGACUGCAUAAUGAAGUUCUUUAUCACAGGAGGCAAUAUAAAGUGACGUUCCUCCGCACUAAGAGGACAAGCAUUCAAACCUCAAAAGCGCAUGACAACCUCUCCUUCCCUCUACGAAGGGCCUAUCUUGUACCUUUACUUUUCGCCCUUGUAAGAGUCGUGGUGAUCUUCACCAAUUCCCUAUUUUUGCCUUUGUCUUGGCUACCGUCGCAUGCUUGGGAAAGAUCUAUAUUCAUAUAUAAACUUGGAGUUGAGUACUUAUGCUUUAUUAUUGUUGACUUUAUCCUUGAGGUAAAUCGUUGGGAGGCAAAACUAUAAGCCCAUAUCUUCCUCUGUGUCCAGCUGAAACUUUGACACCAUGAGUACCUCGUGAGUUGUAACAACUGUGGAAAACAAAAGAGAUGAUUGAGUAUGUGGAUUUACCUUACAAGCUCUUACUUGAAUCUUUCUGAUGUUGUGAUAAAUUGCAAUUGCUUCAAUGACUUUGGACUGUUGUUGGUCACUUCUCGGUAAGGUUUUUGCUUCAUGCUUUGCUUUGUGAAGGAAUUGUUACUUUCCCAUAAGAAUCUUUAUGAUGUAUUGAUGUUCUAUGUGUGAUCAUGAUGUCCUCAUGUCCGUAUUAUGUUUUAUCGACACCUUCGUCCCUAAACAUGUGGACAUGUUUAUGGAACUUGGUUUUCGCUUGAGGACAAGCGAGGUCUAAGCAUGGGGGAGUUGAUACGUCCAUUUUGCAUCAUGCUUUCAUGUUGAUAUUUAUUGCUUUAUGGGCUGUUAUAUUACUUUGUGGUACCAUAUUUAUGCGUUUUCUCUCUUAUUUUGCAAGGUUUAUUUGAAGAGGGAGAAUUCAGGCAGCUGGAAUUCUGGAAUGGAAAAGGAGCAAAUCUUAGUCCACUAUUCUGCACAUCUCCAAACGCCCUGAAAAGUUACGUGGAAUAUUUUUGGAUUAUAUAAAAAAUACUGGGCGAAAGAAGUAUCAGAGGGGGCGCCCUGCCACCGCUACCCCCCCCCCCCCCCCCNNNNNNNNNNNNNNNNNNNNNNNNNNNNNNNNNNNCCCGCCCCCCCCCCCCCCUGGUGACGGAGGGCAAGCUUGUGGGAUCCCUGACGGCCCACUAGCCACCCUCUUUUGCUAUAUGAUGGGUUUCAUUCCAGAAAAAUCAUUCGGGAGCUUUUUCGUUGUUUCGCCGCCGCCACGAGGCGGAACUUGAGCAGAUCCAAUCUAGAGCUUUGGCAGGACGAUCCUGCCGAGGAAACUUCCCUCCUGUAGGGGGAAAUCAUAGCCAUCGUCAUCGCCAACACUCCUCUUGUCGGAGGGGAGGCAUCUUCAUCAACAUCUUCAUCAGCACCAUCUCCUCUCCAAUCCCUAGUUCAUCUCUUGUAACCAAUCUCCGUCUCACGACUCCGAUUGGAACUUGUAAGGUUACUAGUAGUGUUGAUUACUCUUUGUAGUUGAUGCUAGUUGGAUUAUUUGGUGGAAGAGUUUAUGUUCAGAUCCUUGAUGCUAUUCAUUACACCUCUGAUCAUGAUUAUGAUUAUGUUUUGUGAGUAGUUACUUUUGUUCCUGAGGACAUGGGAUAAGUCAUGUUAAUAAUAGUCAUGUGAAUUUGAUAUUCGUUCGGUAUUUUGAUAUGAUGUAUGUUGUCUUUUCCUCUAGUGGUGUUAUGUGAACGUCGACUACAUAACACUUCACCAUACUUGGGCCUAUAGGAAGGCAUUGGGCAGUAGUAAGUAGAUGAUGGGUUGCUGGAGUGACAGAAGCUUAAACCCCAGUCUAUGCGUUGCUUCGUGAGGGGCUGAUUUGGAUCCACUAGUUUAAUGCUAUGGUUAGACGUUGUCUUAAUUCUUCUUUUGUACUUGUGGAUGCUUGCGAGAGAGGUUAAUCAUAAGUGGGAUGCUUGUCCAAGUAAGGGCAGUACCCAAGCGCCGGUCCACCCACAUAUCAAACUAUCAAAGUAACGAACGUGAAUCAUAAGAACAUGAUGAAACUAGCAUGACAGAAAUUCCCGUGUGUCCUCGAGAGCGUUUUUCCUCCUAUAAGACUUUGUUCAGGCUUGUCCCUUGCUACAAAAGGGAUUGGGCCACUUGCUGCACCGUUGCUACUACUUGUUACUUGUUACUUUUCACUUGUUACGUUUCACCUCGCUACACCAUCACUUGUUACCGCUACUUUCAGUGCUUGCAGUUAUUACCUUGCUGAAAUCCGUUUAUCAGAGCCUUCUGCUCCUCGUUGGGUUCAACACUCUUACUUAUCGAAAGGACUACGAUUGACCCCUAUACUUGUGGAUCAUCAAUGCUCAAUCAUGACCGCUAACAUAUCAACCACUAUAUUGAAUAUCAAGGGUGACAUUGGGUCACCUUGCCUCAAUCCUUUCUUCAUUUCAGAAUAGUUGCCAACGCCAUCAUUGACUUAAUGGCAACACUACCUUUAGUCAAAACUAUGGAUCAUUGCGUGCAACUUUGCAGAAAUCCUUUCAUUCCGAGAGUCUGUUGAAGAAAAGACCAUUUGCUUUUUUCAUAAGCUUUUUCAAGGUCGAUUUUAAGAACCACCCCGUUUAGUUUAUGUUGAUGCAAUUCAUGGACUGUUUCAUGAAGGACAACAAGCCGAUCUAGGAUGUUUCUGCCUUGCAUAAAUGCAGUUUGAGAAGGACAAACCACAUGUUUAGCAACCGAAUUAGGAUAAUCGUCACUACCUUAGUGAGGCUUUUAAAACUAGCAUUAAGGAGGCAGAUUGGACGAUAUUUUUGUAUCCUUUAAGACUCAUUAACCUUAGGUAACAAAAUAAUUUCAUCGAACUUUAAGAGAAACAACUCUAGUUUCUCCAGCGUGAAGGCAGCCAAACAAUACUAGUAGAUCAUGUUUGAUGACAUCCCAAAAUUUCUGGUAGAAAUGAGCGGGAAAACCAUCUCGACCCACUGCUUUGUUGUGCUCCGUUAGGAAAACUGUAUUUCUAACCUCCUCUGAAGUAAAUGGAGUGGUUAGAAUGCUAUUUUCCUCACUAGAAACUUGGGGAAUGUCUUCUAUUCGAGACUCAUCUAUCCAGAAGUUUCCUUCCUCAGGGGUUCCAAAUAGAUGUUUAUAAUAACUAGUGAUAUAAGACUUAAGUUGCUCAUGGCCUUCCACCGUGCCCUCCUCCUAUUGUAGGGAAUGAAUAAGUUUCUUUCGGUAUCUACCAAUGUCAACACCAUGGAAGUAUCUCAUAUAUGAAUCGCCUUUCAGGAUAAAGUGAGAGUUUGAAUGUUGGUACCACUUGAGUUCCUCCUCACGUAGCAAGCUCGCUAACUGGGCAUUUGAUUGACUCUUGAUCUCUAUUUCAUGCUCAGGGAGAGGUCUAAUCUCUACCAAAGCUUCUAAAUUGCCAAUAAUAGAUGAAAUAUGAAGUCUUUUCUUUUUGAGAAUGCCUACAGUGUGCCUAGCCCAACCAUCAAGGAACUUAGGUAAUGCACGCAAUUUGUUGUUCCAUUUGUGUAGAGGGGUAAGCCCGGCAACCGGUUUCUCCAUAUUCAUUGAUUCCUCAUGAAUGGCAUGUUCCUUAAUAACAGAUGUCUUAGUGACUUGGCUAAACAUAUAUUCACCUCGGAAUGUAAUAGGUAGUAUAAUUUAGACUUUUUGGCUUUAUCUAAAACUAGGAGACAUGAUUUCUCACGUAGUCUACUUAACCGCUUUUCUUGCGGGAUAGACUAUGAUUGGAUUUCACAGCCACCUCGAGGUCGUUCGGGGGGGUUUACUUGGCGUAAAACAAGGACUAUGGAUGUUUUGGCAAGUUCGGAUGUUGAGUUUCACAUUAAACUCCAUAUCUGAAACAAAGGUGGUAACUUCACAUGGACCCUAGUCGCCAUGUAUGGGGGUGCCCAGUAUGAGUUCAAGGCCUCUUUUCUACGUGAAUAGUUAAUCUAGCAAAUUAUAAUCCCUACCCCAUUCUCAUUACUAGGGAUUUUAAUUUGCUGCAAUUUCCAAAUGAUUAAAUCCGAGGUAGGUUGAUGAUCGUUCGCCCUUCCUUUUCAACGUUGUCGUAGACUGUGUGGAUUUGUGAGAGGUUUUGAUGAUUGAAAGAUAAUUUACUUAGGGCAAAUAAUCUUCCACACCCCACCUAUGAGAAGUUAGAUCGCGUUUUGUUGGAUACUGAAUCUGAAUCCAAAUUCCCUAUGGUUUCUGAUUGUGUUAUACCUCCUAUAGAGGAUAUCUUAGACCAUGCACCUGUGAUGCCCCCAUUUUGAUUGUAUGCUAAUCAUACAUGCAAAUGUGCACGACCAAGACUAGGGACUCACGGGAAGAUAUCACAACACAACUCUAGACUCAAACUAAAGUCAUACAAGCUUUAUAUUACAAGCCAGGGGCCUCGAGGGCUCGAAUACAUAAGCUCGAUUACAAACGAGUCAGCGGAAGCAAACAAUGUCUUAUUACAAACAUAAGUAAACAAGUUUUUCCUUAAGAAGGCUAGCACAAACAUAACAUCGGAUCGAAAAGGCAAGGCCUCCUGCCCGGGAGCCUCCUGACUAUUCCUAGUCGUCAGCGACUUGUACGUAGUAGUAGGCUCCAUCGGGGUAGUAGUAGUUGUUGGCGGGAUCAACUGGCUCCUAGGCUCCGUCAUGUGGUUGCCGCAAUCGUAUCUAUAGGAAAAAGGGGAGAAAGGCAAUGAUGAAUACUCAUCCAAAGUACUCGCGAGACUGACAUCAGAACUAUGCUAAGUAUGCAUUGGUUUCAAAGGAAUGGGGCUAUAUCUUUGGACUGAACUGCAGAAAUGCCAAAAUAGAGGAGGAAGACCUAGUCCUAUCGAAGACUAGCAUCUUCAGGGUCUUGCGGCAUUAGAAGAGUGUAGAUUAGUAACACAUAUGUAAUAAUUAUGUUGCAACAAAUUUAAUAAAUACGCUGAGAGAUCCUUCCUCGACUCCAUGCGAUAAAGAAAUCUCAAAGCCAACAUUUCAAUUUAAGUCACACUUCUAGUUUAUUAGAUCGGGACACAACUCUGAGCGUCUGUUACCGUGGACACGGUUAUUCGGAUAGAUAUACCACCCUGUAGGGGUACACAAACUUACCCAACACGCUCGAUUAACUCCGUCUGGACACGCUUUCCUCGUUCAUGCCCAGCCUCGGCUCAUCGACAUGCCUUAAUCCUACCUAUGCUCAAGAGAGAGGCCGACGCCGGUCUACAUCCUAAUCGCAAAGGUGUCACGGGCCAAUCUCCCUUCACAAUCUUGCGCGUUGCAAGGACGGCCGGUGUCAGUCCUGCCACCUCUUAAUAUAAGAAUGAUGCUUACGCAGACCAACCGGGCGCGUGCCGCUCACUCUGACAUUUGAAGAGCUUUCGGGCGAACGUACGACAUAGAGUGCACAUACUUAUUCCCGCGUGGUGGUUCAUGCGAAACAGGCCAACGGCCUUCUUAGAUCACAUAUCCAAGCCCAUUAAUGUUUUGUUAAACUGCGAUGGCGAUCAAUCAUCCAUGAUAUGUGGUCUCGUCGCCCCAUCUCGAGGACUUGUGGCGAGGGCCAAGAAUGCGCGACCACGCCUUGUCACAAUCAUGCGGGAAUCUACCCGCUCCACACAUCUCAUCAUGUUCAAGUAGUAAAGUUAAAGUAGCCGUGUGUCUAUAACAUCAAAGUAAUCCGAGGUAUCACCCUCGUUGGAUUCUAAUCGGUAACCGUCAAGGCGACCAAGGAGGAAUCACCCUCGAUGGUUCACGCUUGAGGGGUUGCACGACAAAGUCGUUAUUGGAAGUGGUGAGGGAGGAAUCACUCUCCAUAAUCCACCUCCGGAUAACUACACUACAGAGUUAACAUCAGGAGUACAUUACGAGAUAUCACCCUCGGUACUCGAUAGUAGUUGUGCAGAGUCGUACAACUUAGGGGGUGUGAGGUGAUGUGAUAGGUGUGGCUCGUCGAUCAUGAUGAUCGAGUCUUCGAGUCUUCAAGUCUUCGAUCAUGAAGCAGGGGCAACUAGGACAUAGUGGGGUCACUAAUAUGCAGUAGGGUACAACAACAGCUUAACAAAAACAGGUUAUGCAUCAGAAUAGGAGCUAUCUACAAGAGUAGCAAAAUCUUAUGCAAGCAUGAGUGAGAAAGAAUGGGUGAUAUCGAAAUGAUCAACCGGGUGGGGUUUGCUUGCUUUCUUGCUGUGUUGCAAAAGGUUGAACGUCAGUGGCGUAGUCAUACCCGGCAGCAGUGUUAGUCUCGGUGUCUACCGAAGAGAAGAGGGGGAAGAAACAAUAAAUAAAAGCAACCAAAUGCAACACGAUGCAUGACAUGGAAAAAUCCAGUGCUAUGGAUGAGCUAAUGCAGUACUACACGUCACAGACGGAGCGGGAGAAUAUUUGACGAUAUUUUCCGUGUCUUUGGCUUCUAACGAAUACAUGAUCCUAACGACAAAUGUCCGUGUUCAUCAUGUUAGGGGCAUGUGACACAUAAAUGGAGAGCGUAUGGAGAUUCGUUGGAUUUUUCUGAUCAAUUUCCAUGUAUAAAUUAUUUUAUCCGAGUUAUAAUUUAUUUUAUAUGAAUUUUCAAAGUUUUAAUAAGAUUUUGAAAUUCUAAAAUUAAUAAUAAUUCAAAAUAAAACAGUAAAUACUUUUUAUAUCCGUCACGGGCUAGCCAUAAUGGAUGACACAUGGGGCAAGUCAACUACUCAACCAACAUUUAAAUGGUCCAUGUUGACUUGUCAAGUGGGUCCAGUUGACCGAGCUGUCAGUGACUAGGUUUGCGGUGUCAGCUGGUUUGGCUGGUCAGCUGGUCCGGUGGGACCCGCAUGUCAGCGUCUCACGCAAUUAAACUGGUUUUCAGUUAAAUCCUAAUUAGUUUAGUUAGUGGCCUAGGGCCCAGUUGUCAGUGGCUAGGGUUAGUUUGGGUAGUUGGUGGCUUAAAUAGGAGUGCCACGUCAUCAUCACCGGUUAAGUUGCCGACGCUAAUCCAGCAACGGUGGAGCUCACCGACCGGUCGUUUUCGGCCACGAGGGGAUGGAUAGAUGGGUGCAUGCGAAAGCCUGGAGCGCGACUAGUCUCCUCGUGGCAACAACGCGACCGGAGGAGGCCGACAGCGGCACCGGCACCGGCACCGAGCAAUGGCGACGGAGGCGCUUGGGUCGGCGCGAGCGAGGGCGGGUGCACGGGUGCAUGCGCGGAGCGGCUGUAGGUUCGCUCGGGCGGGCUCGGGGGUUUGGUGCGGUCGGGCGCGCGGGCGGCGACUAGCAGCAGCAAAGGGCACGGGCGCGGCCGCGGGGAACGACGGGGUGGGCGGCAGCAUCAUUAGUGCAUCGACGGGGGCAGAGGACGGCGACAACAGCAGACUGACGGGCACGACGAACAGUGGGCGCGGCUGGCGACGCGACACAUGUGGGGUGGAGGCGGCGAAUGGGUGAGUAGGGUGCGGCGACGAGCGGGGAGCAGCGAUGGGGAGAGAGGAAGCGAGGCGAGUCGAGCCUCACCGGCCAUACAUGGUGGCGGGGGCGGUGAGGCUUGUUUGGGCCAUCAAGGAGGAGGACGGGGACGCGCAACGACGAGAGGCAGUGGCGACGAGGCUGCGCGGCCGCGGUGAGGGGUUGGCCGGCUCGGGCGAGCUCGAGCUCGACGGGAACGGGACAGGGGGGUCGAGGGAAGAGAGCGGUUAGAGUUUUGGGGAGGGGGUCACCAACGCUAUAAGGGAGGGGGCGGCCCAACGGAUGGCCGCCACGACUGUCUUGCCGACCGGAUGGUCGUGACGACCCACGUGCCUCCAUGUAGCACGUGAAGGGGACAAGUGGGAGUUGGGGGAGGGGGUGGCGUGGCCACGUGGGCCUUCUGGGUGGCUUAGUGGGCCAAGGCCCACCGUCAUAUUGAAAUAUCAAGCAGAGCCAGAAAAUUUUUGGAGCCCAUUUAAAAAAUGUGGAAAUCUUCAUAAUUCAAAAGACAUUUAAUUAAUUGUUUUGGCCUCUGUUAUAAUUGUUUUGAGGCAUCAAAAUACUUGAUAAAAUGUUGGCGUAAAUUUUAUAAAUAUUUAGGGAAUAUCUCUAACCCAAACAUGAUUUUUGUUUUCAGAUUUGCAAAAGUAUUUGAACCGCUUAUUAAAUGAAUUUUAAAUUUCAGAAGGAAUUUGAAAUGAGAUAUGAUUUCAAUGUGAUCAAACAAGGUUUAGCAAAAGCAUUAACUUAACCUUUGAUUUACUGUAGCUUAAUUAGAUGCAUCUGAAUCCAGGGGUGUUACAGCACCUAAUAACUGGAUUGCCACGACCGCAGCACAAACACAAGUUCAAGUUUGAAAUGGAUUAAUUGCUUGGGGAUGAAUUCCAUGACAUCAUCAUGAAUUAUUUGUAGAAUUAGUUGCUCGGGUCGGCGCGAGACGACAUAAUAUCACCAACUCAAGUUUACUAGUAGUAACAUUAAGCUUUAUUUAGUGCCUAGUUUGUUUACAUUGAAUUUCAUAAAAGAUCAAGAGUUCGUGCCUUUGAAUAACCGGAACACACAUUGUGACUUGUGAGUCCACGACAGCCAGCAGCGCACCUUCUGAAUUCAUUGUUGCACUUAACUUUGGCUCUGUUUGAAUACAUAGGCUAGAAUUAGUUUGAGCUAGUUGAGGCUCAAAUAGCAUUAAAGUAUCCAAACAUGAGGGUUAGAUUGAAGCUAGUUGCAUCUAACCCAUCCAAAAAAACUAGCCCACCCAAAAGGUGCUAAUUGGAGCUAGUUUUCAUGGGGUCCAUUAAAAAAUUACUUUUCUCUCUCUAUCCACCAGGUAAUGACCCACUAAAAAAUCACUUUUCUCUCUCCAUCAAAUACAACUGUUGUCAAUCUAACCCUAUCAUCCAAACACCUCUUUGGCUAGAGUUAUUUUAAGGUUAGUCAUGAGCUAGAAACUAACUCUAACCUUUAGCUAAGUUAGAGUAUCCAAACAGGGCCUUUGUCAGCUCUCCCACUAGUCCACACGAAGUCCGUCCGUGACGGAGACUGCAAGAAAUGAAAAUGAGAACGCGCACGCGUACGUGUCCGUCCGGGCAAGAACGGAAGAUGCGGUAGAGCUUUCCCUAGGAUAGCAAAUUUGCUUGUCUUUUGCGCUUAACUGCACACGCCUUGUUCCUUCAGAUUCAGGAGUAGUGACUGUAGCGGACGUGUUCCUGUUGUCCAGUAUCUAUCUCCGGAGUCCCGGGUGAUGGGAUUUGUCCGUUUUACUUUAAAUGAACAGAAUGCGCUGGAGUUGGCCUAACCGAGUCGUCGGUCCGAUUAGUUUGAAGAGUUGAGGUGCAAGUUGUAGAUGCUCUCAUGUAUCACACCCUGUUUUUUUCCAGAGAAUUUAGUUACCAUCAGAUCCUUGAAUUCACUGGUGUGACUGAGACUGUCAUGCCACUGCCCUCGGCUAAUUAGGCCGAACAUCCAUCGUACAUGUCCCGUAGGGCCUAGGCCCCAGAGCCGUCCAAACUGCAGGUCCAAACGGGGGCACCUUUUUUCACUAUAUAGUCAGCAUCUUUUGUCAUUGCAACGUCAACGUGGAAUCCAUUAGCAUUGUUUUUCCCCUGCGAGUUGACGUUGCGCCACACCCACACGGCGGCGCAUCCACAAGUCAACCACGGGAAGCAGCUUGUCAACGCACAUGAUUGAAACGCGACGGAAGGCUGGAGAGGACUUGACCUGCAAGCAUGUGCUCGCUAGCUACUUCGUCUCCAUCCUUGCAGGGUAUCAUUGGGUCGUGAGAAAAAAGAAAGAAAAACGCCGUGCCGUCGAACUGCCGUUUGAAGGACCCGUGUGAAGGGAGGAGUGGGCGGUCGGCCGGGCUGCUUCGGACGCGACACCAAGGACGUGUUUGGCAGCCGUUCCAGCGGGGCCUAGCUUGCUCAAGUCUGGUUUAUCGGAGACUACAUACGAAGCAAAAUGAAUUAAUCUAUACUUUAAAGUAUGUCUAUAACAUACGUAUGUAGUCCCCUAAUGAAAUAUUUAAAAAGAUUUAUAUUUAAAAAUGGAGAGAGUAGUUCUUUUAUAUUAGGGUAGCAGUUUUGGCAUCACGUUUGGUUGGCUGUAUUGGUACACGGAUGCUAAAGGAGUCUCAGGGCAAGCAUUCCCGCUGGUGUUAGGGCGGACUAGUUGCUACGCCGUCGCACAGAAAGUUCGUAGUCAAAGGACGGAGGAUGAGAAAUACGGUAUGUGUCGGACCAUAACGACUGUAAUGGACGGUGGUUGUGGCGUCGCGUCCGAAACGACGUUCACGUAGUCGUGCGCGAAUGACUCCUUUGACGGUGCGGCGAACUAGUUGGUAGACUCAUCGUCGCAAAGAGAGUCCGCAUGAAGACAAUGGAAAGAGAAGGAAAAAUGUAGUGCCCGCGUCAUGACAACGUCAGUGCAGUAGGUCGAGAGAGAGGAAGUCAAGAUAACCGACGUCGAAAACGACUUCAGUGUAAAAGGAUACGGCNNNNNNNNNNNNNNNNNNNNNNNNNNNNNNNNNNNNNNNGGAAUGCCGCAGACGUCGAAAGGGAGGAAUAGAAGGACCGUGGAAAAAAGAAGAAAAAAUAUAGUAUGCAUGAAAUUAUGACGUCAAUGCAGUAGGAUCGUCGCGAAUGUCGUGUGAAACUGCAUGAUAAAGCUGUCGAUUGUAAGUAAUGAAUUUGAUAAAAUUCUUGCAAAAUAGCUUUAAACAUAAACACAAAAUUAAGCAUUCAUGAUCGAGGAAACUAUAAACCGAUCAAAAAAAUGAAAACUUAACAUCGAUGCGCAUCGUUUUUGUGUAGAGUUUUUUUCAUUAAAAUAUCAUUGUGUAGAUUAGAAAGGGGAAAUGAGAUUAGAAGUAGUUUAGUGAAUGUAGAAUAUGCAGACAAGGGAAUACCCAUGUGCACUCACUAUAGGUCAGCUUAGCUCAUAAGAAACUAUCAAUUUGAACAUGCUAGCGAGCCUAACACAGAUGUGCUUUUAAGUUUCGUGCGAUGCAUACCCUAAGUGAACGCAAUAAAACAAACCGGUUAGUUUUUUCUUGCGCGGUUUUGCUUAGGCCUAAUGCAGGCAAGCAAACACGUCCAAGUGGCUUAUGAUGUUGGACACGAUAUAUGUCUCUCCUAGCCAUUCUUCUAAGAGAGAGAAAUUUGGGUUGACCAUUUUCGAUUGAUCCCUGUUACUGCUAGCGUCUAGUCCAUCUGAACGACCGUCAGAACGGAGAACUGGUGUGCGAUUCGAGCUUUGUUCCCUUCGCAAUGGAUCCAGACGAGCUCUGAUGCACGCGAACACAAACCAUCCUUCAAAAAGAAACGAACGCGAGCCACGGCAUGAAAGGACCCGAGGCAAAAGAUGGUCGAAUCAACAACGACACAUUUCAACAAGAAUUCUAUACGCAUUCCAGGGGAAGAAAUCCGGACCACUCAUUGUUUUAUUAUUUUUGAUAUACCUGACCACUCAUGCUAAGUGGGAAGAAAUCCGGAAAUCCGCAGGCGGCGUCAUGGCUUAGCUGAAGCGAGCCCUCAGUUGGGCCCGUCUAUUUCUGCUGAUUUCUUCGGGCUGUUUUUUCAUGUUUUUUUCUGUUUCUAAACUGUUUUUUUCUUAAAAACUGUUCGCCAAAUAUAUUAAAACAUUCACCAUAUAUUUAAAAAGUGUUCAUUUUGUAUUUGAUAAAUGGUCACAUAUGUUAGAUAAGUGUACAUGUAUACCAAAAGAAGUUUGAAAUAUUAAAAAAAUAUUGAAAUUAUAAAACCAGUCGAAAUUAUCUUGUAUUUAAAAAACUAAUUUUAAUAUGAAAACAAUAGAAAGGUUAAAACAAUUGCUACACUAUUACUAGCUUUUUUUAGACAAUACCGUGACUACUCGUUGUUGGGCUUCCGCAAAAUAAAACUACUCGUUGUUGGGGCAGCCCACUUGGUGAUUCCCUAUGCGAAAGAUCUUCUAUUGGACGCGAAUGGUGGUCAAGUAGGAGCACUCACUAAAGGCAGCUCUUAUGUGUCGCGUUCUGCGACACACUGUCAAGCAAACGCAUAGGGCAGUGUGACCUGGGCUGGCCCAGUAGUAAGUGUACUGUAGUGAAGGAUUGAAAAUACAAAAAAGAAAAGGAAAGCAUUCAAGCAUACUUGGGAUCAAACCCCUAAGUUCCAUCGGUUGUGCGCGCAACAAUAGCCAACACACCAGAUAUUUUUUUAUGGUUUCCAGGUAGCGCAGUGCUUUAAGAAUUAUCUACUUGUAUGGACAUCUGUAGCUACAGUCGUCAUAGUCCGACACACACACACCAGAUAUUUUAAAUGAGUAAAUGAUGAUGUAGCUUCUGCAUGUUGUAAACAAAAAGAACCUAUUCCAAAACUAGACUUCAUUUAAAAUCACAAAAACUUUAGAAAAUGUAAAUCUUUUUCAGCAACUGAAUAUUUUUCUGAAAAAAAUGAUAUUUUCUAAAAUAUGCGAACCUUUUUUUAAAAACGUUGAGCAUUUUUAGAUUUAUGGGAACAUUUAUUCGAACUUUUGUAUAUUUUCUGAAAAUAGGAAACAGUAUUUUGAAAGCGCGAACAUUUUUCAGAAAGACGAACAUUUUUCAAAUUACAAACAUUAUGUUAAAAAUGUGAACAUUUUUUGAAAUAUAAUAACAUUUCUAGAAAAUAUAAUUUUGAACAAGUUUCGAAACUGUAAACAUUCUUUGAAUUGUGAAGUAAUUUUGUAACAUGAUUAAAUUUCAAAUUUUGAAUGAAAUUAGCAAAGUGUGAUUUUUUUGAAUUAUGAACAAUUUUUUAAGCCCAUACAUUUUUUGAAUUGUGAACAAAUAUUGAAACUUAAACAAAUUUCAAAUUUGUGAACAAAAUUUAAAUUGUGAACACUUUUUGAAUUGUGAAUAGCCUUUGAAAGCGUAAACAUUCUUAAAUUACGAACAAAUUUUGAAACCGUAAACAUUUUUUGAGUUGUGAACAAUUUUUUUUUCUAAAAAUGAACUAAUUUUGAAACUAUGAUUUUUUUAAAGUAAACUUGACAAAAAUAGAAGAUAUGAAAAAAAUAGAAAAACAAAUACAAAACAGGAGAGAAAAGAACAAAGAAAAAUAAAGAGAAAAAUAAACAAAGAAAAAUGGUUCAAGGAAACUUCUAGAAGUUUCUCAAAAUAAAAAAGGCAGGAAAAAGGUUCUCACAACCGGGGGCGUUGAAACACUUAAAUGGACCGAGCCAUUGCGUCGUUGCUUGAUCGAUCGCUUAUGCAAAGCGCUGCCAGUUUGAAGCAGCAAACGACAAAUAGGUUUUCCCUCACUAACAUCGAGAACUCCUAACCAGCGCUAGCGGGAGCUCCUAUGCAACACUGCAGGUGCACAUUAAUGAUCCGGCGCUUGCUGCGCUGCUAGUAUGGGCCGGCGCAUUAGAGUGCUGUCCAGUUUGUUUUCGAAUAGAUCUUAUCAAAUUUGCAAAAUGUUCAUCGAAAUUCAAAAAAGUUCAUCGAUCUUAAAAUAAUAUUCAUUGAAAAUUCAAAAAUUGCAUAAAUAUUCAAAUAAUUUCGUACAAUUUUCAAUAAAAAAUCAAACGGCAGGCAUAUUUACGAACGUCAUAGACACCGGUUAACAAAAAUGCACGUUAACUGACGCUUGUGACGCUAAAUCGACAUUGUGAGCGCUAGCUAGCGAGCUGUCACUCACGCCCCAUCGCUAUGGGCCGGCCUAACAACAUAGACACACUCGCUCAAUUAACAAGUCGAGUGGUCGAUUAGUUGGCCGUUGACUUUGAAAACUUUUUUCAUAAAUUUCCAAAUAGUUCGUUGACUAUUGACUUGACCGAUGAACUUUCAAAAAGAUUUGUGAGUUGAAAACGUUCAUGUUUUUUAAAAUACCAUUAUAUUUAAAAAAAUUGAAAAAAUAUGUUCACUUGUUCCGCGGAUUUGAAAAAUGAUCAAGAUUUUUUGGAAAAAAUUUUGCAAACUAGGAAAAUAGUUCAUGUAAGAAAAUGUUCAUGAAUUUUAGGAAACCGUAAGUUCACAAUUUUUUUAGAAAAAAAUCCGUGAGUUUGUAAUAAAGAUCAUGAAUUAGAAAAGUUUCAAAAAAAUUCGAAAAAAUUGUGGAUUGUACAAACUUUCUUCAGUUUGAGAAAAAGUUCAUACAAUGAUUUCUUUCAUGAAUUUGACAAAAAAAGAAAAGGAGAAUAAAAUUGAUAAGCCCAACAAAAUCGGAAGAAAACAUAAAACAAGAGAGAAACCCGGCCUAGAAAAUCAGAAGAAAAUAAAAUGGAUAUUUUAGUUUAAUGUGCUCCUUUUCUUUUUCAAAUUUGCUUUGAAGGGAAGACUAACCGAGAGUUAAUAAAAUCCAUAUACAUAUAUUUGACAAUGGAAUCUCGCCAAUGCCUUAACUUCUAAUGAGCAUUUAUCCCCGAUUAGAGCUCUCCUGAACGAAAUAUUCAGCAGAUUUGACCUAAGCACAAUGCUAAGUUGAUCUUCCUUGCGCUGAAGAAUAUACCGAGAAGGAUACUGUAAAGCUAUAAGGGUGUCACCAAGGCAAGUCUCAUCGGAGAAUCAAUUUGUUCGACCACCUCCCAUAUGAAAUCUUGCCCUAUUAAGAAAGCAGGUUUAAUUGUCCCCAAAAAUUUCCAAAAGGGUAAACCGAACUGUUGCAAGGUGACUUGAGAUAAUAUCUUUGAGCGUAACUUUUUGUUACACAAUCAUUGUAUCCACAUCCUUUGAUCCUUGGAAGCGAGCCUAUGUAGCCAUUUACUAAGCAAGCACUUAUUUUUUAUCCAAAGAUCCUCGAUCCUCGAACCUGUUGGACAUUAGGUAUCCACAAAAUAUCCAACCUCGCGAGCCGAUAUUUCACCAAAUUUUCAUCACUCUUUCAAAAAAAAUCUAGAACGAUAGAAAUCCAAUCUUUUUUCGUACUCAUGUUGGCACUUAAAAAAUGAGAGCAUGAAUAUAGGCAAUCUCGCGAGUACCGAGUUCAUGAGAAUCAACCUGCCUCCAUAGAACAACAAUUUACCCUUCCACCAACUCAGCUUCUUAUCAAACCAAUUCUCAAUGUAUUUCCAUUAUUUAUUAGUGAGUAUACGAUAAUGAAUUGGGAUACUGAGAUACGUAAAUGGUAAACUACAAAUUUCACAUCCGAACAAUUGCUCGUAAUUGCUCUCAAUCUCAUUGGCACGCCGGAAGUAGAACAAUUCACUCUGAUGAGAAAUAGUUUUAAGUCCGGAUAAUUUCUCAAUUCACCAACUUAUGUAAAUCAACUUUCGUAAUAAUAAUUUUAUCGUCGACAUAGGUAAAGCAGAAACUCCCCUAUCUACUAGGUGUGAGAUUAAGCAACCUACCUAACCAUCCUUUCUCGCUCUACCAAUGUCAACAACCAACAUGUGUGUGACAAAAUUUAAAAAGAACUUGUGAGAAAUUAUUGCCUUGUCACAGAACUUUCUGAGUUUGAAAGUAAUGACCAAGGCCAUCAUUUUGUUUCGGCCCCACGCUACCCGUGUGAACAAAAUAUUCAAACGGGCUUCUCCAAGCUUAGUCAAAGUUUUCAUUAUCAAUGCAUGUUGCAAGAAUGGCCAUUUGACAUAUCGUGGGCUCUCAAAAUCCACAUUAAAGAUAACUCCAUCUAGUUUAUUUGAAUGUAUUUCAUGCAAGAUAUCAUGCAUAACCACCACCGCGUGUAGGUUGUGUCGGUCGGGGUGGCUGAUUAGGGGAGUGAGAGAGAGUCCAAAGCGGAGGAGUGAGCUCGGGGUGGCUUUAUACAGCUGGCUCGCGGUCCAUCGUACGCCCGUGUGUCGGUGAGCUCGUGACGAUCGCCCAAUGGCAUGGGGCUCGCGGGGGCAUGUCUGGGGUGUUCCUGGAGGUGGUCUAUGACCAGGAGGGAGAAGAGGGGAAGCGGGUAGCGCGCGUGUGCGAGGAUAGCGAUUGACCGAGAGGGGCGGCGUUGACGUGCGCGACAACGAUCGCCGGAGAGAGAGGGAGGAGGGGGCGACCGCAUGGCGUGUCCCGGACGCCGAGGCGGCCUCGGGGGACACGAGGGGGAGGCCCAAUGUUGUCGGGACCUGGGAUUGGGGGCGGCUACACUACGUUAGCACGCUCUACAGCAUCCUUUUGGCAAGCCAUGGCAUGCUCUUGGCGUUUUGGGCGCGGACACUUGCGUCCAUAGGGUCUAGGGGGAUGCCAAAAAAAAUUGAUUUUAGCCCUUAUAAAAAGAAAACAGAUUAUUUAACCUCUUUCACGCUCAUGUCACGUCGAGGUACUUCCGAAAAAAGAACUGCAAAAUCCAAUCCAAUUUUUCGUAAUCAAUUAGUUAAUAUUCAGCUGCUAUGUUUAGAGAAGCAAUAACAGUAAAUGCACUAGAAUCUUGGAGAAUAUUCAAAUACCACAAAGGGGCAGCUAUAUUAGGGUAAUUAUGUUAGAGUUAAGCCGUAUAGCUUCUCACUUGCGAUGGCUUAGACCUUUUAUGGCACAUGUCGACACAUAGACUCCUUUUUUCUAUAUUUUUAGAGAGAGAAUUAAUACAUGAUCAAUUUGAAGCAGCUACCAGCUUGUCCAAUUACAAGGAAUUCUCGAUUAUUCUAUUUCCUGAUGGUUGCAAUGUAUAGUGGUCAAAUAGGAUUAUUUUCUUCGCGAUACCUUUUACUUUUUUUAUCAUGUGGGAGUUAGAAUUAAUUCAUGUUUACUUACUUUUAUCCAUGUGGGGGUGGUGUUGGAAAUAUGCCCUAAAGGAAAUAAUAAAUUGAUUAUUAUUAUAUUUCUUUAUUCAUGAUAAUCGUUUAUUAUCCAUGCUAGAAUUGUAUUGAUUGGAAACUCAAAUACAUGUUUGGAUACAUAGACAACACACUAUCCCUAGUGAGCCUCUAGUUGACUAGCUCGUUGAUCAAAGACGGUCAAGGUUUCCUCGCCAUGGACAAGUGUUGUCACUUGAUAACGGGAUCAGAUCAUUAGGAGAAUGAUGUGAUGGACAAUACCCAAACUAUGAACGUACCAUAUAAUCGUGUUAGUUUAUUGCUACUGUUUUCUUCAUGUCAAUGUAUCUAUUCCUAUGACCAUGAGAUCAUGCAACUCCCGGACACCGGAGGAAUACCUUGUGUGUUAUCAAACGUCGCAACGUAACUCGGUGACUAUAAAGGUGCUCUACAGGUAUCUCCAAAGGUGUCUGUUGGGUUGGCACGGAUCAAGACUGGGAUUUGUCACUCCGUAUGACGGGGAGGUAUCUUGGGGCCCAGUCGGUAAUACAACAUCACAACAAGCCUUGCAAGCAAUGUGAUUAAGGAGUUAGUUACGGGAUCUUGUAUUACGGAACGAGUAAAGAGACUUGACGAUAACGAGAUUGAACUAGGUAUAGAGAUACCGAUGAUAGAAUCUCGGGCAAGUAACAUACCAAGGACAAAGGGAACAACAUACGGGAUUAACUGAAUCCUUGACAUAGAGGUUCAAUCGAUAGAGAUCUUCGUAUAAUAUGUAGGAGCCAAUAUGGACAUCCAGGCCCCGCUAUUGGUUAUUGAUCGGAGAAUGUCCCAGAUCGUGUCUACAUAGUUCUUGAACCCACAAGGUCUGCACACUUAAGGUUCGGUGAUGUUUCGGUAUAGUUGACUUAUAGGUGUUGGUGACAUAAGGUUGUUAGGAGUUCUGGAUGAGAUCCUAGACAUCACGAGGAGCUCUGGAAUAGUCCGGAGGUAACGAUUGAUAUAUAGGAAGUCCUGUUUCGGUCACCGGAAAAUUUUCGGGCUCAUCGGUAGUGUACCGGAAGUGCCGGGAGGGUACCGGGGGACCACCGUGAGGGGUGUGAUGACCCAAGGGCUUCAUGGGCUAUGAGAGGAGGUCUACCAUCCCCUGGUGGGCUGGCCAAAGCCUCCCCUAAGGGCCCAUGCGGCUGGAGUGGAGGAAUAAGGCAAAAAGCCAAAAGGUGGAAAUGGUUUCUAAAUUAGGAAGGAGUCCUAAUAGGAUUCCAUCUCCCUUUUGGGAGGUGCAUUCCUCCCUUCUUUGUUCGACCGACCCCUUCUCCUUGGAGUAGGGGCCAAGGCUGCCUCCUCCUCCAUCCUCCUAUAUAUACUAGAGGUAUUGAGGGUUUUUGGUGAGACAGAAAUCAGCCACGAGUGCCUCUACUUCUCUCUAGAUCCGUUUCUCCUCUAGUCUAGUUCGGCGGUGCUUAGGCAAAGUCGUGCUGGAUUAUUCACCACCAUCACGCCGUUGUGCUGGAGAACUCAUCUACCUCUCCGCCUCUCUUGCUGGAUCAAGAAGGCGGAGAUCGUCAUCGAGCUGUACGUGUGCUCAACGCGGAGGUGUCGUCCGUUCGGCACUAGAUCGGGAUGGGAUCGCGGGACGGAUCGUGAUGAGAUCGCGGGACGGGCUACGAUUUGGAUCCCGAAGAUGUUCCACUACAUCAACCGCGUUAUAUAUGCUUCCGCUUAGCGAUCUACAAGGGUAGGUAGAUUCACUCUCCCCUCUCAUAGAUGAUCGUCACCAUGGAUAGGUAUUGCUUGUGCGUAGGAUUUUUUUUGUUUUCCAUGCAAUGUUCGCUAACAGUGGUAUCAGAGCUAGGUCUAUGCGUAGAUGACAUCUCGAGUAGAACACAAAGGAGUUUGUGGGCGUUGAUAUUCAGAUUGCUUCCCUCCUUAGUCUUUUCUUGAUUCGGCGAUAUUGUUGGAUUGAAGCGGCUCGGACCAACAUUACUCGUACACUUACGGGAGACCGGUUUCAUCGUCUAACAUGCAACUUGUUCCAUAAAGAUGACUGACGGGUUUCUGUUUCUUCAACUUUAGUUGAAUCGGAUUUGACCGAGGCGGUCCUUGGAGAAGGUUAAAUAGCAACUGGCAUAUCACCGUUGUGGUUUUGCGUAAGUAAGAUGCGAUCAUACUAGAUACCCAUAACAGCCACCUAAAAUUUGGAACAAUAAAUUAGAGGGCAUCUAACUUGUUUUUGCAUGGUAUGCUUGUGAUAUGAUAUGGCCAAUGAUAUGAUAUGAUAUAUUGGAUGUAUGAGAUGAUCAUGUUGUAAUAGUUAAAUAUCGACUUGCACGUCGAUGCUACGGCAAACGACAGGAGCCAUAGGGUUGUCUUUAAAUUUAUUUUUGAGCUGGCAGAUGCUCUUGCUAUAUCACUAGGCAAUAGCUUUAGUAGUAACAACACAGAUAGCAUGAAAACGUCGAUGGCAGCACGAUGAUAGAGAUCAUGGUGUGGCGCCGGUGACGAUGGAGAUCAUGCCAGUUCUUUAAUUAUGGAGAUCAAGAAGCACAAGUUCAUGGCCAUAUCAUGUCACUAAUGAUUUGCAUGUGAUGUUAAUCCUUUUAUGCACCUUGUUUUGCUUAGGACGACGGUAGCAUUAUAAGGCGAUCCCUCACUAAAAUUUCAAGAUAAAAUUGUAUUCUCCCCGAUUGUGCAUCGUUGCAACGGUUCGUCGUUUCGAGACACCACAUGAUGAUCGGGUAUGAUAGACUCAACGUUCACAUACAACGAGUGCAAAACAGUUCUACAUGUGGAACACUCGGGUUAAACUGGACGAGCCUAGCAUGUACAGACAUGGCCUCGGAACACAAGAGACCGAAAGGUCGAACAUGAAUCAUAUAGUUGAUAUGAUCAACAUGGAGAUGUUCAUCAUUGAAGCUAAACUCAACUCACGUGAUGAUCGGACUUGAGUUAGUGAAUUUGGAUCAUGCGACACUCGAACGACUAGAGCGAUGUCAAUUUGAGUUGGAGUUCUUAAGUAAUAUGAUUAACUGAACUUAUUAUCAUCAACAUAGUCAAAAGGUCUUUGCAAUUAUGUUGUAGCGUGCGCUGUAGCUCUACUAUUUUUGAUAUGUUCCUGGAGAAAAUUUAGUUGAAAAAUGAUAGUAGCAAUUAUGCGGACUACGUACGUAAACGGGGGAUUGUCCUCAUUGCUGCACAGAAGGCUUAUGUCCUUAAUGCAUCAUUCGGUGUGUUAAACCCUGAACGUCGUCUGUAGAUGUUGCCAACAUCUGACAUACACGUUUUUUAUGACUACAUGAUAGUUCAAUGCAUAAUUCUUAAACGGCUUAGAAUUGAGGCGCUGAAGACGUUUCGAACACCGCGGGAAAUAUGAGAUGUUCCAAGGGAUGAAAUUGAGAUUUCAUGUUCGUGCCCUUCUUGAGAGGUAUGAGACCUCCGACAAGAUUCGUUGUCUACAAAGUAAGGGAGAAAAGUUCAAUCGUUGAGCAUGUGCUCAGAUUGUUUGAGUGUUACAAUCGUUUGAAUCGAGUGGGAGUUGAUCUUCCAGAUGAGAUAGUGAUGGUUCUCCAAAGUCAUUGCCACCAAGCUAAUAGCGCUUCGUGAUGAACUAUAACAUAUCAAGGAUAGAUAUGAUGAUACUUGAGCUAAUCGCGAUUUUUGACACCGCUAAAGUAGAAAUCAAGUAGGAGCAUCAAUUGUUAAUGGUUAGUAAAACCACUAGUUUCAAGAAGGGCAAGGGCAAGAAGGGAUACUUCAUGAAAUGGUACACAAGUUGUUGCUCUAGUGAAGAAACCCAAGGUUGAACCCAAACCCAAGACUAAGUGCUUCUGUUAUGAGGGGAACGGCCACUGAAGCGGAAUUACCCUAGAUACCUGGUAGAUGAGAAGGCUGGCAAAGUCGACAAAAGUAUAUUGGAUAUAUGUGAUAUUGAUGUGUACCUUACUAGUACUCCUAGUAGCACCAGGGUAUUAGAUAUCGGUUCAGUUGCUAAGUGUUAGUAACUCGAAAUUAUAGCUACGGAUUAAACGGAUACUAGCAAGGGUGAGGUGAUGAUGUGUGUUGGAAGUAAUUCCAAGGUUGAUGUGAUCAACAUCGCACGCUCCCUCUACCAUCAGGAUUAGUGUUAAACCUAAAUAAUUGUUAUUUGGUGUUUGCGUUGAGCAUAGACAUGAUUAGAUUGUAUUGAUCGCAAUACGGUUAUUCAUUUAAAGAGAAUAAUGGUUACUCUAUUUAUUUGAAUAAUACCUUCAAUGGUCUUGCACCUAAAAUGAAUGGUUUAUUGAAUCUCGAUCGUAGUGAUACACAUGUUCAUAAUAUGGAUGCCCAAAGAUACAAAGUAGUAAUGAUAGUACCACUUACUUGUGGCACUGCCGCUUGAGUCAUAUUGGUAUAAAACGCAUGAAGAAGCUCCAUGGUGAUGGAUCUUUGGACUCACUCGUUUUUGAAAUGUUUGAGACAUGCGAACCAUGCGUAUUGGUAUAAACGCAUGAAGAAACUCCAUGCGGAUGGAUCGUUUGGACUCACUUGAUUUUGAAUCACUUGAGACAUGCGAAUCAUACCACAUGGGCAAGAUGACUGAAGACCUCGUUUUCAAGUGAGAUGGAACAAGAAAGUAACUUGUCGGAAGUAAUACAUUUUGAUGUGUGUAGUCCAAUGAGUAUUGAGGCACGCAGUGGAUAUCGUUAUGUUCUUACUUCAGUGAUGAUUUGAAUAGAUACAGGAGUAUUUUAUUAAUGAAACACAAGUCUGAAAUAUUGAAAAGUUCAAGCUAUUUUAGAGUCAAGAUCAUCGUGACAAGAGGAUAAAAUGUCUAUGAUAUGAUCAUAGAGAUGAAUAUAUGAGUUGCGAGUUUGGUACACAGUUAAGACAAUGUGGAAAUUGUUUCACAACUAAUGCCACGUGGAACACCAUGGUGUGAUGCUGUGUCCGAACAUCAUAGCCACACCCUAUUGGAUAUGGUGCAUACUAUGAUGUCUCUUAUCGAAUUAUCACUAUCAUUUUUUGGUUAGGCAUUAGAGAUAACCGCAUUCACUUUAAAUAGGGCACCACGUAAUUCCAUUGAGAUGACACCGUAUGAACUGUGGUUUGGAGAAACUUAAGCUGUCGUUUCUUAAAAGUUUGGGGCUGCGAUGCUUAUGUGAAAAAGUUUCAGUCUGAUAAGCUCGAACCCAAAGCGGAUAUAUGCAUCUUCAUAGGACACCCAAAAUAGUUGGGUAUACCUCCUCCUAUCUCAGUUUCGUAAGCAAAGUGUUUGUUUCUAGAAACGGGUCCUUUCUCGAGGAAAAGUUUCUCUCGAAAGAAUUGAGUGGGAGGAUGUUGGAAACUUUAUGAGGUUAUUGAACCGUCACUUCAACCAGUGUGUAGCAGGGGCAGGGCGCAGGAAGUUGUUCCUGUGGUGCCUACACCAAUUGAAGUGGAAGCUAAUGAUAGUGAUCAUGAAACUUCAGAUCAAGUUACUACAAACCUCGUAGGUCGACAAGGAAACGUACUGCUCCAUAGUGGUAUGGUAAUCCUGUCUUGGAGGUUAAGUUGCUGGACAACAAUGAACCUACUAUCUAUGGAGAAGCGAUGGUGGGACCGGAUUCCGACAAAUGGUUGGAGGCCAUGAAAUCCAAGAGAGGAUCCAUGUAUGAAAAUAAAGUGUAGACUUUGGAAGAACUACUUGAUGGUCGUAAGACUAUUAAGUACAGAUGGAUCUUUAAAAGGAAGACAUGCGAUGAUGGUGAAAAGUCACCAUUAAGAAGGCUCGACUUGUCGUAAAGAUGUUUCCGACAAGUUCAAAAAGUUGACUAUGAUAAGACUUUCUUAGUCGUAGCGAUGCUAAAAGUCCGUUGGAAUUAUAUUAGCAUUUGUUGCAUUAUUUAUGAAAUCUUGCAGAUGGGAUGUCAAAACAUUAUUUCCUCAACGGUUUCCUUGAGGAAAGGUUGUAUGUGAUACAACCAGAAGGUUUUGUCGAUCCUAAGGAUGCUAACAAGUACGCAAGCUCCAAUGAUCCUUCUAUGGACUGGAGCAAGCAUCUCGGAGUUGGAAUAUACGCUUUGAUGAGAUGAUCAAAGUUUUUGGUUUUAUACAAAGUUUAUGAGAAACUUGUAUUUCCAAAGAAGUGAGUGGGAGCACUAUUGAAUUUCUAGUCAGUAUAUGUGAUUGACAUAUUUUUGAUCGAAAAUGAUGUAGAAUUCUGGAAAGCAUAACGGGUUAUUUGAAAGGAGUUUUUCAAAGGAAAACUUGGAUUAAGCUACUUGAACAUUGAGCACCAAGAUCUAUGGAGAUAGAUCAAAACGCUUAAUAGAACUUUCAACGAAAUGCAUACCUUCACAAGUUUUUGAAGGAGUUCAGUAUAGAUCGGCAAAGAAGGAGUUCUUAGCUGUGUUGUAAGGUGUGAAUUUGAGUAAGACUCAAAGUCCUACCAUGACAGAAGAAAGAGAAAGGACGAAGGUCGUCCCCUAUGCCUUAGCCAUAGGCUCUAAAGUAUGCAAUGUUGUGUAUCGCACCUGAUGUGUGCCUUGUCAUGAGUCUAUCAAAUGGUACAAAGAGUGAUCCAAGAUUGAAUUGCUGAACAAUGGUCAAAGUUAUCCUUAGUAACUAGUAGACUAAGGAAUUUUCUCGAUUAUGGAGGUGAUUGAAGAGUUCGUCGUAAAGAGUUACACUGAUGCAAGCUUUGACAAUAAUCCGAAUAACUCUGAGUAGUAAACCGGAUUCGUAUAGUGGAGCAGUCAGUUGGAAUAGUUCCAAAUGGCGCGUGGUAGCAACAUCUAUAGGAUGACAUAGAUAUUUGUAAAGCACACACGGAUCUGAAAGGUUCACAUAUGUUGACUAAAAACUCUCUCACAAGAAAGACAUGAUCAAGCCCCAGAACUGUAUGGGUGUUAGAUUCAUUACAAUCACAUAGUGAUGUGAACUAGAUUAUUAACUCUAGUGCAAGUGGGAGACUGUUGGAAAUAUGCCCUCGAGGCCAUAAUAAAUUUGUUAUUAUUAUAUUUCGUUGUUCAUGAUAAUCAUUUAUUAUCCAUGCUAGAAUGGUAUUGAUUGGAAACUCAAAUACAUGUGUGGAUACAUAGACAACACACUGUCCCUAGUGAGCCUCUAGUUGACUAGCUCGUUGAUCAAAGACGGUCAAGGUUUCCUGGCCAUGGACAAUACCCAAACUAUGAACGUAGCAUAUGAUCGUGUUAGUUUAUUGCUACUGUUUUCUGCAUGUCAAUGUAUUUGUUCCUAUGACCAUGAGAUCAUGCAACUCCAGAACACCGGAGGAAUACCUUGUGUGUUAUCAAACGUCGCAACGUAACUGGGUGACUAUAAAGGUGCUCUAUAGGUAUCUCCAAAGGUGUCUGUUGGGUUGGCAUGGAUCAAGACUGGGAUUUGUCACUCCGUGUGACGGGGAGGUAUCUCGGGGCCCACUCGGUAAUAGAACAUCACAACAAGCCUUGCAAGCAAUGUGACUAAGGAGUUAGUUACGUGAUCUUGUAUUACGUAACGAGUAAAGAGAGUUGACGAUAACGAGAUUGAACUAGGUAUAGAGAUACCGACGAUCGAAUCUCAGGCAAGUAACAUACCAAAGGACAAAGGGAACAACAUACGAGAUUAACUGAAUCCUUGACAUAGAGGUUCAAUCGAUAGAGAUCUUUGUAGAAUAUGUAGGAGCCAAGAUGGACAUACAGGCCCCGCCAUUGUUUAUUGACCGAAGAAUGUCUCAGGUCAUGUCUACAUAGUUGUCGAACCCGUAGGGUGUGCACACUUAAGGUUCGGUAACGUUUCGGUAUAGUUGAGUUAUAGGUGUUGGUUACCGAAGGUUGUUAGGGGUCCCGUAUGAGAUCCUGGACAUCCCUAGGAGCUCCGGAAUGGUCCGAAGGUAAAUAUUGAUAUAUAGGAAGUCAUGUUUUGGUCACCGGAAAAGUUUCGGGCUCAUCGAUAGUGUACCGGGAGUGCCGGGAGGGUACCGGGGGACCACCGGGAGGGGUGUGACGACCCAAGGGCUUCAUGGGCUAUGAGAGUAGGAUUACCAACCCCUAGUGUGCUGGCCAAAACCUCACCUAAGGGACCAUGCGGCUGGAGUUGAUGAAUAAGGCAAAAACCAAAAGCUGGAAAGGGUUUCUAUAUUAGGAAGGAGUCCUAGUAGGAUUCCACCUCUCUUGUGGGAGGUGGAUUCCUCCCUUGUUGGUUCGGUCGUCCCCUUCUUCUUGUAGUAGGGGCCAAGGCUGCCUUCUCCUCCCUCCUCCUGUAUAUACUAGAGGUAUUGAGGGUUUUUGGUGACACAGAAAUCAGCCACGGCUGCCUCUACUUCUCUCUGGAUCUGUUUCUCCUCUAGUCUUGUUCGGUGGUGCUUAGGCGAAGCCUUGCUGGAUUAGUUCACCACCACCACCACCACCACGCCACCAUGCUGGAGAACUCAUCUACCUCUCCGCCCCUCUUGUUGUAUCAAGAAGGCGGAGAUCGUCAUCGAGCUCUACGUGUGCUGAGCGCGGAGGUGCCGUCCGUUCGACACUAGAUCGGGAUGGAUCGUGAUGGGAUCGCGGGAUGGAUCAUGAUGAGAUCGCGGGAUGGGUUGUGGUUUGGAUUGUGAAGAUGUUCCACUACAUCAACCGCGUUAUAUACGCUUCCGCUUAGCGAUCUACAAGGGUAUGUAGAUUCACUGUCCCCUCUCAUAGAUGAUUAUCACCAUGGAUUGGUAUUGCGUGUGCGUAGGAUUUUUUUUCUCUUUCCAAUGCAUGUUCCCUAACAGGUGGGGGGAAGAGGCGUCUAUAUUCAACUAUAAAGUUUAUUUUGUGAUUUUUCACAUAAAGAAAUAAAUAAGUCAUCGCAAUUGUUGGAAAUACUAAGCCUACCAGACACACGAAAAUUAAGAAGGUAACUUUAUAUCCUUCAUGGAAUAGGUAUCUCAAUUCAAAUUUACUAUUCUUCCUAUUCCACAUUAUUGGGAGUACAUUAUGUUUCAGCUUCAUGAAUAUGACAUUUUUUGGAAAAUUCUAAUAAUAGCACAAAGAUUCCCAAAUAGGUCAACCUUUUAAACUGCGUGCUUAAUCCAUGAGCAGGCAAGAGACAACAUGGCGAACUAAAACAUCUUAGUAGCAAGAGAAAAGUAUAAACAAGUUAUAACUCACCUUGGAUGCUCUUGGGGGGGGGGGGGUCCUUUAGAAUAGAAAGGAGGCGGGGAGAGAGGUAGAACCUUGUUGUCGUGAGGGGUAAAAACAUGUAUUCACCCCUCCAUGAUUGACAUGGUGCCAUGGGAUUCUUUCUAGGGGUAAAUGAGACAUAGUAGGCAGUGUGGUAAAAUUUUGGGGGCAAGGGGAAUAGUGGAAGAGGUGAAACGAGGGGUUUUACUAUUCUACGAGAAGAUGUUUGAUUUAGUUUUGGGCAAGAUAAAUUUCACCACUAGCUAUGAUAUUUAACAGGGUCAAAUAGUAGGUAAUAAAAGGUUGAUCACAAGGUUUGAGCUGAUUUGAAGAAAGUUGACAAUGCAAACAUUGUAAACCCUAGAAAUGGGAAGAAAUAGGUUUAUUUAGAUCUAGGUAGGAAAAACUAUUCUCCCUCAUGCACCACUUUGUGUGGUGGCAUUAUUUGGUGAUUAGAGCAUGCCCACGAAGUGUGGGGUCAAUUGGGAAAACUUGGCAAUGUAGGGUUGCUCAAGUUUGGAUCUCGACACAGAGGGUUUGGAAUAUUUUGAUGAAUCCCAACCAAUAGGAUUGAGGUGAGACUUGGAAAUAUCAUCACAUAUAUCAUGUGUGACUUUCUAGAAUUUUUUUGAAAUUAUUUCGAAAUAUUUCUUAUGGAAAUAUUUCAAAUACUUGAAAUAGGUAGAAAAUGUUUUGAAGGGUUUUGUGCAAUAUUUAGAACAUGGCGAUGUGUUUAAACUCUCAUAUAUGGAAAAUAUAUGUCCACUAAUUUNNNNNNNNNNNNNNNNNNNNNNNNNNNNNNNNNNNNNNUUCCCUACAUUUUCUCAAAUAUUUUUAAGCAUAAAAAUAAUUUUCCCUUGUAAAAGACCAUUUCUGGUCUCAGAAAAAUGUAUUUAAAUAAAAUACAAGAAUAACUUCUAAAGUAAUAAUUUCGUGGUUCUGAGAAGUCCUUUCAAUAAGAGGAUCCAAAUAAAAUAUUUGGGGAAAAACAUCUUUCCUAAUUUGAGGACUUGUAGUACAAACCUCAAUUCAAGGUUUUUUAAAAUCUUAAAUUUAAUAAUUGCGUUUGCUCAAAAAAAAUAUUUUGUAAAAAUAUUUUUAGGUUCUAUAGACAUGGUAUGGUCAUUGGGCAAAGAUUUAAAGUAAGAAGAUAACUCUUGAGAGGAAACAAAUGUGAUUUAAAAUCUAAACAAGCAAACAAGCAAUUGGCAAUCAAUUCAAGCAUCACAAGCACACAAAAGUUUUAAUAAUUCAAAUUUAUAUAAACUCAUAGCAUAGCAAAGUGGUACAAACACAUAUGUGACACCCGUUUGAGUCGGCGUUCCACCCUCGUAGCUACAAUGUCACUCGAGGUCACCGAAGAAAUUCGGGGUUGUCGCCCUCGCGUCGAUCUCCGUCGCACAAACCACGCCGUCCAGGGCCGCCAAGAAGCUCCGGCCAGAGACCCUUCAACGCGAGACACUAUGAUACCGUGACACCAUCACUCACACGAGGAGGAUGAGGACACGCCGCUAUCAGCCUCGCAGCCUUUGACCGUAGGCAUCCUUUAGUGGCGGUCUGGGGAGCAAGAUCGAAGGGGAAAGCGGUGGCGGUUGCACUAGGGUUUCGCCCGAGUCGCCCCUCCUCAGAGCAACGCAGGAGCCUCCUUCCUAGAAAGUUUAAAACAAGUUUUAGGUGGAAACUGCUCGACACCCAAUACGGGUGUGGCUAUCUCAUAUAUAUAAGGGGUAUACAAGAUACAAGGGUAUACAUGGAAGCUUUACAAAUACACAGUCUAACACCCUCCCUCAGUCUUAAAUAUGUCAUAAACUACAAAGCAAGUUAAGAUUGUGCCUGCAUCCCUCAAACUAUGGUUGUGGAAGUGGCUUCGUGAAGAUGUCAGCAAGUUGAUUCUUGGAAGAGAAGAACUUGAUAUGAAGAAGCUUCUGUGCAACGUGUUCCCUUACAAAGUGAUAGUCAACUUCGAUGUGCUUGGGUACGAGCAUGAAAGACUAGAUUAGAUGAAAGAUAUGUCGCACCAAUCUUAUCACACCGAAGAACGGGUGGCUGAUGUUAGAGAUACUUAACUCUCUUAACAGAGACUUUACCCAAAUAAGCUCAGCCGUGGCAUUGGUAACCGCCUGGUACUCUGCUUCAGUGCUACUCCGAGAUAUUGUGGCCUGCUUGCGCACACUCCAAGAUAUCAAGUUAUCCCCAUAAAAUACACCAUAGCCCCCCGUUGAUCGUCGGUCAUCCGGGCUCCCAGUCCAAUCAGCAACAAAGAAGGCCGGGAGAGCACACGAAGAGGUAGACCGAAGAUGCAAGCCAUAGGAGAUAGUAUAAAUGAGAUAACGCAAGAUACGCUUCAUAGAUGACCAGUGUGAAGUCCGAGGAGCAUGAAGAUAUUGGCACACACCAUUUACCGCAUAGGAGAUGUCAGACCGUGUAAUAGUCAAGUACUGCAAAGCUCCAACAACACUGCGAUACUCACUAGCAUCAUCCGAAGGGAGUAAGUCACCAUCCAAGGCUGAUAACCGAUCUGUCGCAGACAUAAGGGUGGUAGCAUGCUUGCAACGCAACAUACAUGCAAGGCGUAGUAGAUCCAAGGAGUACUUAUGCUGAGUAAGAGUCAGACCAGCAGAAGGUCGUGAAACCUCGAGGCCAAGAAAGUAGUAUAGAGCCCCCAAAUCCUGGACAGCAAAGUGACUACUCAGAGCAGACAAUAGACGAUCUGCAACAGACACGAAGGAGCUGAUAAGAAUGAUGUCAUCACAUUACACCACCAGAUACAUAGUUACCUCACAAAGAUGAAAUAGGAACAAAGACGUGCCAACAGUGGACGGGGUAAACCCAAGCUGUCAAAGAACCGACCCUAGUUGGGCAUGCCAUGCACGAGGAGCCUGCUUGAGUCCAUAAAGUGCCUGAACAAGACGACACAAAUGAUGUGGACGAGCUAGAUCAAGAAAACCCGGAGGUUGAAGCAUGUAAACUUCUUCCUCCAAGACCCCAUGGAGAAAAGCAUUCUCAACAUCAAGCUCGCACAGAGACCACCCUUUGGAAACAACCAAGGACAUAAGUAACCGAAUAGUGGUAGGUUUAACAACUGGCCUAAAAUUAUCCUCAUAAUUGAGACCAUACCGUUGUUUAAAACCUUUUGCCACCAACUGCUCCUUGUAGCGCUCAAUGGAACCAUCAGCAUGCUUAUUGACCUUGAAGACCCACUUGGAAUCAAUGAUGUUGACACCAGACACACGAGGAACUAAACGCAAAGUAUCGUUCCUCUAUAGUGCCUGAAACUCCUGCUCCAUGGCAGCGCGCCAAUGAGGAAUCCGAAGAGCUGCCUGAAAAUGACGAGGCUUAGCAGUGGAAUCAAUAUCUGUCUGUGCCAUGCACGCUGCAAUCCAUGCAACUGUGCAAUUAGUACGUUCCUUCGGCCGAACAAUACCACUCUGGCUCCACGUACGAGGAUGCACAGGAGCAGUAGGUGGUGAAGGUGACGGCGAAGACUGGGAGGGCGAAGGCUCCGAAGUUAGGGGCGUGGCCCCGCGACAGAGGAUGAUGCAGAAGUCGAGGCAGGCUCACGUGCUGAUGAGGCCGAGACUGGCAUGGGCGAAGCAGGAUCAGCCGACGCGGCCAGCUCGACCAGCACAGCCGGCGCAGCCCCAGGCGUAGAAGCCCCAUGCGAGACCGGCUUAGCCAGCGCAGCCGGCACAACCCCAGGCACAACAUCCCCAGGCGACGGCAGCUCGGCCAGCCCAGCUGACGCAGCAGACGUCAACGAAGACGCACGCGGCUGCGCGUCGAGAAGCUCAAGGCGUUCUCCAUGUCUACUACGUGCAUCAUGGUUAAGUAGCAACAACGGAGUAUACGCAACAUCAAAAAAUUGACCAGGCAAUGAUAACGUGGGUUGCUCAUGUGGAGCGUGAGUGGUGGAGAUGACCGGAGGUGCGGCAAAAGGAAAACGUUCUCAUCAAACACCACAUCACGAGAAAAACAGACACGGUUAGAGGAAACAUGAAGACACCUGUACCCUUUAUAAAGAGAACUAUAGCCAAGAAACACGCACUGUUUAGAUCAAAACUCUAACUUGUGUUGGUUAUAUGGACGAAGAUGUAGCCAACAAGCGCACCAAAAAACUUUGAAGAACGUAUAAUCAGGGAUUUCAUUCAACAAAAGUUCAAGAGGUGUUCUCAUUUGACAAAGUUGUGUAGGUAGUCAAUUAAAAAAGCAUGCGGUGGAAAACACAUCACUCCAAAACCGAAAAGGAACCGAGGCAUGAGCAAGCAAAGCAAGACCAGUCUCAACUAUAUGACGAUGCUUACCCCCAACUACACCAUUCUUUUGGUGUGUAUGAGGAUAAGGCACACAAUGAGUAAUUAUUCCAAGCUUAUUAAAGAACGCAUUGAGGUUGUGAUACUCACCACCCCAAGCAUAUUGCACAUGAAUAAUUUUGUGGCUAAGCAGACGCUCAACAUGUGCUUGGUAUCGUGAGAAAACAUUAAACACAUCAGACUUGCGCUUAGGAAGAUAAAGCCAAGUGAAUAGGCUAUAAGUAUCAAUGAAACUGACAUAAUAGUUAUGACCACUAACAUAGGUUUGGGCAUGGCCCCAUACAUCCAAAAACACAAGCUCAAGCAGUUUAGUGACUACACGACUCGACUCAGAAAAAGGAAGUUGAUGACUAUUGCCUUGCUGACGGGCAUCACAAACUGCAUCAACAUACUUAUCGAACACACAUGGAAGCUCAUGACGAUGAAGAACAUGCCAAACGAUGGGACUUGUAGGAUGACCAAGGCGCGCAUGCCAAUGUGAUGGAGACACACGAAUGCCGCUUAAGGCACUAGGAGCAGGUGGUAUAUCAAGUGGAUAGAGACCAUUAUUACGCAGUUGACCUCUAAGAAGUACGUCCCUCGUGUCCCGAUCCUUAACAAAAAAAUGAAAAGGAUGAAACUCAGCAAGAACAUUAUUAUCACGAGUAAGUUUAGGAGCAGAAAACCAACUACGUGAAAUAGAGGGAACUCGAAGGACAUUAAAAAGACGUACUUGUGUUGAUCGACGAGUAAGAAGAGAUGCCUGCCAAUAUGUGAGAUGUGCAUACCUUCCCCAUUUGUAGUAUGAACCUGAUCAUCUCUACGGUACGGCUCGUGUGUGGAGAGCUUUCCCAUAUCACUCUUCAAAUGGUUGGUUGCUCCCGUAUCCAUGUACCAGGACGCAUCAACCAGAUAGGAAGGAGCGUGGCCAUGCUCAUGACUCGCCAAAGCAGCCUGCUUCUCAUUCCCUUUAUCAUUGUCCCCGAUGCCCAGAAAAUCCUUUUUGAAGCGACGAUGGCAUCGGGAAGCAAGAUAGCCAUCAAGACCACAAAACUAGCAAGGGACUUGAGCCGCACAAGAAGGACAGCAGGCACGGACACGACCACCCGCGGUGGUAGUGGUGUUCCACUGGGCAAAAGUGGCCAACGGUUUUCCACCAGCUAGCAGCGGCUCACAUGGCAACGUUGGUAGGCUCUAAAGUCAGUGUAGAUCGGCGAGCCUGGAGCGCUACUUCGUGGCAAGAAGUCACGCGUACAACUCGCACGGCUGGAUGGGAGUGUCACGACCAUUGAUAUUUUCCACCAGAUUAUCAUAGUCGUCACCCAACCCGUUGAGCACAUAAGAGGUGAAUUCCUCCGGCCCAAGAGCCUUGCCAAUGGAGGCAAGUGCAUCCGCCAUGCCCGUCUCCUUGUUAAAGUAGUCGAUGACGGUGAGACCAUUGAGAUUCACCUCUCCCAGCGCUGUGCGAAUAGCAUGAGCCCGCGCCUAAGACUACGAAGCGAAGCUGGUAUGAAGGCCGCCCAUGCAUCGUGGGACGUGGCGACAAAGAUGACCAGUGACGAGACCCCCACCCUGACAGACGACUGGAUGGCGGAAAUGAUUGCUUGAUCUUUAGCCACCCACACAUGAUGCCCCAGAUGAUAUGGCGGGGGCACGAUAGAUUGUGGUCAACAAAACCCUCCAAGUAGAGGCUGCGAAGAAGCGACAAGACUUGAGCACGCCACGCCACGUAGUUGUCCGUCGUGAGCUUCACCGAGAUGAGAUGCGCGAAGUCGAACGGCGCAUUAGCCGCACCAUGACUGGAAGGCGGUGGCGGGGCAUAGACAGCCGAGGGUGGGGCCACCACCUCCGUCGAAAAUGCUCCGUACGACGCCUCGUACGAGGGGGCACACUAUAGGGAGGCACAACAGCCGAAGUUGGCGGGUAGGCACAGGCCGAUGGAGACAAGGCCGACCAUGGACUGGCCGGAGCAGCGUCGUAGGAGCCACACCCCAGCGAGUGAUGCCGGUGUGGAGCGUCGUAGGGGAUAAGGGAACCCACCGCCGGGUGACCAACCUGCGGGCGCGGAUACGGCCACCAGGGCGCAACCACGGACGGAGCCUGGCCCCCGUAUGCGUGCGGGGCAGGGGCGAGACCGGGUGGCGGCGCGAAGUUGUAGGGCGUCGGCGGGAGUGCAGAAUCAUAGGGGGGCAGCGGCGGUAGCAAAGAGCCAGCAUCAUCGACGACCAGAGAUGGCGGCGGUGUUGGAAUUAUGCCCUAGAGGCAAUGAUAAAUAAGUUAUUAUUAAAAUUCUUGUAUCAAGAUAAUCGUUUAUUAUCCAUGCUAUAAUUGUAUUGAAUGAAGACUUAGAUACAUGUGUGGAUACAUAGACAAAACACUGUCCCUAGCAAGCCUCUAGUUGGCUAGCCAGUUGAUCGAUGAUAGUCAGUGUCUUCUGAUUAUGAACAAGGUGUUGUUGCUUGAUAACUGGAUCACAUCAUUGGGUGAAUCAUGUGAUGGACUAGACCCGAACUAAUAGACGUAGCAUGUUGAUCGUGUCAUUUUGUUGCUACUGGUUUCUGUGUGUCAAGUAUUUAUUCCUAUGACCAUGAAAUCAUAUAUCUCACUGACACCGGAGGAAUUCUUUGUGUCUAUCAAACGUCGGAACAUAACUGGGUGACUAUAAAGAUGCUCUACAGGUAUCUCCGAAGGUGUCCGUUGAGUUAGUAUGGAUCAAGACUGGGAUUUGUCACUCCGUGUGACGGAGAAGUAUCUCGGGGCCCACUCGGUAAUAGAACAUCACACAUAAGCCUUGAAAGCAAUGUGACUUAGUGUAAGUCACGGGAUCUUGUAUUACGGAAUGAGUAAAGAGACUUGCCAGUAAACGAGAUUGAAAUAGGUAUGCGGAUACUGACGAUCGAAUCUCGGGCAAGUAACAUACCGAAGGACAAAGGGAAUGACAUACGGGAUUAUAUGAAUCCUUGGCACUGAGGUUCAAACGAUAAGAUCUUUGUAGAAUAUGUAGGAUACAAUAUGGGCAUCAAGGUCCCGCUAUUGGAUAUUGAUCGAGGAGUCCCUCGGGUCAUGUCUACAUAGUUCUCGAACCCGCAGGGUCUGCACACUUAAGGUUCGGUGUUGUUUUACGCGUCUUUGAGUUAUAUGGUUGGUUACCGAAUGUUGUUCGGAGUCCCGGAUGAGAUCACGGACGUCACGAGGGUUUCUGGAAUGGUCUGGAGACGAAGAUUGAUAUGUAGGUUGACCUCAUUUGAUUACCGGAAAGUUUUCGGAAUUACCGAGAAUGUACCGGGAGUGACGAAUGGGUUCUGGAUGUUCACCGGGGGGGCAGCCCACCCAGGGGAAGCCCAUAGGCCUUAGGGGUGCCGCACCAGCCCUUAGUGGGCUGGUGGGCAAGCCCAAGAAGGACCGUGCGCGGGAUAAAAGAAAAUCAAAGAAAAAAAAAGGGGAAGAGGGAAGGUAGGGAAGGACUCCACCUUCCAAUCCUAGUUGGACUAGGAUUGGAGGAGGACUCCUCCUCCCCCCAUUAGGCCGAACCCCUUGGGGAUCCUUGAGCCUCAAGGAAAGGCCCGUCCCCUCCCACCUAUAUAUACGGAGGUAUUAGGGCUGAUUUGAGACAACUUUGCCACGGCAGCCCGACCACAUACCUCCACGGUUUUCCCUCUAGAUCGCGUUUCUGCGGAGCUCGGGCGGAGCCCUGCUGAGAUUAGAUCACCACCAACCUCCGAAGCGCCAUCACGCUGCCGGAGAACUCAUCUACCUCUCCGUCUCUCUUGUUGGAUCAAGAAGGCCGAGAUCAUCAUCGAGUUGUACGUGUGCUAAACGCGGAGGUGCCGUCUGUUCGGCACUAGAUCGGAGCGGAUCGUGGGAUGGAUCGCGGGACGGUUCGCGGGACGGUUCGCGGGGCGGAUCGAGGGACGUGAGGACGUUCCACUACAUCAACCGCGUUUAUUAAUGCUUCUGCUGUGCGAUCUACAAGGGUACGUAGAUCUGAAAUACCCCUCGUAGAUGGACAUCACCAUGAUAGGUCUUCGUGCGCGUAGGAAAUUUUUUGUUUCCCAUGCAACGUUUCCCAACAGUGGCAUCAUGAGCUAGGUUCAUGCGUAGAUGUAAUCUCGAGUAGAACACAAAAGUUUUUGUGGGCGGUGAUGUGCGAUUUGCUGCCCUCCUUAGUGUUUUCUUGAUUCUGCGGUAUUGUUGGAUCGAAGCGGCUUGGACCGACAUUACUCGUACGCUUACGAGAGACUUGUUUCAUCACUACCAGCAACUCCGUUGCUCAAAGAUGACUGACGAGUGUCGGUUUCUCCAACUUUAGUUGAAUCGGAUCGACCGAGGAGGUCCUUGGAUGAGGUUAAAUAGCAAUUCAUAUAUCUCCGUUGUGGUGUUUGCGUAAUUAAGAUGCGAUCCUACUAGAUACCCAUGGUCACCACGUAAAACAUGCAACAACAAUUAGAGGACGUCUAACUUGUUUUUGCAGGGUAUGCUUGUGAUGUGAUAUGGCCGACGAUGUGAUGUGAUAUAUUGGAUGUAUGAGAUGAUCAUGUUGUAAUAGUUAAUAUCGACUUGCACGUCGAUGGUACGGCAACCGGCAGGAGCCAUAGGGUUGUCUUUAAACUAAUGUUUGUGCUUGCAGAUGCGUUUACUAUAUUGUUAGGAUGUAGCUUUAGUAGUAAUAGCAUGAGUAGCACGACAACCCCGAUGGCGACACGUUGAUAGAGAUCAUGGUGUGGCGCCGGUGACAAGAAGAUCGUGCUGGUGCUUUGGUGAUGGAGAUCAAUAAGCACGUGAUGAUGGCCAUAUCAUGUCACUUAUGAAUUGCAUGUGAUGUUAAUCCUUUUAUGCACCUUAUUUUGCUUAGAAUGACGGUAGCAUUAUGAGGUGAUCUCUCACUAAAAUUUCAAGACGAAAUUGUAUUCUCCCCGACUGUGCACCGUUGCUACAGUUCGUCGUUUCGAGACACCACGUGAUGAUCGGGUGUGAUAGACUCAACGUUCACAUACAACUGGUGCAAAACAGUUGCACACGCGGAACACUCGGGUUAAGCUUGAUGAGCCUAGCAUGUGCAGACAUGGUCUCGGAACACAUGAGACCGAAAGGUCGAUCAUGAAUCAUAUGGUUGAUAUGAUUAGCAUAGGGAUGCUUACCACUGAAACUAUCCUCAACUAACGUGAUGAUCGGACUUGAGCUAGUGGAAUUGGAUCAUGAACCACUCAAAUGACUAGAGAGAUGUACUUUUUGAGUGGGAGUUUAGCAAACAAUUUGAUUAAGUUAAACUCUAAUUAUCUUGAACAUAGUCUAAGUCCAGUUUGAAUAUAUUUGUGUUGUAGAUCAUGGCUCACGCGACAGUCACCCUGAAUUUUAAUACGUUCCUAGAGAAAGCUAAUUUGAAAGAUGAUGGAAGCAACUUUGUAGACUCAGCUCGUAAUCUUAAGUUGCUCCUGCAAGCUGGGAAGAAGGAUUAUGUCCUUAAUGCUGUGCUAGGAGAUGAACCACCCGCUACGGCUGACCAGGAUGUUAAGAACCCUUGGUUAACACGUAAGGAGGACUACUCAUUAGUUCACUGUGCAGUCUUGUAUGGCUUAGAGCCGGGACUUCAACGUCGCUUUUAGCGUCAUGGAGCAUAUGAUAUGUUCUAGGAAUUGAAGUUUAUCUUUCAGAAGAACGCCCGGAUCGAGAGGUAUGAGACCUCCGAUAAAUUCUAUGCUUGCAAGAUGGAGGAGAAUUCGUCUGUCAGUGAACAUGUGCUCAAAAUGUCUGGGUACUCAAACCGUCUAGCGGAGCUGGGGAUUGAACUCCCGCAAGAGGCUAUCACUGACAGAAUUCUUCAAUCACUGCCGCCAAGCUAUAAGGGCUUUGUGUUGAACUACAACAUGGAAGGGAUGAACAAGUCACCUGGCGAGUUGUUCGCGAUGCUGAAAGUCGCAGAGUCAGAACUCCGUAAAGAGCAUCAAGUGUUGAUGGUGAAUAAGACCACUAGUUUCAAGAGAAACGGCAAAGGAAAGAAGGGUAGUUCGAAGAAGAGCGGCAAGCCUGUUGCCAAUCCGACGAAGAAACCCAAAGCUACACCUAAGCCUGAAACGGAGUGCUAUUAUUGCAAGGGUAUGGGUCACUGGAAGCGUAACUGCCCCAAGUAUCUGGCUGAUAAGAAGGCGGCCAAAGAAAAAUCUGGUAUAUUUGAUAUACAUGUUAUUGAUGUGUACUUAACCAGCUCUCGUAGUAGUACCUGUGUAUUCGAUACAGGUUCUGUUGCUCAUAUUUGCAACUCGAAACAGGAACUGCGGAAUUAGCAAAGGCUGGCGAAGGAUGAAGUGACGAUGCGCGUGGGAAAUGGUUCCAAGGUUGAUGCAAUCGCCGUCGGCACAGUUUCACUUUAGUUACCAUCAGGAUUAGUUAUGAACUUAGAUAAUUGUUAUUUAGUGCCCGCGUUAAGCAUGAACAUUAUGUCUGGAUCUUGUUUAUUGCGAGACGGUUACUCGUUUAAGUCAGAGAAUAAUGGUUGUUCUAUUUCUAUGAGUAAUAUCUUUUAUGGUCAUGCACCCAAUGUGAGAGGAUUGUUCAUAUUGAAUCUUGGUAGUAAUAAUACACAUAUACAUAACAUUGAGACCAAAAGAGUUAGAAUUAACAAUGAUAGCGCCAUGUUUUUAUGUCACUGCCGCUUAGGUCAUAUUAGUGUAAAGCGCAUGAAGAAACUCCAUUCCUAUGGACUUUUGGAGUCACUUGACUUUGAUUCACUUGACACGUGCGAACCAUGCCUCAUGGGCAAGAUGACUAAAACUCCGUUCUCCGGAAAAAUGGAGCGUGCAAGUGACUUGUUGGAAAUCAUACAUACCGAUGUGUGUGGUCCGAUGAGUAUGGAGGCACGCGACGGAUAUCGUUAUUUUCUCACCUUCACUGACGAUUUGAGUAGAUAUGGUUAUGUCUACAUAAUGAAGCACAAGUCUGAAACAUUUCAAAAGUUCAAGCAAUUUCAGAGUGAAGUUGAAAAUCAUCGUAACAAGAAGAUCAAGUUCCUACGGUCUGAUCGUGGGGGUGAAUAUCUGAGUUUCAAGUUUGGUGCUCACUUAAGACAAUGUGGAAUUGUUUCACAGUUGACACCGCCUGGAACACCACAGCGUAAUGGUGUGUCCGAACGUCGUAAUCGUACUUUAUUAGAGAUGGUGCGAUCUAUGAUGUCUCUUACUGAUUUGUCGUUAUUGUUUUGGGGUUAUGCAUUAGAAACAACUGCAUUCACUUUAAAUAGGGCACCAUCAAAAUCCGUUGAGACAACACCAUACGAACUGUGGUAUGGCAAAAGACCAAAGUUGUCGUUUCUUAAAGUUUGGGGAUGUGAUUCUUAUGUCAAAAAGCUUCAGCCUGAAAAGCUGGAACCCAAAGCGGAAAAGUGCGUCAUCAUAGGUUACCCACAAGAGACAGUUGGGUAUACCUUCUAUCUCAAAUCCUAGGGAAAAGUGUUUGUUUCUAAGAACGGAGCUUUUCUUGAGAAGGAGUUUCUCUCGAGAGAAUUGAGUGGGAGGAAGAUAGAACUUGAUGAGGUUGUCGAACCUCUCAUCCCUCUGGAUGGUGGCGCAGGGCAAGGGGAAACCCCUGUCGUUGCGACGCCGGUUGAGGAGGAAGUUAAUGAUGAUGAUCAUGAAACUCCGGAUCAAGUUCCUGUCGAACCUCGCAGGUCGACGAGACCGCGUACUACUCCAGAGUGGUACGGUAAUCACGUCUUAUCAAUUAUGUUGUUAGACAACAAUGAGCCUGCGAAUUAUGAAGAAGCAAUGGUGGGCCAAGAUUCCAACAAAUGGCCGGAGGCCAUGAAGUCCGAGAUAGGAUCCAUGUAUGAAAACAAAGUGUGGACUUUGGAAGUAUUACCUGAAGGCCGCAAGGCUAUUCAGAACAAAUGGAUCUUUAAGAAGAAGACGGACGCUGACAGUAAUGUGACCGUUUAUAAAGCUCGACUUGUGGCAAAGGGUUUUUCACAAGUUCAAGGGAUUGACUACGAUGGGACAUUCUCACCCGUAGCGAUGCUUAAGUCCGUCCGAAUCAUGUUAGCAAUAGCUGCAUUUUUUGAUUAUGAAAUCUGGCAGAUGGAUGUCAAAACAGUGUUCCUUAACGGUUUCCUUAAGGAAGAGUUGUAUAUGAUGCAGCCCGAAGGUUUUGUCGAUCCUGAAAAUGCUAACGAAGUGUGCAAGCUCCAGCGAUCCAUUUAUGGACUGGUGCAAGCAUCUCGGAGUCGGAAUAAACGUUUUGAUGAGGUGAUCAAAGCAUUUGGGUUUAUGCAAGUGGUUGGAGAAUCUUGUAUUUACAAGAAAGUGAGUGGUUGCUCUGUGGCGUUUCUAAUAUUAUAUGUGGAUGACAUAUUGCUGACUGGAAACAACGUGGAGUUUUUGGAGAGCAUAAAGGAUUACUUGAAUAAAAGUUUCUCUAUGAAGGGCCUAGGAGAAGUUGCUUACAUUCUAGGCAUUAAGAUCUAUAGGGAUAGAUCGAAACGCCUGAUAGGACUUUCACAAAGUACAGACCUUGAUAAAGUUUUGAAGAGGUUCAAAAUGGAACAGUCCAAGAAGGGGUUCUUGCCAGUUUUACAAGGUACGAGAUUGAGUAAGACUCAGUGCCCAGCAACAGAUAAAGAUAGAGAGCAUAUGAGCACCGUCCCCUAUGCUUCAGCCAUAGGUUCUAUCAUGUAUGCAAUGCCGUGCACUAGACCGGACGUUAGCCUGGCCAUAAGUAUGGCAGGCAGGUUCCAGAGUAAUCCAGGAGUGGAUCACUGGACGGCGGUCAAGAAUAUCCUGAAGUACCUGAAAAGGACUAAGGAUAUGCUUCUCGUGUAUGGAGGUGAUGAAGAGCUCGCCGUAAAAGGUUACGUUGAUGCAAGCUUUGACCCGGAUCCGGACGACUCUAAGUCGCAGACCAGAUACGUAUUUAUUCUUAAUGGGGGUGCGGUAAGCUGGUGCAGUUCCAAGCAAAGCGUCGUAGCUGAUUCUACAUGUGAAGCGGAGUACAUGGCUGCCUCGGAGGCGGCUAAGGAGGGUGUCUGGAUGAAGCAGUUCAUGACGGAUCUUGGAGUGGUGCCGAGCGCACUGAAUCCAAUAACCCUGUUUUGUGACAACACGGGUGCCAUUGCCUUAGCAAAGGAACCACGGUUUCACAAGAAGACCAGACACAUCAAAUGACGCUUCAACCUCAUCUGCGACUACAUCGAAGGGGAGGACGUAAAUAUAUGCAAAGUGCAUACGGAUCUGAAUGUGGCAGACCCGCUGACUAAACCUCUUCCAUGGGCAAAGCAUGAUCAACACCAGAACUGUAUGGGUGUUAGAUUUAUUACAAUGUAAUUCGCAUGGCGAUGUGAGGGCUAGAUUAUUGACUCUAGUGCAAGUGGGAGACUGUUGGAAUUAUGCCCUAGAGGCAAUGAUAAAUAAGUUAUUAUUAUAAUUCCUCUAUCAAGAUAAUCGUUUAUUAUCCAUACUAUAAUUGUAUUGAAUGAAGACUUAGAUACAUGUGUGGAUACAUAGACAAAACACUGUCCCUAGCAAGCCUCUAGUUGGAUAGCUAGUUGAUCAAGGAUAGUCAGGGUCUUCUGACUAUGUACAAGGUGUUGUUGCUUGAUAACUGGAUCACAUCAUUGGGUGAAUCAUGUGAUGGACUAGACCCGAACUAAUAGACGUAGCAUGUUGAUCGUGUCAUUUUGUUGCUACUGGUUUCUGUGUGUCAAGUAUUUAUUCCUAUGACCAUGAAAUCAUAUAUCUCUGUGUCAAGUAUUUAUUCCUACUAGUAAGAUUGCACGUGCAAUGCACGUCUCAUACAUUGAGCAAAUGAAAUUCAUACAAAUACAAAAUAAAUGUUUCAAGAAAAAAAAACUUAAAUGGAAACACAAUUCUGUGAUGUCGCUCAAGUUGCAGUCUCAAAGGUGAAACACAAUUAUGGCCAUGUUGUUGCAUACAGACCACAAUAUAUGUUAUUCCAUUCAUUAGGUGUUCUCAUUGAUUGUUAAUAAAUAAGAUAACUUUUUUAUGAUUGAAAAACAGCCUCACAUCUAAAUAUUAAUGACAGUGAGCCAAUAUUGUAAAGCAAAAUCUCAACACCAAAAAUGCAUACGAAGGUAUAUAAUGUUUGUUACAACUGCUAGUUCAAAUAAAAAAUAACUACCAUUAGUAGAUAUAGACCUAUAUUGUCCACCAAACCAACCAAACAAAAUCAUGGCUUCUAAAAGCUGAAUGGAGAUCUCCCAUCCAACUUCAUCCAAGCAUUCCAAUGCUACAUAAAGAUAUGGUAGUCGUCCAGUGAACUUGCAUUAGAAGUGAGGGUUCACCCAGGAAUCCUUUGUUGGUUUUUCAAAAGGGCAUGUGCCUUUUUUUUUCCUAUAAAGACCUUGUAUCUGCAGUUGACGCAUGAAAUUCAUAGAAAAAGGCCAUCAGGCAGACAACAAAGUAGCCCUAAACAUAUUUUUAUUAUAAAUAAUGGAGUUUGAGUAGCAUGAACAUAUAGUGCGAUACUUAAAUGUUUUGAAUUGCAGUUAAAUAAAUAACAAACAAUUCCACUUAUAGUCAAGGUGAAAAAUGUACGGACACAAAUACGUGAAUUCCCAGAAUGUUUUGCAGAAAUUCGUCUUUGGGAAGGCUAACAAUUUUUAGCAUGCAAUAGCCCUCCAUGCGAUGUCUUUGUUUGCUCUUGCGGACGCCCGACGCCGUGCCACCUCGUCGCAACUUGGCAUCGUUCGCGGACAGGCCGACCAGCGCGGCAAGGAUCAUGAGGUGCUCUUCGUUGGCGGUGUCGUCCUCGGCUUCCUCCUCCAUCAGAGUCGUUAACACGUCCUCGUCGUCUGAGUCCAUGACCGAGCAGGAAAAUCGCCAAACAUCUGGCAGGCGUGGUGGGUAGGUGGCCGUCGAUGAGCGGUUUAAAAAGCUCGCCCAAGAGAGCAGGAUGGAGGCUGUCGUGAAACCGGCAGGGAAAUGGCUUUUUCUACCGGCAGGGCAUCGACUAUGGACAGGUGGGCGACGUCGGGAUCGACAUGGCGGCGAUGCUUCCUACGGCACGCGAGGGCGAAUCUAGCGAGGGAAAGGCAUUUCUCGCCUGACAGUGGCGCCCCACACACCACUUUUCCUUCCGCCGAACCAUCCAACUGCCCCCAACUACACGCUAGGUUCGGCCUGGGGUCGCCGGCCCAAAUAAUGGGUCCAACCAGCAAAAAACAACGCCCUAGGGGCACGGGCAUGGGGCCUGUUGGGGGCGCGGCUGGAGAUGCCCUAAAGUCAUUCAUUGUAGGAGGAACAGCACAAAAGGGAAGAUCAUCGCCUCUUCUUCCAGUAAAAAGAAAUCUUCAAAGAAACACAAGGGUAUGUCAUAGCUAGCUCUGCAAUUGUGAAAACUAACAAUGUCUCUAACCUAUCAUUCCAUCCAAUCCUACAACCGCUAUAAACCUCCGGCAAAAGUAAGAAGGGACUCAACUUGGCAGCCAGACUCUUUCUAAAAAUAAUCUACUCUUUCAAAAACUUGGCAACCAGCACUGAGUCACUGGAUCGAAAACGCCUACUUCUCUUCUCUUCAUCCGUGUGUGGUGUCUAUGACACCGCCGCGGCAGCGGUACCCUGCAAAACAAAGGCGGGAGUUAGCUCGGGAUCAGACAGUUGUUAGUCACAAAUGAUGUCUUAGCAAGGAUGCAUUGUUAUGUUAGUUUACCGGCUUGAGCUUCUGUUCGAAGAACAUCAAUACUUCUCUUCGGAGGGCGUCAACCUCCCUGGCAUACUCCUUCUGUUCCUCUGAAGGCAGCUCCUCCAGCUGCACCCCCAGUCUGUACAGAACACUGUCUAGACCGCAUGACUUGAAGUCCCUAGCGUCUGUCGAGGGAAGCUUCAGUAGGCUCCUAAUGGCCAACAAAACCUGUGUAUGAAACAGAAUGUCAGUCAAAACAUGUGACAGAGUAGUGUUGUAAGUUUUACUGCUGGCAUGCCGAAAUUUUGUCAAAUGAACUACAGUAGUCGUUACUUCCAUUUCUUGACAGGAGUUAAGUAAUUGCAUUUCUACAACUUUCUCCUAAAGUCCUUGCUGAGAGAAAUAACAUUGAACAAUAAAUCCAUGCGUAAUUAUACUGCCAGGUGCUAAAAGAAAGGUGCAAAUUCAUGCACCGAAUGACACAAGGAACAACUGUCAUUGAGAGUGCAGACUAUGAGCUGGUAACCAGUGCUAAUCAUAAUGAUCUACAGAGUCAGAGGUGGCUCUGAUCAUACCUUUUCUUGAAGGUCAAGAUCAAACUCUGAUAACAUAUCAGUGACUGACUUCAGCAAAAAGCGUUCACUUAAGAAAGUGAGCCCUGAGUUUCCAGAAUUUAGCUGAAAGUCCGCUAGAUCUGUUAAUAAAAACACUGCCUUCUUCUGAAGCCCAACAUCAACACUGUUGCUUCCCAAGAUGUGCUGCAAAAGUGGGAAAUUUCGUCACAGCUGAACCAGUUAUGUGCUUGUAUUCCCAAGAUAGGAUUUUCACUACCUGCAGCAUUGCGUUCCCAUUUUCCAAAGCGAAUGCCUCCUGACCAUUUACGUUAUUUCUGAUUAAAGCCGAUAUAGCAUACAUUGCCUUUGCAGCUUCUUUUGCCGAAGUGGAAUAACCCAUCUUCACUAAUCUUGCCAAAGCUCCAUAACCAAGAAUCUGACCAAGAAAAAAACAGUCAGCACAUGUUACAUGGCUAGAACAAAAAAUGAUUAUAACAAGUACUUCAACAACAGACACCCCUAUGGGGAAACAUAGAAGGAAACUGGCUCUUAAUAAAAUGACAUGCACAGUUGACAAUCAGUUUGAAAAGAAAAUAGAAGAAACCACUACAAUGGUAUAGCAAUGGUGAAAUGAAAGAUAUAUAAACAUCAUUUUCAAGCAUAUUUAGUGAAGUUAAAGAGACAAAUUUACAGUAGCAUUCAUUGGGCCAGGCCUGAAGAACACAUAAACUACACAUAUUGCUCACAGAAAAAAGAAAAUUUACUCCCCAAAUCUGCAUAAUACUGUUAAUAAUGAAGUGGAUACUCUGCAGAAACAAGAUACAUCUUUGAAAUCAAAAUGCUCCUUUGUGCACGAUUAAUGGCAUUACGUGGCUUUGGACAAGGGCAUUAUUCUCACUGGCUGUACCCAGGAUCCAUGAAGAGGUGGUCCGUAUUUCUUCAUUUGCAUUAUUAAGAUCUUGAAUCACAGGAACAAGGCCCCCAAUUUUGUCAAGGUCUGGCCACAAAUGAACGAGCAAGAAACAAUUUCAGAAAAUCUUCCAAAGAAGUCACACACACACAAAUCUAAGCCAUUGUUGCAUCCAAUUUUGGCUCUCGCCUCUUUUUUUUUCCUUCGUAAAGCUGGUAAACUACAUAAACACUUGAUACAUGGAGUACCCAAUUAUAGUCAAGGUGAAAAAUGUACGGACACAAAUACGUGAAUUCCCAGAAUGUUGUGCAGAAAUUCAUCUUUGGGAAGGCUAACAAUUUUUAUGUUAUAGGCAGGCGCUGAUGGAAAUGAUUUCGUAUGUAAUAUAAAUUUUUGAAGGUUCCAGGCUCCCAGCAAUGCACAUAAUAGGAAAACGAACUCGUGGGUACUAACUCUUUUGGAUUCACUGGCAUAGCCUGAAUAUAUUUCUUAUCGUGCGUAAGAGUAUACAUAGUCAUUGGAGAAACAAACAACUGUAAUGGAAACAUAAUUGUAUAGAUGACGGAAACCAGUGUGUGAACAUUGCAGACUUAGAUGGUUAAUAUCACAGAAAUUGAUGGUUGUAGCAUGUGUGCUUGACAAUUUGUUGAUCCUGUGGAAGGAAAAACAAAUAUAAUUAAUAGCAGCUAUUGGAAUACACAAGAAAAUACUAACUCAGUAAGGUAGAAGCCUGGUCUAAGUAAUAACACAGUGAAUAAAUCAGACACUGUAAAAAAAUGCCAUCGUACUAUCAGAGCAGAAAUAUAUAUGGAACUGUUAUCACCGGUAUUCAUUAUAACCCGAGGGGGCCCAAGGGCGCACCCACUUAAAGGCCUGGCCCAACUUAUCUUAUCGUUAUUAGGGGCUUAGCCUAGUUUAUCGUAUUUGUUAGGCUAGGGAGAUUAUAUAUACUCAUGUAAGGACUCCGUUUUGGUUAAGCAGAAGCAAUCAUAUUUGCUCGGCUCCCACAGGAGCCGGCACCCUAACCCUAGCCACCUCGAUUCUCUCUCUCUCGUGCGCGCGCGCGAUCACUGUGCCCCGCCGCCGCUGGCCGAGCGUCUCGCCCCGCCAACCUCUCUUCCACCCAUAUAACCUGAGACCUCACCCUGGUAGGGAUCCUAUUCCUAUGAGGAACUCUUAAUCCCAACUUACCAAAGAAACUGCAGGUUCUUAACUAAUCAAAAUCCAUCAUACUACCAGCACAGAAAAAUGAGGAAUCAAAUUCUUGGAGAACCUCACAAGGACCAUCCAUCACGUCCCAAUUUCGGGGAAAAUAGGCAGAUCAACAACAAGCUCUCAUAACAUUGCUCAUCAGGCUCUAAUCUCUGAAUUUGAUUGUGUCCUCUGCUAUAAUUUUUUAGCUCAUAGAGAUAGCCCUUGUAGGAUCAUAAAUAGGACCAGGAAUGCAAAUGUUUAGGGUUUAGGGUCCUUGUGUCAUACAUUUUCUUUUCCCCUUUCUCUAAAUUGACUGGACCAUUAUAAAAAGAGGGGCUAGUCAAUUAACCUAAAAAUGACAUAUGUUGGGUAUAAGUUUCUACCCUUGAAGAAACCAAUAGUAAAAGCAUUCGAUGCAAACCUGUAGUUGCUUCACUUUUAGCUUGUCUCGCGGUGACAGGUGGGCUGGUCGAGUAUGUGAUCGUCUUCCUAGAAUCCCAGUCAUCAAGGAUUUCUGAAUGUUCAUCCCGUCAUUUAAUUUGGUCGAUUGUUGAGCCAUGAACAAAAAGUAUAACUGAAUAAUUAUACAUGUCAUGAUUGUAUUUUGAUAUGCUUAUGAGAUAACACCUGUACCUCUCACAUACAUCCAACUAUGGGUCAUCAUAAGGUUCAUGUUCCUGCAAAAGAAUAGGAAAAGCAAUGAGCAAUUUAUUCCGAAGAAGGAGAAGAUCAACAAAAACUACAGGAAAUCAAAAACAGCUAGGUGCCAUGUCAAGAUCCUUAAUCAAAAGCGAACUAUAUUAGUUCAAUAUAAACGGCAAUAUGAAAAGCAUACUGAUUAGGAAGCAUUAGUUAAGCCAACAUAUGAUUUCUCCUUCCUGACUACUUUAUCCUUUCACAUUCAGCUCCUUGAGCUCCUCCUCUUUGUCACAUGUAUCUUGGAAAAGUAGUCAUCAUGAAAGCUUUAUACGGAGUACAAGGGGAAUGAAAGCUUUAGACGGAGUACAAGGGGAUUCCAUUAGCUUUAGAAAAAUUGUAGUACAAGCGAAUCGUUCGAGUAGAAGCAGAUUAGUUUUGGAAUCCACACCAUACACAAAUUAAAUUAUAUUUCUGUUAUAUAACUUAUUAUAAUCUAAAUCAGAGAAAUUAUGAACAAAGUAAAUGACUACUUUUCUAUUCUCCUUGUACCAACUUAAUAUAAAGGAGUGUAGUCAAAUAAACUGGAGAGCGAUAGAAAUAAUAGUAAACUUGAUCACAAAAAAUUGAUUAACAGGGUGCUUAUAAGGUAUCACGACAUGCAAGGCCAAUGCUUCCCUAGUAAUACGACAAAUGUUUUAAGCUCAACUUAACUGGAAGAACAACUACAAAGAUUUCAAUACAAAAUCGUAAGAUUUUUAUGCAAAAACAUUGAGAGUAGCAUUACUGUAUGCGGAAAAGAUCAUCAUUCUAACAUCUGAAUUUGAUUGUGUCCUCUGCUAUAAUUGUUUAGCUCAUAGAGAUAGACCUUGUAGGAUCAUAAAUAGGACCAGGAAUGCAAAUGUUUAGGGUUUAGGGUCCUUGUGUCAUACAUUUUCUUUUCCCCUUUCUCUAAAUUGACUGGACCAUUAUAAAAAGAGGGGCUAGUCAAUUAACCUAAAAAUGACAUAUGUUGGGUGUAAGUUUCUACCCUUGAAGAAAUCAAUAGUAAAAGCAUUCGAUGCAAACCUGUACUUGCUUCACUUUUAGCUUGUCUUGCGGUGACAGGUGGGUUGGUCGAGUAUGUGAUCGUCUUCCUAGAAUCCCAGUCAUCAAGGAUUUCUGAAUGUUCAUCCUGUCAUUUAAUUUGGUCGAUUAUUGAGCCAUGAACAAAAAGUAUAACUGAAUAAUUAUACACGUCAUGAUUGUAUUUUGAUAUGCUUAUGAGAUAACACAUGUACCUCUCACAUACAUCCAACUAUGGGUCAUCAUAAGUUUCAUGUUCCUGCAAAAGAAUAGGAAAAGCAAUGAGCAAUUUAUUUCGAAGAAGGAGAAGAUCAACAAAAACUACAGGAAAUCAAAAACAGCUAGGUGCCAUGUCAAGAUCCUUAAUCAAAAGCGAACUAUAUUAGUUCAAUAUAAACGGCAAUAUGAAAAGCAUACUCAUUAGGAAGCAUUAGUUAAGCCAACAUAUGAUUUCUCCUUGUGACUACUUUAUCCUUUCACAUUCAGCUCCCUGAGCUCCUUCUCUUUGUCACAUGUAUCUUGGAAAAGUAGUCAUCAUGAAAGCUUUAGACGGAGUACAAGGGGAUUCCAUUAGCUUUAGAAAAAUUCUAGUACAAGCGAACGUUCGAGUAGAUGUAGAUUAGUUUUGAAAUCCACAACAUACACAAAUUAAAUUUUAUUUCUGUUAUAUAACUUAUUAUAAUCUACAUCAGAGAAAUUAUGAACAAUAUGAAAAGCAUACUCAUUAGGAAGCAUUAGUUAAGCCAACAUAUGAUUUCUCCUUGUGACUACUUUAUCCUUUCACAUUCAGCUCCCUGAGCUCCUCCUCUUUGUCACAUGUAUCUUGGAAAAGUAGUCAUCAUGAAAGCUUUAGACGGAGUACAAGGGGAUUCCAUUAGCUUUAGAAAAAUUGUAGUACAAGCGAAUCGUUCGAGUAGAAGCAGAUUAGUUUUGGAAUCCACACCAUACACAAAUUAAAUUAUAUUUCUGUUAUAUAACUUAUUAUAAUCUAAAUCAGAGAAAUUAUGAACAAAGUAAAUGACUACUUUUCUAUUCUCCUUGUACCAACUUAAUAUAAAGGACUACUUUUCUAUUCUCCUUGUAUCGACUAUAAAGGACUGUAGUCAAAUAAACUAGAGAGCGAUAGAAAUAAUAGUAAACUUGAUCACAAAAAAUUGAUUAACAGGGUGCUUAUAAGGUAUCACGACAUGCAAGGCAAAUGCUUCCCUAGUAAUACGACAAAUGAUUUAUGCNNNNNNNNNNNNNNNNNNNNNNNNNCGUUUGAGUAGAAGCAGAUUAGUUUUGGAAUCCACACCAUACACAAAUUAAAUUAUAUUUCUGUUAUAUAACUUAUUAUAAUCUAAAUCAGAGAAAUUAUGAACAAAGUAAAUGACUACUUUUCUAUUCUCCUUGUACCAACUUAAUAUAAAGGAGUGUAGUCAAAUAAACUGGAGAGCGAUAGAAAUAAUAGUAAACUUGAUCACAAAAAAUUGAUAAACAGGGUGCUUAUAAGGUAUCACGACAUGCAAGGCAAAUGCUUCCCUAUUAAUACGACAAACGUUUUAAGCUCAACUUAACUGGAAGAACAACUACAAAGAUUUCAAUACAAAAUCGUAAGAUUUUUAUGCAAAAACAUUGAGAGUAGCAUUACUGCAUGCGGAAAAGAUCAUCAUUUUAAUUAGAAGAGCAUAGCCUGUGCAUCCUUGAUCACCACAUCGAACCCCGUUCUCUCGGCAAGCACCCAUGGAUUGAUUUAACUUGAUCAGGAAGACAAGUAAUAGUAGGCAUGGUCAACUGAAGUAGUGGAUUAGGAGCAGCAGUCACCUCAAAUCUCUUCCUUAGUGUAGUCUGAAGAAGCUUUUCAAAUUUAGAACGAGCUGACCCAGCACCAAAAGCAGAGGCAUUAAAAACACUAAUAGCCUUGUUCAUUGCACGUUCAUGUGCUUCUCGCAUUGCAUCCUGCCAAAACUAACUUAUCAGAACCUCCCGAAAAAGCGGAAGGAGCAUCUUGCUUAUUAGCAAUGCCUACCUCUUCUGUUUUUUUUUUGCAGUCAAAAGAAGAAUUGUAAGUAUCCACAGCAGAAUCAUAAGCCCUCCAAGAUUCGGCUUCAUCCACACUACAUAACAAAAAAUUAUGAGACAACUCCUCCUCAACAAAAAUAAGAUAUUGAAAUCAUGAUAAACAGUAGAGAUACAGUAACAACAGAGCAGUGAAUCGCUAACCCUCAAAAAAACGAAUGACUGUAGUUGCUCACCAGACCGUUUUGUCACCUCACUACGUGUAAUUUCUCUAAAAUGUUCACUAUGUUGUGGAGUUCAGAGUUGUAGUGUUUGCAUCCUCUUCGGGAACUAAAAUCGCGACGGCAGCGAAGCUUCCAUUAUAUGCGCAACAACAAUAGCACCAACAUGCAUUGUGUGUCUCCCACCACCAGAGGCAGAUCCAUCUCUUCCUACAAAUGGGUUAAAAACGUAGUGAAUCCGACAUGGGCAUCCACGUCCCGCUAUUGGAUAUUGACCGAGGAGUCCCUCGGGUCAUGUCCACAUAGUUCUCGAACCCGCAGGGUCUGCACACUUAAGGUUCAGCGUUGUUUUAUGCGUAUUUGAGUUAUAUGGUUGGUUACCGAUUGUUGUUCGAAGUCCCGGAUGAGAUCACGGACGUCACGAGGUUUCCGGAAUGGUCCGAAGAUGAAGAUUGAUAUAUAGGUUGACCUCAUUUGAUUACCGGAAAUUUUUCGAAAUUACCGGGAAUGUACCGGGAGUGACGAAUGGGUUCCGAAUGUUCACCGGGGGGGGGGGGGCAGCCCACCCCAGGGAAGCCCAUAGGCCUUAGGGGUGCCGCACCAGCCCUUAGUGGGCUGGUGAGCAAGCCCAAGAAGGCCCCUGCGCAGGAUAAAAGAAAAUCAAAGAGAAGAAAAAAAAGGGGAAGUGAGAAGGAAGGGGAGGACUCCACCUUCCAAUCCUAGUUGCACUAGGAUUGAAGGAGGAUUCCUCCUCCCCCCCUUCGGCCGACCCCCUUGGGGCUCCUUAAGCCUCAAGGCAAGGCCCCUCUCCUCCCAUCUAUAUAUACUGAUGUAUUAGGGCUGAUUUGAGACAACUUUGCCACGGCAGCCCGAUCACAUACCUCCACGGUUUUUCCUCUAGAUCGCGUUUCUGCGGAGCUCGGACGGAGCCCUGCUGAGAUUAGAUCACCACCAACCUCCGGAGCGUCGUCACGCUGCCGGAGAACUCAUCUACCUCUCCGUCUCUUUUGCUGGAUCAAGAAGGCCGAGAUCAUCGUCGAGCUGUACGUGUGCUGAACGCGGAGGUGUCGUCCGUUCGGCACUAGAUCGGAGCGGAUUGUGGGACGGAUCACGGGACGGUUCGUGGGACGGUUCGCGGGGCGGAUCGAGGGACGUGAGGACGUUCCACUACAUCAACUGCGUUUAUUAACGCUUCUGCUGUGCGAUCUACAAGGGUACGUAGAUCUGAAAUCCCCCUCGUAGAUGGACAUCAUCAUGAUAGGUCUUCGUGCGCGUACGAAAAUUUUUGUUUCCCAUGCGACGUUCCCCAACAGGCGGGGCAGCCAUGCCAGCCAGGGAGUCGAGCGGUCGCGAGGCCAAGAGCGGGGAGGCCUAGGCGUUCGGAGCGGCACGAGCCGAGAGGACGACGGGUGGGGCGGCCGGGGCGGCAUGGAUGGCAGCGACGGCGCCCGAAGCAGAGGCCAUGAGGCGGCGGCGGCAUACGAGACGGAAGCGAUUUAAUCUAACCUAAUGUGAUAUCAUAUAAAACAAGGUUUAGGUGAAAACUGCUCGACACCAAUACAAAUGUGGUUAUCUUAUAUAUAUAUAAGAGGUAUACAGUCUAAUAAAUUUUUUGACUUAGGACAAAGCUGAACAUUUCUAUAUUUUGGAACAGAGAAAUUAACAAGUAAAAUUUCAAAUUGUGGUGCGAUUCAAGUUAUCUUUGUCAUACCUUCUUUUCCCCUGAUACAUUAUUUUUCUGUGGUACGAUUCAGAUCCUCAAAUAGCAAGAAAAAUGCAAAUUAUGCAGUACAAUUCGGGGGAGAACUAGGCCCUAAAUCUCAGCAGAGAAGUGCUAGGAACUUCCUUUCUGAAGCUGUACAAGAAAACCGCACGGGCGGAAGUUUCUGAAGUAUGCACAGUCUCAACAGAUUCUACUUGAAUGCUAAUAAUCCGGCAGCUUCCGCAGGAUGGCGGCGGCGAGCGCGUCGGUGAACUUUCGGUCGCCGGUGAGCUCGCGGGCCAUCUGCUCCACCAGAGCCGCCCGGAACUCCGGCGACGCGACCUCCCGGCACACCUUCUUCAGGUCCGGCUGCGCCUCCCCUGCUGCCUCGACCACCUGCACACCUCCCCCGUCCUUGGUGAGGUCCAGCGUGAUGGUCGGGCCGGAGGAGUUGAUGGAGAUGGAGCACGGCACCGGGCCGCCGCCCCCCGCCGCGCAGCUCGGCAGCUCGCCGGCCCGCGUGGGGCGCGGGUGGUUGUGCUCGCCCUCGUACGUCGCCUCCACCAUCGAGCUGUCCUCGGCGCUUCUCUGCACCUGCACCACCAUGGAUAGAGAUUAGUGUCAGAACAUAAGCUUCUCAGACCGCACAAGCACAAGAUGCUGCUGCUGCUGCAGCACAAUGCUCGUCGAAUUGGGCGGAGUUUGUACGAUACCUUCUUCUUGACAGGGCAGGACGGCGCGAAGGCGCAUCGGAAGUAGGCUCGGGGGGAGGGGUUGUCCCGUGUCACCUUCUGCCCGUACUUCCGCCAUUGAUACCCGUCUUUCACAACCUUCAGAAUUCAGAAGCAAUCGAUCUCGGUGUAAGUACAGUUGCCAUUGUUUUCAGCUAAGCUUUGAUUGAAUUGAUUUGGCACUUACGAGGCUCGUGUCCGAUGGGUCGAUCCGGGUGCAGACCCUCUUGACCUUGAUUCUCCGGCAAGUGCCGUUGCUCAGCGGGCUCUCGACGUCAACAUGCUCGGCCUCGACCAUACCAGUCAUCUUCUUGUCGCUGUUGCCAUCGCCGGAAUCCGACGUGUCCAUGCUCUCCCUGCUCCUUUUCUUGCCCACCGGUGAUGUCGGCGACGCGGCGGUGCUCGCGGGCUGCUCGCCGUCCCCUUCGGGGCUGUGUCGCGCGAAACUCUGGUUAGCGUACAGGUAGCCGAUCAUCUCCGUCAGCCUCCGGUUCUCCUCGCUUACCUCCGUGAAUUUCGCCUCCAUCAUCUUACUAGCCUGGAAAUCCCCCACAUUUCGAAAAUCAAAUCCAGCACCUCGAGCGCGCGAAAAGCGGGAAAGAGACGGAGUGACAAACAACGGAGUGUGGUUGAACGGUUGCAUACCUCGCCGUUGGUCAUGGAAGCUGCUCUGCCGCAGGGUGAGCUAGCAAUGUCAGCUUGGGUUCUCAUUCCGGCGCGCCUCGCCGGAGACGGCUCGCGCACCAUGGGUAGCCCGACCAUGAGGUCGAGGCAGACGGGCGACCACCGCGCCGUUUCCAUUGAUCAGCAAUUACACGGGCACGACCCUGCAAACUUCCUACCACUGUGAACCUGAGAGGCUGAGACUGCGAUUACUAUGCUGAAGAAUCAACCAGGAGCUCGAGUCAUCUGAAUGCCUGGCAUCCCCAAAGGGCCGGUAGAUAUAGCGGGAGGUCGGGGGGACAUGUCGUUUGGACGGAGCGGGACGCCGCGGUCGCGUGGGAAAACGGGGGCGCAGUUGUCAGACUGGGUCCGUGGGUCGUGCCAUUAUUGAAUUCGACGUAGUACGUUCGGGUAGUGUCAUGCCGCAACGUCAGCCUUGCCCGCGUCAUACUAGCAAGCUGCAAGGUGCGGUCGCGGUCUCUGCAUCGCUUUUACAGAAAAGGAGGUUAAAUCCGACCUACAGUUAUUUUUAUUAAUUAUUUUAAUGAAGGUACGACAAACAUUAAGCUAUAUGAAGUUAUCACUCACACCUAUAAACAUGAUAAUAAUUAGUGUUCUCAUUAUUCAUAUCAAAUACUGAUGUCAUCAUCGAUCCAUCCCUAUAACGUAUCCGAACAACAAUCGAUGCAGCAAACCUAAAUCGUAUACCACUUGCGCAACUUUUAGAAAUCCUCAUCAUCAUCGAACCGUUGUCUCAUCUUCAAGAGAGAGAUCUGCAUCACCCUUGUCAGUCCGUUCAUCCGUCAACGCCACCACGAAGCCCAACGACGUCAUCGCCAUGCGCUCGUCCAUCCUGACAUGAAGGCUCCGGAAGAUCUGUCGUGCGUACCACCUGCCGAGCAGGCAUGACAUAGCGUAGCAACUGUCGGUCACGCAUGACUUGGCAUCUCCACAGAAGCCCCGUUGAGACGAAGCCACUCCACCGCCUUCCUGUGUCUUCCGGCGCUACUCCAGAAGCGAUGCUCCAACAGAGACACGACACCGUAGUGUCGCCAUCGUGCGAUCUGAAAGACCAGAUCCUAGGGGUUCCUCGGGGCAGCACGAGUUGGUCAACAGUGGUUACACGACGAUGUCUUCAUCAAGGUAAUGAAGCAGAACGCCGCCAUCGCCUAACAUCGGUGCGGUUUUCACCGGUAACUAUGUCUUCCCAACUCGCAACCGGGACUAGAUGACGAAUCUCGAGAUCCAACCACCCAGCCUCAGGCCGACCACCUUCGACACAGGAGAUGACCGCCAUUUCCAGCUGCACCGGCCAGAAUAUAUCUGAUCGAAGGUGCCGCCGAGCAGUCCACCAGGCGCUCAACGCCGCCGCAGAUCUGAAGCCGGAUGACGCAUCGCCGCAGCAUAGCCCGUCACCGCCACCCGAACCAGGCCACCCGCCGCACGCAGCUGCCCGUGACCGGCCUGCCCGACGUGCCUGCAGUCGCCGUCGCCUGAGGCAGGGCCGGCCACCGUCGUCGACGAUGCAACCAUCGCCAUCGCUCCGCUAGAUCGACCAUGCCUCCGCACGUACAGGGGGCCCGCACCACACGGGAGAGAGGGAUGUCUUCGCUACCGCCGUCAGCUCCGAGCAUUGCCUGGCAGCGUCCCUCGACGGUGAAGGAGAGAGGGGAGGAGGGAGCGCAUGCCCUCGACGGCUGGGUUUGGGAGCCGCCCGAGUCGCCCUAGAGGGGGCGACGCGAGGGCCUGAUGUUUCCUAGGUUUUAUGCCCGACUCAUGGCCAAAUUCACUGUUUUGACAUUUUUCUGAAUGUUAAGCCGGAUCUGACCCUAGUGGGAAAAAAUUCGGACCUGACCCUUUUGUUACCAGUGGACCCCUUGUCGGUAGGCUAUAACAAUCUACCGCCGAGGUCCGUGGCGGUAGGUUGCACGCCUAUCGUAAAAAGAAUUCUAAGUUGCAGAUACAGUGCGUGCGCAUACCUACCGUCGGACGCCUUGGCGGUAGGGUUACUUUUGCUACCGCGAGCCCUUUAGCGGCACGUCAUUUUCCUACCGUCAAAUGACGGUAGCAAAAGGGUUAGAUUCAUUUUUUUUCCUUAUAGGAAUCGGAUCCGGUUUUACUUUAGAGAAAGGGUUAAUACAGUGAAUUUGGCCCGGACUCGUUUGUUUGUAUGUCUUGGAGGAGCUACUGCGUCGUGUGACGAAAUAGUACUGUGUAGAUGAAAUCGAGCACACCAACACAAAACACACGGUGGUCCUCGCAAGAAUCUCGUGCAGUGAAGGGGCGUGGAAAUGAUGCACAUAAUGCGAUCAUACCUGGCGCCUCGUCGUCUGAAUAAUUCAAAUUGUUGAUGAAGUGCUUGUUCCGUUCAGAUUCUAAGUGGCAUAUUUUUGCACGAGAAGGGUGCGGAACUUCAACGAUUUCUUUUAGGCUAUCUUCUCUAACAUGUUUCUACAACGAGAGCAUGCCUCCGAAAUUAGCGGUCCGUUCAGACUGUUUUUGUGCUGCGAGAUGAUAGUAAGAAAGUUCUCAACUCAGUAGUAAACCCCCGACCUGUACAGUAGUACUCCAUCUUAGCCCGAUGGUGACUGCAGGGAGAUCUAGUUACUGAACUUUGCCUUGUCUCGUACGGCGUGACCCGAUGCACGACUCCAGCCGAGAGAGGCAUCACCGUUCUGGCACGGUGGUGACCGCAUGCGCCCUGCGUCAGGGGGAGUAUGUCAUUUGCUUAUGUAGGAGCUGGAGAGAGAGAGAGAGAGAGCGCUGGAGAGAGAGAGAGACGCGUCGUAGCUUUGUCAAGUCUCGGCGGAAGUCUUUCUGGAUUCUGAAUAUACUAUUGACCUGGAACUAAUUGAAGUCGUCGGCUGUUAAUUUUCAGGCAGGGGAGAACCCGUCAGAUUACUUUCGGACGAAGCAAAAUUCUACCACGAAGAGUGCUACGUGUCCUUUAGAAGGAAACAGGAUGAAUGAUUUUCUUUUUCCUGAUGGAUGAACGACUUUUUAAAGCAACAUACUAUGUUUCGUGUAUUGCUGCCGUAAACUCAUGUUUACUGCAGGGAAAACCUCCGUUUGCCACGCGAACAAGUUGACCGUGCGUGUCAUUUACCGGUGGGACCCAUGCACCGUUCUCUCCAAUCCACUCAUUUUUUGGAGAAACAUAUAUUUCAUCCUUUUCGGUGUAUAAGUCAUCAUAUAAAAACUAAAAAAUACUAAAAUACCUAGCCGCGUUGCAUUAAUUUUUACCUCGUUUUUUUGCUUUUAAUAUGAAUAAAACAAUAAACUAAUAAAAGACGUGGGACGUUUAUGUCUUUAAUGACUUGAGACUAACUAGCGUGACAUGGAGUGAUCAAUUCAUUGCAAUGAUAUUAAUUAGCAAAUUAACAUUAAUUUCUUUCAUUUUUCUCUCAGUUUUGGUCGUGGUGUACAACCUAAGAUGACUUUUACACCGAGACGAAGGAAGUAGUGAAUCUUGUUAAAGUGGGGCGUAAGUGAAAAUUUAAGACUAAUAUUCCACAUGUAACCAUGCAAAAUAAUUAGGGGAAGAAAUCUUUAUAAUUUGUAUGUAAAUUCUACAUAACUAGGGUGUCAUAAUUGGUAGUUGAAUACUUGGUAUAGUAUCACACAGUUGUUAGUAUUCACGAUCACCAACAGCCUAAUUGGCCUAAACAUACCUCUAGCAUUUUCUCCUUUUAUUUGACAUUUUGACACAAAAAGAAAUCAUUGAAUGCCUACAACGAAACACCUAAAUUUGUUUGCGUAGGCCAGUGUUCUCCUAGCCGUCACCAUAGAUCCAAUUGUCGCCCCUCUGCUCCACAAUGUCUACUUCGGUGUCGCAGAGCGGAGAGGAGAUAAUUCUCUUACUUGCAAGUUCCUUUUGUGUCGUGGUGAUGUCGCUUCGAUGGUUCUGGUGAUAUUUUCUCGAAUAAAUGUCCUCAGGCCACAACCCCGUCUCGGUGACGCUUUGCGUGGUUGUUGCUGAGGAGCUGGUGGUUUUUUCCUCGCAGAUCUUCAUGGAUGACGAGUUAGUUCUUUUUGUAUUUUGUCGAUGGGGUUCCUUGGCCGUCGUGUGCGAUAGCACCAUCUUCUUCACCAAUUCACUCUUUCGAGCCUUUACGGGCAUGGCUAUUGACAUGAUAUGACGAUGCUGGCAUGCCUGCCUAUCGAGGUCGACGCGGUGUCUCGCUAGUAUUGCGUUAAUUCAAUGAUGUUUUGUUCUUCGAUACUUCAUUGGUUGAAUUUCUCGAUGUUAGUCAUAGUGGCGAGAGCUGUGGUAACACAACAAUGAUGAGUUUGUCUAUGAUUUGAACGAGAACCUUAAUGCACAUGGUAUUGGUUGUAACUUUCACUUCAGCUAGUUCCAUUUCUGUGUCUGCAGAUUUUACUUACCCUAUUGUCUUAUCUUACCCUAUUUCACAUGUACUCUACUUCGACACAAUGCCGCCGUCAGGUUAACCAAGUAAGAGGAAUUCUGAUCGAAGAGCAGCACUAAAGAAGCAUGCUAGACUUCCUACAGAGUCAGUAUAUCGGCUGAUAGCUAUAAUAACCGUCGAUAUGGAGAUGACUGAAAAGGCUGCACUAGUAGAGUCACCAUCCCGCCUACAAUCGACAUAAUGGUUGGAAAUAUGCCCGAGAGGCAAUAAUAAAGUGGUUAUUAUUAUAUUUCUUUGUUCAUGAUAAUUGUCUACUAUUCAUGCUAUAAUUGUAUUAACCAUAAAUCCCAAUACUUGUGUGAAUACAUAGACCACAACAUGUCCCUAGAGAGCCCCUAGUUGGCUAGCUCAUCGAUCAAUAGAUGGUCAUGGUUUCCUGAUCAUGGACAUUGGAUGUCAUUGAUAACGGGAUCACAUCAUUAGGAGAAUGAUGUGAAGGACAAGACCCAAUCCUAAGCAUAACACAAGAUCGUGUAGUUUGUCUGCUAAAGCUUUUCUAAUGUCAAGUAUCAUUUCCUUAGACCAUGAGAUUGUGCAACUCCCGGAUACCAUACGAGUGUUUUGGGUGUAUCAAACGUCACAAUGUAACUUGGUGAUUAUAAAGGUGCACUACAGGUAUCUUCGAAAGUGUAUGUUGGGUUGGUACGAAUCAAGACUCGGAUUUCUCGCUCUGUGUGACGGAGAGGUAUCUCUGGACCCACUCGGUAAUGCAUCAUCAUAAUGAGAUCAAUGUGAUUAAGGAAUUAGCCACGAGAUGAUGUGUUACGGAACGAGUAAAGAUACUUGCCGGUAAUAAGAUUGAACAAGGUAUAGGGAUACCGACGAUCGAAUCUCGGGCAAGUGUCAUACUGGUAGACAAAGGGAAUUGCAUACGGGAUUGAGUGGAUCCUCGACAUCGUGGUUCAUACGAUGAGAUCAUCGUGGAACAUGUGGGAGCUAACAUGGGUAUCCAGAUCCCGCUGUUGGUUAUUGACAGGAGAGGUGUCUCGGUCAUGCCUACAUGGUUCCCGAACCCGUAGGGUCUACACACUUAAGGUUCGAUGACGCUAGAGUUGUAAUGGGAAUAUCCUUUCAUGGGAGCAUAUCCUUUCAUGAAUGAACAAUACAUCAAAAUAUAGCUUUUUUUUUUAUCUUUUUGACACCAAUGUUUCACAAAUUUUUAGGUGUGUGUGAAUUUUCAUUGUGAUAUGACAUCACAGGAGCUCAGGGCAAAAAUAAAUCAAAGUCUUAAUAAAUAUUCAAAAUUUGAUUUUGGAGUAUUGAUUUUGUUUUUUCUGCCCCAAGCUCCCCUAUGUCAUAUUGUCAUUAAAUUUUGCACGCACAUAAAAAAUUUGUUCAUCUUUGAUGUACGAAAACUGUAUUUUGGACUUUGUUUUUUUGCUACUUUAUCGGAAUUUAAUGUCUACCUGUACUAGAUGAAAUUUUGUGCUACGUCAGCCUUAGUCUCUACAGAAUAAAUGCUAAUAAUCCGGCAGCUUCCGCAGGAUCGCCGCUGCGAGCGCGUCGAUGAAAUUUCUGUCGCCGGUGAGCUCGCGGGCCAUCUGUUCCACCAACGCCCUCUGGAAUUCCGGCGACGCGACCUCCCGGCACACCUUCUUCAGGUUCGGCUGCGCCUCCCCUGCUGCCUCGACGACCUGCAUGCCUCCCCCGUCCUUGGUGAGGUCCAGCGUGAUGGUCGGGCCGGAGGAGUUGAUGGAAAUGGAGCACGGCACCGAGCCGCCGCUCCCCGCCGCGCAGCUCGGCCGCUCGCCGGCACGCGUGGGGCGCUGGUGGUUGUGCUCGCCCUCGUACGUCGCCUCCACCACCGAGC